rnacentral:lncRNA from 1 species
ACCUACGACGUAUUUGUGAGCUUCCGCGGUGAAGACACGCGCAACAGCUUCAUUGGUUUUCUCUUUCAGGCUCUCGGUACAAAAGGCAUCAAUGUGUUCAAAGAUGUUGAAGAUCUCAAAAAGGGUGAAUCCAUUGCACCCGAACUACUGCAAGCCAUUCAAGCCUCUCAAGUUUUCAUUAUUGUCUUCUCAGAGAACUAUGCUUCCUCCACUUGGUGCUUGCGUGAACUGGCGGAGAUACGUAACUGCGAUGAAAGACGUGUUAUUAUACCUAUCUUUUAUGAUGUUGAUCCUUCGGUGGUGCGCAAACAGAGUGGAUCUUAUGAGAAAGCAUUUGCAGAAUACGAAAAGAGAUUCAGAGAAGAUGAAGUGAAGAUGGAGGAAGUUCAGAGAUGGAGACAAGCUCUCACACAAGUCGCCAAUCUCUCUGGUUGGGAUAUCCGAAACAAGUGAGUAAUCCUUUCUCGUUUCAACAUUCACAGUUUGAAUUUAUUUACUCCUUUCUAACCUACAAUUCAGAGAUGUUAGGAAUUUCGGAAACAGUACAAAACACAUGCAAAUUGAAUCCAAAUCUAUACUUGUUUAAUCAAAAUAAUAUUUUCAAACUUAAAAUAUGUUAAAUUUUCAGGUUACACUGUGAACAGAUUGAAGAAAUUGUUGAAAGGAUAAUAAAAAUUUUGGGACCAAAAUUGUCAAGACUUCCUAAAGAUGAACUGGUUGGAAUAGAGUUUCGGGUUAAAGAAUUAACAAAUCUUCUGCAUUUAGAGUCAGUUAAUGAUGUUCGAGUUAUUGGAAUUAGUGGAAGGGAUGGCAUAGGAAAGACAACUCUUGCUCGGGCUUUAUAUGAAAGAAUCUCUCAUCAGUAUGAUUUUCGUUGUUUUAUUGAUGAUAUGAGCAAUAUUUAUGGAGAUACUGGUUCAUUAGGCGUACAAAAGCAGCUAAUUUCCCAGUUUCUAAAUGAGAAAAAUCUUAAAAUUUUUAAUGCUAUUGAUGGAGCAUAUUGGGUGUGGAAUAGACUGCACAAAGCAAGAGCACUUAUAGUUCUUGACAAUGUUGAUAAAGGUGAACAACUUAAGCUGUUUACAGGAACAGAGAUAUACGUACAUGCAUAGGUGGAGGGAGCAGAAUCAUCAUCAUUUCUAGGGAUGAACUUAUAUUGAAGACACAUGGAGUGAAAGAUGUUUAUGAAGUCCUGCCGUUGAGUAGGAAUAGUGCUGCGCUGUUGUUUUAUAGAAAUGCUUUCAAAGAUGAAGAUGAAGAUGAAGUUCAUUAUAAAUUCGAAAAUUACUUGGAGGUGGCACGUGAGCUACUUUCACAUGCUGAAGGUCAUCCUGUGGCAAUUGAAUUAAUGGGAUCAUUUUUGUGUGGUCAAGAUGUCUCACAGUGGAGACGCUUAUUGGAUAAUCUAAGACGUGAAAAACGUGGAAAUAUUAUAGAUGUUUUAAGUAGAUAUUGUGAUGAGUUCGAAGAAGAAGGAAAAGAAAUAUUUCUUGAUUUUAGGAGACGUUUUAAUCGGUUGAAAGAUGAAAGAAAAGAAAUAUUUCUUGACAUAAGUAGAUGUUUUGAUCAAUUGGAAGAAGAAGGAAAAGAAAUAUUUCGUGAUAUAAGUACAUGUUUUGAUCGGUUGGAAGAAGAAGGAAAAGAAAUAUUUCUUGAUAUUAAAUCCUUAUUCAAGAAAAUCACUAAAUAGAAACUAAAUUUAGAGACAAAAAAUAAUUAGUUGUUAUAGUGACUAAAUAAAAAAUCAUUUUAGAGACUAAAAAAAUUAUUACUUUUCAAAGUAGUUUUUAUCUUUGAUAAAUAGUUUCUAAAUUGGUAUCUAAUUAGUUAACAAGGUUUUAACUACCAAUUAUUUAACUUCUAAAUUUGGUAGCAAAAACUUUGGUAACUAAUUAAAUACCAAUUUAGAAACUAUUUAUCAAUAAUAGAAACUAAUUUAGAAACCAAAUUUUUUUUGUAGUCUCUAAAAUGGUCUUUAAUUUAGUCAAUAUAACAACUAAUUAUUUUUUUUUCUAAAAUUGGUUUCUAUUCAAUGAAUGAUUUUCUUGUAAUGAAUAUUUAUUCUAAGGAUAGUGUGGAGAAGAUUUUAAGCAUCCAUAGAUUUGAUUAUGAAAAUGACAUACAAGCUUUGAUUGAGAAAUUUCUAAUAACAUGUGAAGAUGGGAUCAUUUAUAUGCAUGGGUUGUUGAAAGAUUUGGGACAUAUAUCUUGGAUAUGAUUUGCAAGUUGUGAGGAUUGCGAGGUCAUAUGGUGUAUUGAAAAUUAGACUCCUUAUUAAAUUAAUGUGGAUUUUUCAGGAAAUUUUAAUCAUCUUUAGAAUGAACUAAUGUAUCUUGAUUGGAAAGGAUAUCUUUUUAAUUACUCAAUUAUAAUCAUUUAUUAAAAUUUAAUUUUUAAAUAUUGAUUAUUUAAGUUAAAAUAGUUUUAUUAUAUUUUUAAUAUUACAAAAAUUAUAGUAAUUUAAAUUAUAUCUUUUUACUUAAAUUUUAAUAAAUCAAUUUUAAUGUAUAUAUUUUAAAAUAGAUAAUGUAUAAAUUUUAAAAUAAUAUAUUAAUGAACUCACAAACUUGCCUAUAUCACAUAUGGAACAGAUUUUAAAUUUCUAUGUGCACAGUGCCAUUACCAUCGUUUUACACUUCCAUUUUCCAUCAUACGUUGUUGCAUUCUUAGAGAAGAAAAACAACAGAAAAAGAGUUGUUUUGAAAAACUUAUUUUAAAAAACCUAUUCUAGACAUUAUUUACUUUAUGAAAAAUUAGUCUAGAAAUUUUAUUAAAAAAAACUCAUUCCAAAAGUAUUUCAUAUAUUUAAAAAAAUUUAUUCUAAAAACUUGAUUCAAAGAUUUUGUUUUAAAAUGUCAUGCUUUACAAUCUAUUUCAUAUUUCAUAUGUUAUGGAGAACUUAUUUUUAAAAUCCUAUAGCAAAAGUUCUCUGGAUAUUACAUUUUAAAAAAUUUGUUCUAAAUAUUACAUAUUAAUUUACAAUUUGAUUUGAUAUGUUAGUAACUAUUUUGUAUAUUAUUUAUAUUUUUAUAUGAUAUUGUUUAGUCUGAUUGGUUUAACGUGUAUAUGUUAAUAAAUUCGUAAAAUUUAACAAAUAAACUGAACUAAAAGGGAUUAUAAUAUCAACGAAUUAUCAUCAUGACGGUUAUUAUUACAACCGUCAUCUAUGUGGGCUAACAGACAAUCACUUUAAUUCUAUUGUCGUAUAUUUUGUGCAUAUUUUUUUUUGUUUAAUUAAUAAUUAGGACUAUGGUUUGACCGAAAACAUCAUAAAUGUAGAGUCAUAACAACGCAAUUUUUUGUUAUAUAGACGAUGAGUUAAACCAUCGUCUAAAUUUAAUAUUUUUAAUGAUAUCUCUAUAUACAAUUAUUUGGAAGUUGUCACGAUAAGUCUUUUAAAAUUGUUAUCUAUACACCUUUUUUUAUAGUUGUGCAAGUGUGAGAAAACUAUAUGUUAAUCAAAUAAUCAUAAAUAACUGAUGUAAAAAUGUCAUUUUUGGAGUAGUGUAGUGCAUUGAUUGCAAGAAAUAGAUAAAUCCAUAAGUUAUAAAUUAAUCAAUUUAUAUGAAUUGACUAGAUAUAGAAGUAACGAAACAUUCCUAAUUUUUGGUUGAAAGAAAUUAUUGGAUUGAGUAUUUAUAUAAUAAAAAUAACAUAAAAAUAAUUUAUCAACCUCCCUAAUUCUGGUUUAGUAAAAAUCUGUUUGUCUAACUCUAUUGUUGGAUUCUUGAAUUGUUUUUUUGAACUAGCUGUUCGAUGUUUUUUUAAAUACGUUAUUAGUUUGAUUUUUUAUAUAUACUUAGUUAAAACUAUUAAUGAUCGGUUGUUUGCAUUAUGCCAAGAGGUAAAGACAAGUUUAGCAAAGAUCUAUGUUGGAGAUCUCACAUCGACUAGAGAUUAAGACAUUUCAUUGUAUAUAAGUGGAUGCAAACCUCAAUUCAUGAGCCGGUUUUAUGGGGUUGAGUUAGGCUUAAAAUCCACUUUGUAAUAUGGUAUACAUUUCAUUGUAUACAAGGGUGCAAACCUCACCUCAUGAGUCAGUUUAAGGGUUGAGUUAGGCUUAAAGUCCACUUCGUGCAUAUUAUAAAAUAGAACAAGUUGCACACUCAUUCUAAGUCUAACUAAAGAAAGAAAUAAUCAAUCAAUAAAUACUAGAAUCAUAACAGACAAAGACAAAAUAAAGGUUAUUGUACCGUCCCGAUACUGCCAGGAAUUGGGCCGAUUAGGUUUGCCAGGUAUUGGACCGAUUGGCAGAAAAGGCAGGCCUAAGCCCAAUCCGAAAGUCAUAGCGAAAUAAACAUCGUAAAACGGCUUCGCCAAAUCUAAUAAAUAUUAUGAUUCGUUGGCGCAAUAUCCUUGAUUAUAUCUCUUAAAUACUCUGAUUUACUUGCACAAUAUCCUUAAUUAUACCGCUUAAAUACUCUGAUUUACUUGCACAAUAUCCUUAAUUAUACCGCUUAAAUACUCUUAUUUACUUGCACAAUAUCCUUAAUUAUACCGCUAAAUACUUUGAUUCGCUCAAUAUCCAUGAUUACAUUGUUUAAAUUGAGAUUUUUGGGAAAGAUACCUUAAUAUGACACGUUAAUACCUGAGAAAGUCGGGAUCCAAAGAGGAGGCCCGUGAGGCCUUAUAAAUAAGCGAUCACCCCCAAGGAGUAUUUCAACUUGCUUUUUUACAUUAUACUCACUAGAUAUACAAAAUUUUAUGCUCUUACUGACUUAAGCAUCGGAGUGUAAUCGCAGGAGGAGCCCCCAUUCGUUCUCUAGAAGCUGAUCUACUAAAGCUUGAAGGGAGGCCGUUAGGAGCUCAUCCGGAUUCCGACCGACUUCAAGCCGGUGAGAACAUUUGGCGCCCACCGUGGGGCCUGAUAAAACGGUUCCCACAACCAUUCCCAAUAUAUCAGAAAGAUACAAGUUAUGAGGACCAGACAGACACCAACACCUGAAGCCGAAAAGGUGGUCACAUUACAACAGGUAAUGGAGACAAUGCGCAUGUUACAAUGCGAGAACAAGGAGUCAAGAAGACAAGUUGAGGAGUUCCAAGCCGCUCAGGAACUCCUCCAGGAAAAGUCUGCAGCCGAACAACAAAGUUUAUGAGACGAGGCCGAAGCCUCCAGACGAUUGAUGGAGGAUUCCAUUCGGGCACACGAGGAGCUGCAAAAAGUUAAUGAGGAUCUAAAGAGGACAUUCCAAGGGAGGACAGAUGCAGGACCCGCGGACCGAGCUCAAGGGAGAUGGCGGAGGGACCCCCGUCCUUUCUCUCAGGCCAAUAUGGAAGAACCAAUUCCCCCGCACUACAUGAUGCCAAAAAUGCCCUCUUUCUCAGGCUUGGAAGACCCCGAGACUCACUUAAAGGCCUUCCAAGCCCAAAUGCUGACUGAGUACCAGCGCCUCAUCCAGUUGGCCGACUGAGUACCAGAAGGGAGACCAAGAAGAGCUCAUCCGCAAUCCGGCCGACUUCGAGCCGGCGAGAACAUUUUAAUGGAAUGCUUCGAGGCUUCGCUUCUACUUCAGCUAAGUGUAAUUUGUUCCCCAUUUUUCAACGCGACACUAUUUUCCCUGGAGUUUUUUUAAAAAUUUCUCAAAGGUUUUUAACGAGGUCGCACUCUAAUAAAACUGCAUUUUCGAAUACCUUGUUUAGUUUACGCGCUUUAUGAUUUCUGAUUCAAAAUACUUAAAAACACAUACUCGGAUGACCAAAUCCGAUCAAAAACAACUCAGAACAGGGAGUUGUGACAUACUUGGCUGAUCGAAUUCGAUAAAAAACAACUCAAAACAGGGAGUUGUGACAUACUCGGAUGACCGAAUUCGAUUAAAAACAACUCAAAAUAGGGAGUUGUGACAUACUCAGAUGACCGAAUCCGAUCAAAACACCUUGUUUAGUUUAUGCGCUUUAUGAUUUCUUAUUCAAGUACUUAAAGACACAUACUCACACGAUCGAAUGCGAUUAAGAGUAACCCAGAAUUGGGAGUCGUGAUUUUAUCACACAAUCGAAUACGAUCAAGGUAACCCAAAAAGUACAGCGUCUUCGGACCUAGGAGGUCGACCUGGUGACUUUCGAGUCAGAGUCUCUCGAAAGUCUCUUACAUAAAGCGCAAUGACCAAUUUAGAAAAAAAUUGAUACAUAUAUAAAUAUAGAGUCACCAUGGCUCAAAACGCCGAAAAGUUUACAAUACGCAGAUAAAACAUUAAGGCAAAGGGUGGAGUACAAGGCAAAACGUCCUUGCAAUUUAAAAAAAAAUACAGCAAAAACGAUCGAAAAAUCACACGUCUUAACAUUCCAAUCUGCUCCAGAUUUUUCCGAGUCUUAACAUUUUCCAGACCUAAGCCCAAUCCGAAAGUCUUAGCAAAAUAAACAUCGUAAAACGGCUUUGCCAAAUCUAAUAAAUACUCUGAUUCGUUGGCGCAACAUCCCUGAUUAUAUCGCUUAAAUACUCUGAUUUACUUGCACAAUAUCCUUAAUUAUACCGCUUAAAUACUCUGAUUUACUUGCACAAUAUCCUUAAUUAUACCGCUUAAAUACUCUAAUUGAUUUGCACAAUAUUCUUAUUUAUACCGCUAAAUAAUUUGAUUCGCUCAAUAUCCAUGAUUACAUUGUUUAAAUUGAGAUUUUAGGGAAAGUUACCUUAAUAUGACAUGUUAAUACCUGAGAAAGUCGGGAUCCAAAGAGGAGGCCCGUGAGGCCUUAUAAAUAAAUGAUCACCCCAGGGAGUAUUUCAACUUGCUUUUUUACAUUAUACUCACUAGAUAUACAAAAUUUUAUGCUCUUACUGACUUGAGCGUCGAAGUGUAAUCGUAGGAGGAGCCCUCAUUCGUUCUCUAGAAGCUGAUCUACUAAAGCUUGAAGGGAGGCCGUCAGGAGCUCAUCCGGAUUCCGACCGACUUCGAGCUGGCGAGAACAGUUAUUUACCUCUAUAAAGAGAAACAACUAAGAAUUAGAGAAGACACAAUUAAUAUUAACAUUUUUCUAUAACGUUUGUGUCCAUAUCCUUUAAUAUCCCCAUUCAAUCUGGGGAGCAAAUAUUAAUGAGACCCAGCUUAACAAAUACUCUUGAAAGAUUGAGGACUUAAAGCUUUGGUAUAAAUGUCAACCAGUUGCUCUAUGGUGGAAAUGGGAAGUAAAUGGAUGAGACUCUUCUUUAAUUUUUCCCUAACAACGUGACAAUCUAUUUCUAUAUGUUUCGUACGCUUGUGAAACACUGGAUUUGCUGCAAUUUAUCUUGUUGAGUCAUUGUCACAAUAUAAAAGAGAUGGUUGCUCAAAAGAAACUUUAAAAUCUUGAAGAAGAUAAGUUAGCCAUUGAAUUUCACAUGUAACCGUGUUCAUUGUCCUGUAUUCAACUUCACAAGAACUCUUUGAUAUCGUGCCUUGCUUCUUUGAUUUCUAGGAUAUGAGAGAAUUCCCAAGAUACACACUAAAACCAGUCACUGAUUGUCUUGAAUCACUACGGGUGUCCCAAUCACUAUGACAAAAGGCUUUUAGAUGAGCAAAAGUGUUGGAAGAGAAAAAGAAACCAAGACUUGGAGCUCCUUUAAUAUAUCUGAGAAUUCUAAUCGUUGUAGUAUAGUGAGAAAUUGUAGGCUUAACAAGAAACUGAGAAAGUUGUUGCACAGAAAAUGUUAUGUCAGGUCGGGUAUUAGUGAGAUACAUAAGUCUUCCAAUCAAUCUUCUGUAGGCUUGAAUAUCUAUGAAAGGAAUACCUCCACUAGAAGAAAUUUUUUCAUGAUUAUCAAUAGGAGUGGAUGCAGGUUUGCAGGCUAAAAGACUUGUAUCUGUUAACAAUUCCAAUGCAUAUUUCAUUUGAUUCACCAUUAUUCCUUCUUUACUUCUUGCUACUUCUAGACCAAGAAAAUAUCUUAAAUCCCCAAGAUCCUUAAUCUUGAAUGUGUGAUUCAAGGCUUGUUUAAUUCGAGCAAUCUCUUCUUUAUCAUUUCCUGCCAAUAUUAUAUCAUCCACAUACACCAAUAAUGCUGUAAAAGAUCCUUCAGAAGAAUUAAUGAACAUGGAAUGAUCAGUCAUAGAUUGAGUAUAUCCCAUAGAAAGCGAAAAGGAUGACAGUUUGGAAAACCACUCUCUGUUGGCUUGCUUAAGGCCAUAUAAAGCCUUUUUUUAGUUUACAAAAUUUUUCUGGUAGAAUAGAAGUCAAUCCAGGAGGAGCAACCCUGUAUACAUAUUCUUUCAAAUCUCCAUGUAAAAAGGCAUUGUUUAUCUCUAAUUGUUUCAAUUCCUAAUUAUAGAUAGAAGCUAGAGAAAGAACCAACCUUAUGGUGGUCAUCUUUGCUACUGGAGAGAAAGUAUCAAGGUAGUCAACGCCUUCUGUUUGUGUGUAUCCCUAUGCUACUAACCUUUCUUUAUACCUUUCAAUUGUCCCAUCAGCCUUAUAUUUUAUUUUGAAUACUCAUUUGCAACCUAUGGCAGCUUUGUCCUUAAGCAGAAGAGUAGUCUCCCAAGUUUGAUUUGACUCUAAAGCAGAUAUCUCACAUUGCAUAGCUUUUCUCCGACAGUCAUGUUUCACAGCUUCAAAAUAAGUGUUUGGCUCAACAUGUGAAGAAAUAGACAUAACAAAAGAUUUGUAAGAAGGCGAUAAACUGUUAUAAGACAAAAAAUAAUUCAAAGGAUAUUUAACUCUUGAAGAUGUAUUGGAAACAUUAAGAUUGCAAUGAUAACCCUUUAAAUACUCAGGUGGUCUUUUUAUUCUUGUACUCAUUCGGACAGAUGGAUCUGAUUCAGAAUUUUGUCCUAUUUCAUGAUCUUCAUUGAGAUUUUGGUCUAUAUGGGAACAAACUUCUUCUGAAACCUCAAUGUGUGACUCACAUUUAUUAUCACUAUUAUUUUCAACAUUAUCACAAGGUGCAUUAUCACAAGUUGCAUUAUCACAAGGUUCAAGAAUGGCUUGUGAUGGCCGUCUCAAUACAGGUUGAUCUUCAGCAAACAAAAUUUGAUCAUAAAUGUCAGGACUGUUAGUUUCAUUGCUAGUAUCUUGAACCUUUUGAUAUGGAAAAACAUGUUCGUAAAAGACAACAUCCCUAGACAAAAAUAUUUCUCUUGAUUGAAUAUUCAACAAAAUAUAUACUUUUGUCCCCCUUUUAAAACAAAUAAAAACACAUUUUGAUGCCCUUGGAUCAAUUUUUUUUUCUAUUGGUUGACAAAGUACUAGCAUAACAUAAAGAACCAAACACCUUAAAUCCAGUAAAAUCUACUUAAGUUUUGUAAAGCAUUUCAUGAGGAGAAGAAUAGUUUAAAACAGGUGUGGGAAGCAUGUUUAUAAUAUAAGCAACAUGUAUCACAGAAUAUGACCAAUAAAUUUUGGGUAAAUGAGAUUGUAUCAUGGGAGCUCUUGCUACAUUUAAUAAAUGACCAUGUUUCCUUUCAACUAUACCAUUUUGUUGUGGAGUAUUGACACAUGAUGUUUGAUGUACUAUUCCUUUAUUGACAAAGAAAUUAGUCAUGAAAAAUUCAGUUCCAUUAUCACUUCUUAUUAUUUUUAUUGUUGUCUCAAAUUGUGUUUGAACAAAAACAACAAAAUUUUCCAAAACCUUGACAACUUCAAAUUUUGGUUUUAAAGGAAAAAUCCAUGUGUACCUCGAAUAGUCAUCAACUAUGGUCAAGAAAUAUUUAUGGCCAUGAAUUGAUGGUAUUGAAGAUGGUCCCCAAAUAUCUACAUGAAUCAAAUCAAAACAUUUUUUGAUUUAGAUGUACUAAUAGGAAAAGAAAGUCUUUUUUUGCUUUGCAAAAUGACAAACAUCAUAAACAAAAGAUUUUUUAUAUUUAACAAAAAUAAAUUUAUCUUGAUAACAUCAAUACAUUUAUUUGAAAUAUGACCUAAUCAAAAAUACCAAAGGGUUUCUAGAUCACUAGCACUGACAUUAACAGUAUUGAUGAUGUGUGUAGAUUUGAUGGGUUUAAUUUGAAGUUUAUGGUAAGAUUGGAUCCUGAGUAUAUAAAGUCUAUCUUGCAUCUUAGCAGAACCAAUUAUUUUCAAGGAGUUUUUGUCUUGGAUGUGACUGCCAUUAAAAUCAAAGGUAAGAACACAAGAUAGUUUAUCAAUCAAUUUUGUUACUGAAAGAAGAUUAAAGAUGAAGCAAAGAAUAUAUAAAACAUUGUCUAUGACAUGUUCUUGAUUGAGAAAAACACUUCCAGAAUAAUUGGCAAUGACUUGAUUACCAUUUGGUAAUUUAAUAGAAAUAGGAUGAAUUUGUUGUUAUGAAACGAAAUAAGUUAAGGAUGAACAAAUGUGAUCAGUAACACCACUAUGAUUUGAGCUAUUGUAAAAGACCUAACAAUGUUUGAUACUGCUCAGGAGUAAAACCAAUUUGUUGAGACUCCACUUCUAACUUUGAGCCUUCAUGAUUCUGCACAUUAUUAUUAAAAUUUGUAUUCUGAAAAACUGCAUUACUCUGAUCAGGGUUCUGAUUUUUAAAUUUGAAAUCAGGUGGAAAGCCAUGUUUUUUAUAGCAUGUAUCAAUGGUAUGUCUUGUCUUUCCACGAUGACUGCAAAUUUUGUAAAUAUAUUUUCUUCCAUAGCUUCCUCUUCCAUAUCCACCACCUAUGUCAUAGGUCGUAGCAUUGUCUUUACAACCUCCUUUGCUAGUAGCAAUCAAUGUCUUGUAUUGAUUACCAAAAGAAAAAUUGUCUCUCUUGUUGUGUAACGAGAAAACAAACUUUAUUCAAGGAUGAAUUAUCUGAUAAAUAACAUGGUAAGGUGAACAAAGAUUUUGUGAGGGAUCAACAACUUCACCCAUAUAUAAAUGUAGCAACCAGAGUUCUGAUACCAUAUUAUAAAAUAGAACAAAUAUGAACAAAAGAGUAUAAGGAAGGCAAAUGCUAUAAAAAUGAAUAUUUCUUUUAUUAUUUUGGAAUUAGAACGAAUAGUCUGAAUUUAUACAAGUUGUACACUCAUUCUAGGUCUAACUAAAGAAAGACAUAAUCAAUCAAUAAAUACUAGAAUCAUAACAGACAAAGAAAAAAAUAAAGGUUAUUUAUCUCUAUAAAGAAAAACAACUAAAAAUUUGAGAAGACACAAUUAAUAUUAACAUUUUUCUAUUACGUUUGUAUCAUAUCCUUUAAUAAUCUAAAAUAUGUUUUAUGUAAUGCUUUGAAAUUUUUUAAGAGAUUAUUUUGAUAUCAUAAUGUUGGAACAUCUUUAAAACGUUUAAUAUUUAUUCAUUAUUUUCACUGAUAAAAAGAAAAAAAAAUUUAUUAACCAUAAAUAUGACACCGUGAGUUAACAAGACUCAAGAAGUUGUUCAUAUACUGUUCAAAGUUCAAAGUUUGAAAAACAACAUAUAAACUUUGAUAGACAUUAUUUUUGGGAAGUUAUUCAAUUAGUAUUUAUAAAGACAUGAAGACAUAUGUUGAACGUGUCAUUUCUAAAAAGAUUAUAUGUACUGUACACCUUCAUGUGUAGUGUAUCUCUUUACAUUUUUUUUUAUCUUUCGUAAUUAUCUAUUUACAUUUCUAGUUCUUUAGUUCUGUACUACAUUUAUAUCUCAUCUUAUAUAUUAAUUGUUCUUUUACAUUUUAUGUUUAUCAAUUUUUGAAUUUAUAUUUUUUUUUAUUUCUGAAAUUACUUUGAUUUACAAAAAAAAAUUCUAUAUUGUAGAAGCUUUUUAUUUAUUUAUUUUUUUUACAAAUUUAUAUUAAAUUCAAUUUCAAUUACUUUAUUUAUUCUAAAUUAUCAACCAAUUAAAAUGUUUCAAUUAUCAAUUAUGUAAAAUGUUUCAAAUUCAAAUUGUGUUUACGUUAUAUAAACACAAUGAAAUUUAUAUUCUGAUAUAAGCGAAAACCCAUAUUUUUAUCAGAAAAAUAAUGUGUUUAGUAUAAAUAUUUAUGUUUGAUUAAUUUAAUAUAUUUAAAUUAAAAAUUAUGUUUAAUUACUAUCUUCCAUAUAAAGAACUCAAAAAAAAUUAUAUAUGACCAUUGUAGAAAGAGGCUGAAAAGUAGAAUUUUCACAAUACGCGGCAAUUUUUUUAUAUAAUUUCCACAAUCACGCGGCUAUUUUAUUUAACUUUUACUAUGAUAUUAUAUAAUUGUUUUGACCUUCGUAGAAAGACGGUGGAAAAGUGAAACGCUAUAAAUUUAUAUAAAAAAAUAUUUGUCAUCCAUAUUUCAUCUUCACCCUAUAUUAAUAAAUAUUAAUAUUUUAAUUAUUAAUAAAAAUUUAUAAUUUUUUUUACUUUAAAAUAUUUUGCAUUAUUUUUAUUUAGAAAUUUUUUCCUUUUUAAUUUUUAUUACAAAUAUUAAUAUUUAUUAUGGAAGUAGGUGCAGCAAUGUAUCAAAAUAUCAAACCCAUUUAUAUAUGACCUUCGUAGAAACAAGGUGGAAAAGUAGAAAACGCAUAUAAAUUAAAUUAUUAGAAAAACUAAGUAAGCUUCAAUAAAAAAUACUGAAAUAAAACUAAUUAUAAGAAUAUAAUAAUAUGUUAUAUUAAAAAAUAAAAAGUUUAAAGUAUCACCACCCUGUUACUAUUUCUUCCGUGUUUGCUUUCCACUGUCACAGUCACCUUCUCUCUCAACAACUUUUGCUUUCACCAAUGGCUUCUAUCCAAUACACCUCUUCUUCUUCUUCUCUUCCAACUCACAUCUACGACGUAUUUGUCAGCUUCCGCGGUGAAAACACGCUCAACAACUUCACUGCUUUUCUCUUUCAGGCUCUUCGUACAAAAGGCAUCAAUGUGUUCAAAGAUGAUGAAGAUCUCAAAAAGGGUGAAUCCAUUGCACCCGAGCUGCUGCAAGCCAUUCAAGCCUCUCUACUUUUCGUUGUUGUCUUCUCACAGAACUAUGCUUCCUUCACCUGGUACUUGCGUGAACUGGCGGAGAUAUGUAACUGCGUUGAAAGAUGUGUUAUUAUACUUAUCUUUUAUGAUGUUGAUCCUUUGGUGGUGUGCAAAUAGAGUGGAUGUUAUGAGAAAGCAUUUGCAGAACACGAAAAGAGAUUAAGAGAAGAUGAAGUGAAGAUGGAGGAAGUUCAGAGAUGGAGACCAGCUUUCACACAAGUGGCCGAUCUCUCUGGUUGGGAUAUCCAAAACAAGAUUCAUCACAGUUAUAUAUUUAUUAUGCGAUGAGUUAUAUACCCGUCAAUUUAUUAAAUUGAAACCAAAUGUAUACUUGUUUAUGAAAAUAAUAUUUUCAAACAUAGAAUCUUUACGUUAUUAUUUUUUUUUUCUGUAAAUGUUAAAUUUUCAGGUCAGAGUGCGAACAGAUUGAAAAAAUUGUUGGAAGCAUAAUAAAUAUUUUGGGUCCCAAAAUCUCAAGAGUUCCGAAGGAUGAACUGGUUGGGAUAGAGUCUCGGGUGUAAGAAUUAACAAAUCUUGAUGUUAACGAUGUUCGAGUUGUUGGAAUUAGUGGGAUGGGUGGCAUAGGAAAAAUAAUUCUUGUUAGGGCUUUAUAUGAAAGAAUCUAUCAUCAAUACUAUUUUUGUUGUUUUAUUGAUUUAAGCAAAACUUAUCGAGAUUCUAAAUCAUUAUAGUUUUUGACAAUGUUGAUCAAGGUGAACAACUUAAGUUGUUCACACGGAACAAAGAUAUACGUAGAUGCAUAGGUGGAGGGAGCAGAAUCAUCAUAAUCUCAAUGGAUGAACAUAUAGUGAAGACACAUGGAGUGGAUGAUGUUUAUCAAGUCCAGCCGUUGGGUGAAAAAAAUGCUAUACAAUUGUUUUGUAGAAAUGCUUUCAAAGUUAAUUAUAUAUUGGGCGAUUAUGAAGAGUUGGCAUAUGAGGUACUUUCACAUGCUGAAGGCCAUCCCUUGGCAAUUGAAGUAAUUGGGUCAUCUUAGUUUGUCCAAAUGUCUCACAAUAGAGAAGUGCAUUGGGUAAGCUAAGAUAUAAUAAAGAUAGAAAUAUUAUGAAUGUUUCACGAAUAAGUUUUGAUCAGUUGAAAGAAGAAGAAAAAGAAAUAUUUCUUGAUAUUGCAUGCUUCCUCCAAGUCGAAGAAGGUUCUAUGAUUCAUUUUGACAAAACUGUGGAGGAAAUUUUAAGCAUCCGUGGAUUUGAUUAUGAAAAUGGCAUACUAGCUCUGAUCGAAAAAUCUCUAAUAACAUGUGAGAAUGAGAAUAUUUAUAUGCAUGCGUUGUUGAUGGAUCUGGGACACAGUAUUGUUUGAGAAAAAUCACCUAAGGAGCCUCUAAAGUGGAGUAGGUUGUGGGAUUACGAAGAUUUCGAGAAAGCUAUGUUAGACAAUCAGGUAAAAAUAAUUGAUUGAGUAUAAAUCUUACAUUGUCAUUUUUUCUAGAAUAUGAAAACCCUUCGAAAAUUAUUACAAUGUUAUUCUUUCUCCAUAAUGUUGUAGGCAACUGAAAAUCUUGAAGUCAUAUAUAUUGAACAUAAUUUUCUUUCGGGGACUCUAAGUGCAGAAGGUCUAUCGAAAAUUAGAUACCUUAACUUGCUUAGUCUUGAUGGUGUGAACUUUUCAGGAAGUCUCAAUCAUCUUUCGAAUGAACUAAUGUAUCUUAGUUGGAGAAAAUAUCUUUUUAAAUCUUUGCCUCAAAGUUUUCAUCCGGAAAAACUAGUUGAGUUACAACUUGAUGAGAGUAGCAUUAAACGAUUAUGGAAAGGUGCAAAGGUAGUGUAUAUAAAUUUUUUUGUUUUUUUAAAUAAAUCAAUCAAAUGACAAACAUUGUCUUUAAUUUCUUUGUUUAAUUUAAGAAAACCCUAAUUUCAUUAUUAAUUUUGUCUUUUAUUUGCUAAUCACUAUAGCCAUUGCACAAUUUGAAGCUUUUGGAUCUCUCUUAUUCCGAAGAUUUAGUUGAGAUGCCAGAGAGGCCCUAAAACUUGAAGAGAUAAAACUUAUAGGAUGCAUAAAGCUCAAAAAAAUCGAUCCAUCGAUUGGUCUUUUGAGAAAGCUUACUUUCUUGAAUUUGAAAAACUGCAAAAGCCUGGUAAGCUUACCCAAUACCAUAUUGGGCCUCAAUUCUCUUAAAUUUAUGAAUGUCUCCAGUUGUACAAAACUGUAUAAUAAUGAGUUAUUAGAUGGACGAAGGAAUACAAACCAUUUGAAGAAAAAAAUAUUGUUGUGGCCUUUAGAUUUGUUGUAUUCCAGAGCACGAAGAGACUCAGUCAGUUGUUUCUUGCCCUUCUCUCCUACUCACUCUUUUGCAACAACUUGAUCUAAGCUUCUAUAACUUAGUUCGAAUCCCUGAUGUCAUUGGGAAGUUAAGGUGCCUUGAAUGACUAAAUUUGAAGGGAAACAAUUUUACUACACUUCCCAACCUCAAGAACCUUUCCAAAUUGUAUUGUUUAAACUUACAACAUUGCAAGCAAUUAAAAUGGUUGCUUAAUCUCCCUACGCAAACCAACUUGCUCUCAAUAAUUUUGAAGCGGCAAUCCUCAUAUUUCAAAGAUGAAAAUGUUGUAGGAUUAAUAAUUUACAAUUGGCCAAAAUUAGUUGAGAGGGAACAAUGUAGUAGCAUGAUUUUUUCGUGGAUGAUACAUGUGCAUGCUCUUUUUGUCCUCUUUCAUUCUUAUAAUAUUUUUUAUUUAUUGGAAAACGGUUUCUAACGCAUAACUAUGUAGUCUUACGAGGCAAUAUGCUUAAAAGUCAGGUAUCGUACUUAUAGGUGUCCAACUUUUGAAAGUGUUAUCCCAAGAAGUGAAAUACCGAGGUGGUUCAACAAUCAGUUUGUGAGCAUGGACAAUUCAAUAAAAAAUUAUGCCUCUCCUGUUCAGCAUGACUAUAGUUGUAUUGGUGUUAUGUGUUGUGCAAUAUUCCACAUGGGCAACGAAAAGGAGAAGACUUUUAACACAUUCAUUCAUAAAGCUAGAAUUCCUCCAAUCAAUUUGAGAAAAGAUCUAGUCAUUGACAAGUCAGAUCAUAUGUGGCUAUUUUAUUUGGAUGAUAAAGAGUUUCGUAGAAGUGCUUAUGGUUGCAGAUGGAACGAACAUUAUAAGUAUGUUAUUACAAAAUUGAUCACGGACUGGAGUUCAUUCACAAAUAGAAAAUCAAUAUGUGAAGGUGUAUGUGAAGAAAUAUGGAUAUCAUUGGAUAUAUGAGCAAGCUACAACUACCAAACUCAGGUACUUACUAUUUAUUAUAUUUUUGUUUUCUUCAUUCAUGUCUUACACAUGCAUUUGAGAUUUUGAUCCACAAAGUUAUUGUCCUAUGAUACAACAUGUGAGGAAGUUACUAACUUCAUCAUUUAACAAGAGCUCAAAUAAUUCAUUAGUGAAAGAACUUGGGUAUCAAUCGUUUUUCAUUUGUUGUUUUAAUUUUUUUUUUAUAUUUUCUCCACAAAUAUCUCAACUCCCUUUUUAUCAUUGUUGUUAUUGUUAACUUUUAUUGCUUUCAGAUAGAUUCUAAACACUGAUUUAUUGAUUUCACUAUUGGAUUCGUUGGGAGACGACUGGAGUCUGACCACAAUUAUAUCAUCAUCUCUCUAGCAUUAGACAUGUCUAUGUCGAAAUCAUUUUAAUUUGACAGCAAAACGACAGUUAUCACUACACUAGAUAUAUCUUUUUGCAGAGUUGACCAAUUGCAAGGUUCUAGAAGCUGAUGGUUGCAUCUUGAGGUUAUUAGUAAUUUGAUUAAAUACUUUCAUUGUUUGUUUUGUUUGUAAAACAAAUAUCUUAAUUAGGUUGGUAAUAUUGAAUUGUAGAGCAAUAAACAAACAUGAGGGGAUGAUAUUGGCUCCAUAAGUCAAUGCGAGUCAUAUGUGGAUAACAAUUUUAUUCCUCAUUUAAUGGUCUAAGGGAAAUUCGUUGAAAGGGCCACUAUGUUACACAAUGUGGAUCCCCCCAAUAUGGUCAAAUUUAUGGUUGAGAAAGUUCACAUUGGUGAUGUUGCAGUUCCUAUGACAUCAAAUAAGACAAUUAAUUUGACACAGACAUGUCAAACAUUUAUAGUUUGGCCUAGACACCUUAUGAGACCUAUUACAGUCAAUAAAAAAAUAAUUUAUAAAUACAUUUGUAGACAUAAGUUAUUGAAAAUGUUGUUUAUUGUUUAGUCAAAGUAUAAAAACAAAGUUCUCAAAUAAAUGAGCAACUUACUAAGAAUUCUAUGGUUGCAUACAAACCCAAUGAAGAUUAUGCAAUGCUAAUUUUUGAGAAAUUCUCUAUAUAUUACAUUUGAGAAAUUUUGUUCCAAAUAUCAUGUUUCAAAAAUUUUAAAAUGCUUGUUUUGAAAAAUUUCUAUAACAAAUAAUUUAAAAGUCAUCUUAAGAAGAAUAAAAUGGUUAUUUUAAAAACUACGGAAGUGAAAAAAAAAACCAUUAUAAAAUUGACUAUGUAAAAGUACCAGUGGAAAUUUACGAGUGAGGUUAUAUUUGGUAUGAAUUGUAAAACUGAUGCAAACAUAUCAUAAUAUUCUUAUUUUUAUAAAAUAAAAUAUGUACUCUUUUUCUAGUAUUAGAGUUUUUUUAAAAAUUAUUUCCAUUUUUAUUUUUCAUCUUCGAAAGUUUAAUAUCAUAUUAACUACUCUUCAUGAAUUAUAGUUGUUCCUACCGGUUGACUUGCUUCGCCAGUUGACUCCUGUCGCCCUUCAGUCUUGCCUGAGAAACGUGCCUUCUUGAUCAAGAAACCUCUCACCUGCAAAGUCUAAGGGGCGCCCUAGCGGCCAUUAGCAUUCUGACGCUCAAGUCAGUAUUAGGGCAAAGAAACACCAAGUGUGUAUAUUAGCUUCAGUCUUAGAAAAUACGUACCUUACUAGGGUUUUGGGCACCCUUUAUAUAGGCUAAAACUAGGGUUUACCUUUGUGUAGUUAUCCCUGACUAGGUUUCCUUGGAGAAUGUCCUUGCGCCGCUAUUCAUAGAAUCUUAACGUAUCUGGCACAUGAACCCUCCCUUAAUUGGAGUGCAACGAAUGUCAGAAUGGCUGCUUGGGUACCAACUUGUGCACCUAAUCUCUAGCACCAUCUGCUUCGUGGGUGCCCUAAGUGAUGGAAGAGGCCCCAACCCCAACCCUUAGAGAGGCCACCAAAAUGCUACAUUGAGGCAACCACUAGAGUCAUAGUCAAAGAGGGGUCAAAAGGACACAUUUUACAUGUCAUAAACUCUAGUGUGUAAUAGCUUUUUACUUUCUAGUCAAAGUAGCAUAUGAUUUCUCUUUUGUAAAAUUGUUUAAAUUGUAAUUAGGAUAAAUGUUGGUUUCUAAAAGCCAACCUAAGUUAGCUUACGGUUUCUAGAAGCUACUAAGCUAACUUAGGUCGGUCAUGGUAAGCUUAGGCGCACCAAAGGUCACCAUUGGUUCAUGCUUACCAUGUGACUUCCUAGAUACCACAUUUACAUGUCAUUUGGCUAGCAUUUCCUUUUCAUUACCUUUUCAUUUCCGGUCCUCCAAGGCUAUAUAAGGAGGAGCCUACCUCAUGUUUUCACAAGAUUAAUUUGAGUAAUGAAAUGCUGCCAAAAUGUGUCAUUCUUACCCCCUUGCCUAAAAUCGCUUAAGAUUUAGGUCUCUAAUCUUCAAACCUUUCACCUACAAAGAGAGUUGGCCGAAACUCUCUCACUCUCCUACUCUUCAUGCACCUCCAAGGCUACCACAACUCUUAGGAGAGCCUUGUUCCAUCAACAAUCCAUUGAAGCUUUCGCAAAUUCUACCACAAAAACCGCAAGUUGAAGAGCUCAAGCUAUCAUUUGGUAUCUAAAGCUAUGGUCUUCAAGAGAUAAGUUUCUAUUUUCAUUUUUUCUAUUUGAGUUCUUCUUAUUUUCAUGUUGUUCAUCUCUUGUUCAUGUUGUCUUGCUGUUUUUACAUUUUUACUUUGAUUUAGAUGUUGUUCUAAGCAUUUCAAUCGGUAGAAAUUGUUCAAAUUGUUCUUGAGCACCUUAUUUUCAAUUUUUGUGUAGGAAUCUAUGGUGAAUUGUGUUGCUGUUUUGAUUUUAGGUUACUUGAGUCUUGUUUGAAUUUCUGUUCGGUUCAUAUGAUGUUCUUGAGUCAUUUUAUUUUCUGAAUCUAUAUGUUUUGUCUAGUCAUGUAAUUCCAAGAAUGUCAACAAAUCUUAGUAGUACUUUUCUUGAUUCAUUUGUUUCUUGUUUUGAUUUGAGUGUUUAAUUUGAAUUCUGACUUGAUUUGUUCCUUUGGUGCAUUUUUCCUUUUAGUUUGAGUUCAUAUUUGUAUGAUAGAUCCAUACAAAUUCCUAUAACAUUCAUUCCAUUGUGUUUUUGUAGUUUCUCAUUCUGUUUUUAAUUCCAGAAUUAGGAAUCCUCUGUUUUUACAAUUUUUGUUCUGGCUGUUUUGUGUUAUGAAAAUUGAAUACGUUGAGAGAAAAUUAUGAAAUUCUGGAUUUCAGUGGUUUGAUGUGUUAGAAAAAGAAGAAAAAAAAAAUCAGUCGAAAAGGAAAAAUAGAAAAAAAGAAGAUAAAUCACACAAAAAAGUGUGCAUUUUGGCACUAAAACUGGCGGUAAUUAGACAUUAAUUUUGAAAAAUUUAUCAUAAUUAAUUGGUGCAUGCUUUUGGUGUAAUUCUAGCGCCAAAAGUUUGCUAAGAUUCUGAAUCAUUUGUGUUUAAAUUUUCAAAAGCAAAUUCAAAAUAUCCAGAUCAACAUAAAUAUUUGAAGUCACGCUUUCGGAACCAUAAUUUUUCAGUAGUGCUGUUUUGGUUUUUCAAAUCAAUUUUAGUGUCAUUCCUUAGGUUCCUUUUGUGUGUUGUCCUUUGUUGAGUGCCCAUUUUUUAUUUGAUUUUCCAAUAUCAUUCUGAACUCUUUCUAGUUGUGUCAUAUCAUUAAAUCCAAUUGCAGUGGUGCUGUUUUUAAAAAUUUAAUUGUUUCUUGUUUUCUUUUCUUGACCUCUAUAUUGUUGGUGGAUAAAUUUCAAUUGGUGCUUGUUGAGUAGAAAUUGACUUGAGGAGAGUCUAGCUCUACUUAGUAUGUACUGUUUUGGAGAAUUUAAUUGCUUAAAUCAUAAGUGGUUCAAGGCAAGGACCAACAACAAAUACAAAUACCAAAAACACACCAUACACUUUGAAGAGCACAACAAAGAAGAGAAAAAACAAGCCUAAGGAGUGCAUAGCUUAGCAAGCUGAAAUUAAAUUUGUGCAAUUCAAUUUCUUUGCAUUUCUUGAGUUGUAAUUACAUUUCACUUUUGUUAAUUAGUGGAUUAAUCACGAUUAGACGGUGUGUCUUCAAAGGCUCAAAGUGUCUAAGAAGCCUCACCUAAGAGGCCCCAGCACCAACCCUUGGAGAGGCCACCAAAAUGCUACAUUGAGGCAACCACUAGAGUCAUAGUCAAAGAGGGGUCAAAAGGACACAUUUUACAUGCCAUAAACUCUAGUGUGUAAUAGCUUUUUACUUUCUAGUCAAAGUAGCAUAGGAUUUCUCUUUUAUAAAAUUGUUUAAAUUGGAAUUAGGAUAAAUGUUGGUUUCUAAAAGCCAACCUAAGUUAGCUUACGGUUUCUAGAAGCUACUAAGCUAACUUAGGCGGGUCAUGGUAAGCUUAGGCGCACCAAAGGUCACCAUUGGUUCAUGCUUACCAUGUGACUUCCUAGAUACCACAUUUACAUGUCAUUUGGCUAGCAUUUCCUUUUCAUUACCUUUUCAUUUCCGGUCCUCCAAGGCUAUAUAAGGAGGAGCCUACCUCAUGUUUUCACAAGAUUAAUUUGAGUAAUGAAAUGCUGCCAAAAUGUGUCAUUCUUACGCCCUUGCCUAAAAUCGCUUAAGAUUUAGGUCUCUAAUCUUCAAACCUUUCACCUACAAAGAGAGUUGGCCGAACCUCUCUCACUCUCCUACUCUUCAUGCACCUCCAAGGCUACCACAACUCUUAGGAGAGCCUUGUUCCAUCAAUAAUCCAUUGAAGCUUCAACAAAUUCUACCACAAAAACCGCAAGUUGAAGAGCUCAAGCUAUCAUUAAGUAUUCACGUGAUAUGCAUGCGGCUUUCCCUGGAAAGCCUAACCCUAAUGAGCCUUAACGCCUCCUAGGAUUAUCCACACGUGCUGCGCCUUCGUGCGUCAUACACACCACAUGCAUGGAUCCCUCCUCUUAGGCUUCCCACAUAUAUCUUCUCUUAAACCGUUAUCUCAUUGGGCCCACUUUACGUGGCCCUGUACAACGUCCUAACGACCGAUGUUCGAUCUUCUUCCCUUACUGGUGGGGUUCGAUAUCGAUCUCCAACAUCGGGGCUUAGGAUACAAAUAUCAAAGACUAACCAAUUCCCUGGUAGGUGCGUCUGGGGCCCACCUCACGUGGCCUCCUUCCAUCACCAAGCAUCGGUGCGCGAUGUCUGAGGUCAGUCUAUGGGCUGAUGACCGAGGACUGGUCGGGACAAUAGCCUUAUGUCUUCUAAAUCUUUUUAAAUAAUUUAUACAUACAUUUAUUAUGUGAAUAAAAAUAAAUGAAUAAAUUAAGAAAUUGUAUAACUAUUUUAUUAAAAUUGUGACAACUAGUUAUAAUUUAGUAGCGAUGUUUAUUUAAAAAAAGAAAUAAAAAAUAAAAAAAAUUAUUUUUAUUUUUAUGUUGAGCAUAAAAAAUUAUAAUUUAUUUAUUUAGUAAUUUAUUUUUAAAACUUAAUGGUGAGGAAGAAGUUUGGUAAAAAAGAAGUUGGGUGCAAAAGAAGUUUGGUGAAGAAGGUGAAGAAUUAAUGGAGACCCAAGACUCUAGUCUCAGUGCGCCACGUGUGCAGACCAAUAUCAGUGUGUGCGCCACGUCAUCAAUAGUUAACGUUGUUGGUGAAAACUUAACGGAAUGGACCAAUUUGGAUAUUUUUUAAAAAACAUAAGGGUCAAAUUGAUUUGUUUUAAAAAACCACUGUACUAAAUUGAAUACUGACCCUAAAUAUAGGGACAUAUAAGGUAAUUAUACCUUUUUUAUGUUUUCUGCACAAGUAUCUCAACUCCCUUUUUAUCAUUAUUGUUAUUACUAACUUUUCUUACUUGCAGAUAGAUUCUAAACAUUGAUUUACUGAUUUCACUAUUGUAUUCGUUGGGAGAAAACUUGGGAUCAUCUGACCACAAUUAUACUAUCAUCUCUCUAGCAUUAAACAUGUCUACGUUGGAAUCAUUUUAAUUUGACAACAAAACGACAAUUAUCACUACACUAGAUAUACCAUUUUGAAGGAUCGACCAAUUACGAGGUUCCAAAAGCUGAUGGUUGCAUCUUGAGGUUUUUAGUAAUUUGAUUAAAUAAUUCAUUGCUUGUUUUGUUUGUAAAAUAAAUAUCUUAAUUAGGUUGGUAAUAUUGAAUUGUAGUGCAAUAAACAAACAUAAGGGGAUGACAUUGGCUCCAUAAGCUAGUGCAAGUCAUAUAUGGAUAAUAAUUAUGUUCUUCGCUUGAUGGUCUUAGGGAAUGUCUUUGAAGGGGUCACUAUGUUACAUAAUGUGAAUCCCCCUGAUAUGGUCAAGUUUAUGGUCGAGAAAGUUCGCACGGUGAUUUGAAAUUGUACCAAAAGAAACACCAAAGACUGAAUUCAACUAAAUGAUGCAAACAAUUCAUCAAACAAUUUCAAUGCAUAAAAAAAUAUGAAAAAACACAAAGUUAGAAGAAAAAAAAAUUUGAAAAAAGAGAGGAAAUGUGAAGUCUCAUGUCUUCGUUAUCUACAUUUUUAUUCGUUGUCUACAUUUUUAUUUGCUUUGUUCUUUUACUAUUACUCUACUUUCUGUUCUAUUUACAUCAUUCUUUAUUUUAAUAAAAAAUAAAAGAACUAAAACUUUAUAACUACUUUAUAUAUUUUUACAAACCUAAAAAAAAAAAAAAAACUUUACAAUCUCUUUAUUAUAAGACUAGCUCUUGUAUAUCUUUUUAACAGAAAGUUUUGAGAUUGAAUAAUUUUCUUCGACUAAGAUUUUCAAACUUAAUUUGGAAGCUCUGUUGUAUAUAUAUUCUACCUUUAAAAAUUAGAAAAGUUAAAAAGUAUAAAACACAUCGUAAUUGUUAAAUAUAUUAAAAAAUACAUUUGUUUCAUUAACACUCUCUUAAUCUUUUAAUCAGAUGAUACUUGUCAAGUCAAGUCUUGUAUGACUUUUUCUUUACUUACUACCAUGAUAUGUCAUGAAUAAUGAAUUAAAUCACCCUCCUCAUGAAAAUAUAGAAGAAAAAAAUUGCUUUUGUAAAAUAGAAAAUUAAAAUAAUAAAAAAUUAGAAUGACCAUAUCUAUAAUAAAAUAACAGGAUAUAACUUUAAACACUUUAUACACAUUUCAGAUUAUAUUAUAUUGUUUAAACACUUUUAAACAAUAAAAAAUAUUUUUCAUAAUAAGAGAGAAAAAAAUAACAGAAACAAUUAAGUAUAUAAAAAAACAUGUGAAAUAUAGAAAAACAAAAUAUAUAAACAACUCAAGAACAUCUAUAUAUAUUACAAAUUAUGUGUAUAUCCCUAACAAAUAACAAUGAAUAUGAAUAAAAAUAACAAUAAAUCACACCAUUUAAGAGCCAACUAAUUUUAUAUUAAAAAAAUAACUAAUUACUAUAGUGACUGAGUAAAUUAGAGAAUAAAAAAUUAUUAAUUUUUAAAUUAAUUUUAUUAUUGAUAAAUAGUUUUUAAAUUGAUAUCUAAUUAGUUAAUACUUUUAACAUUCAAUUAUUUGAUUUCCAAAAUUUGAUACAAAAACUUUGUUAACAUCCAUACAUUACAAUUAUUUAGUUUAGUUCUGCAAUUCCACAACCACGCGGCAAUUAUUACAAAAGCUAAGUGGGAGAAGCUUCAAUGAAAAAACACUCACAACACUUAUUUCUAUUUCUCAGUGUUUGCUUCCACUUUCACACUCAUUUUAUACGACCAUUCGUAGAAAGAAGGUGGAAUAAUGAAACGCGCCAACGUGAUAAUAAAUACCCAUUCUUCACUUGAAUUUCUAUUUAUUCAUUCAGUGAUUGCUCUCCACUUUCACACCCAUUCUCUCUCUCAGCAACUUUUGCUUUCUCUAAUGGCUUCUUCUUCUUCUUCUUCAUCUCUUGCAACAGACAUCUACGACGUAUUUGUCAGCUUCCGCGGUGAAGACACGCGCAACAGCUUCACUGGUUUUCUCUUUCAGGCUCUCGGUACAAAAGGCAUCAAUGUGUUCAAAGAUGUUGAAGAUCUCAAAAAGGGUGAAUCCAUUGCACCAGAGCUGCUGCAAGCCAUUCAAGCCUCUCGACUUUUCAUUGUUGUCUUCUCACAGAACUAUGCUUCCUCCACUUGGUGCUUGCGUGAACUCGCAGAGAUAUGUAACUGCUUUGAAACUUCGCCAAGACGUGUUAUUAUACCUAUUUUUUAUGAUGUUCGUCCUUCAGUGGUGCGCAAACAGAAUGCAUGUUAUAAGAAAGCAUUUGCAGAACACGAAAAGAGAUUGAGAGAAGAUGAAGUGAAGAUGGAAGAAGUUCAGAGAUGGAGACAAGCUCUCACACAAGUCGCCAAUCUCUCUGGUUGGGAUAUCCGAAAUAAGUGAGUAAUCCUCUCUCGUUUCAACAUUCAUCACAGUUUGAAUUUAUUUACUCCUUUCUAAACUACAAUUCAGAGAUGUUAGGAAUUUCGGAAACAGUACAAAAGCACAUGCAAAUUGAAUCCCAAUUAUAUAUUGUUUAAUCAAAAUAAUAUUUUGAAACUAUAUUGUUUAUUGUUUUUUUUUCCUGUAAAUAUUAAAUUUUCAGGUUACAGUGUGAACAGAUAGAAGAAAUUGUUCAAAAGAUAAUAAAAAUUUUGGGACCAAAAUUGUCAAGACUUCCGAAUGAUGAACUGGUUGGAAUAAAGUAUCGGGUUGAAGAAUGAACAAAUCUUCUACAUUUAGAGCCAGUUAAUGAUGUUCGAGUUGUUGGAAUUAGUGGAACGGAUGGUAUUGGAAAGACAACUCUUGCUCGGGAUUUAUAUGAAAGAAUCUAUCAUCAGUAUGAUUUUGGUUGUUUUAUUGAUGAUGUGAGCAAUAUUUAUAGAGAUAGUGGUUCAUUAGGUGUACAAAAACAACUAAUUUCCCAGUUUCUAAAUGAGAAAAAUCUUAAAAUUUUUAAUGCUAUUGAUGGAGCAUAUUGGGUGUGGAAUAGACUGCACAAAGCAAGAACACUUAUAGUUCUUGACAAUGUUGAUAAAGGUGAACAACUUAAGCUGCUUACAGGGAACAGAGAUAUACGUACAUGCAUAGGUGAAGGGAGCAAAAUCAUCAUCAUUUCUAGGAAUGAACUUAUAUUGAAGACACAUGGAGUGAAUGAUGUUUAUGAAGUUCUGCCGUUGAGUAGGAAAAAUGCUGCGCUGUUGUUUUGUAAAAAUGCUUUCAAAGAUGAAGUUAAUUAUAAAUUGGACGAUUACUUGAAGGUGGCAUGUGAGCUACUUUCACAUGCUACUUUCACAUGUCAUCCUUGGACAAUUGAAACAAUUGGAUCAUUUUUGUGUGGUCAAAAUGUCUCACAGUGGAGAAGGUUAUUGGAUAAUAUAAAAAAUGUGGAAACACUAUAGAUGUUUUGAUCUGGUGGAAGAAGAAGGAAAAGAAAUAUUUCUUGAUAUUCUGUGCUUAUACAAUAAAAUCAAUAAAUAGAAAUCAAUUUUAGAGACAAAAAAUAAUUAGUAGUUAUAGUGAUUAAAUUAGAAACCAUUUUGGAGACUAAAAAAAUUAUUAUUUUUUAAAGUAGUUUCUAUUUUUUAUAAAUAAUUUCUAAAUUGAUAUCUAAUUAGCUACCAAGGUUUUAACUACCAAUUAUUUAGAUUCUAAAAUUGGUAGCAAAAACUUUAGUAGUUAGUUAGAUAUCAAUUUAGAAACUGUUUAUCAAUAAUAGAAACUAAUUUAGAAACCAAAAUUUUUUUAGUCUCUAAAAAUGGUUUUUAAUUUAGUCAAUAUAGCAACUAAUUAUUUUUUGUUUCUAAAAUUGGUUUUUAUUCUAUGAUUUUCUUGUAGUGGAUAUUUAUUCUAAGGAUAGUAUGGAGAAGAUUUUAAGCAUCUAUGGAUUUGAUUAUGAAAAUGACAUACAAGCUUUGGUUGAGAAAUCUCUAAUAACAUGUGAAGAUGGGAUCAUUUAUAUGCAUGGGUUGUUGAAAGAUUUGGGACAUAUAUCUUGGAUAUGAUUUGCAAGUUGGGAGGAUUGCGAGGAUAGAUGGUGUAUCAAAAAUUAGACACCUUAUCACUAGCGCAAAAAUGUUAAUCAAAUGCAGCUAUUUUACAUUUACAAAUGCGGCUAUAGAGCCACAUUUGAUCAGCACGCAUUCGUAAAUCAGAGAGCUACAAAUGCGGCUAUAGAGCCGCAUUUGUAAAUGUGAUUUACGAAUGCGGUUAUUUCAAAUAGCCGCAUUUGUAUAUUCUUCUAAAUGAGCUGAGGGUUUUAGAGGUUUAAGAUUUACGAAUGCGGCUCUGGUAAUAGCCGCAUUCGUAAAUCACAUUUACAAAUGCGGCUUUGGUAAUAGCCGCAUUCGUAAAUCACAUUUACAAAUGCAGCUUUGGUAAUAGCCGCAUUCGUAAAUCACAUUUACAAAUGCGGCUUUGGUAAUAGCUGCAUUUGUAAAUCUUGUUUUUUGAUUUACAAAUGCGGCUUUGGUAAAUAACCGCAUUUGUAAAUAGUGUUUUUUUUUAACGUGCAAUUUGUAUUGUCCCUAAACCAUAUAAAUUAACNNNNNNNNNNNNNNNNNNNNNNNNNNNNNNNNNNNNNNNNNNNNNNNNNNNNNNNNNNNNNNNNNNNNNNNNNNNNNNNNNNNNNNNNNNNNNNNNNNNNNNNNNNNNNNNNNNNNNNNNNNNNNNNNNNNNNNNNNNNNNNNNNNNNNNNNNNNNNNNNNNNNNNNNNNNNNNNNNNNNNNNNNNNNNNNNNNNNNNNNNNNNNNNNNNNNNNNNNNNNNNNNNNNNNNNNNNNNNNNNNNNNNNNNUUAGUUUAUAUAUAUAUAUAUAUAUAUUUCAAGAAUUAUAAAAAUGAUUUAACAUAUCAUGUUAUUACCUCUUUCCAACCAGUUUUAACACCUAGUCUUAUAAUGGUAAUCAUCCAUUGCAUAAUGUAAUAGCCACACUCAUAGCUUCCUGGUUGUUUAUUACACUAUAAUUCAAUAAAAAGUAAUAUGUUAGUAUAUUGAUAAACAAUGAUAAUAUAGAAAGAAAAAAAUUACAAACCUUUAUUCUUAUGUAGUUCAAAUUAUUUGAAUUGGAUCGACCUUUUAGGAUGUUAUAUCCACGCCAUGAAUUGGUUAAUACAAAAAACCUCAUUAGUAGAUGGUUAAUUAGUAACAAACAAAGUUAAAUUUAUACUGUACUUACAUAUCAAUGAUAUCCUUAAAUUUUGUGGGAAUCUUCUUGUGUAGGGAAUAGAACCACACAGUAGUCUUAUCAACCAUUGAUAAGACAAGAAACUGCCAAUGAUACCUAUAUCAUCCAUGAAAAGAGUUAGUAAAUAUUUAAAACAUGAAAUAGUAAUAAUUGAUGACAUAUAAUUAAACUUACUCAUUAAUAUAAGGGCAUAAAUAAAUUUGUUUUCCCUCUUUUUCCAGGGUGUUAGUGAUGUAUGCUUGAGUCUCAGUUGAGUUUGGUCCAACGGGAUUAGUAUAUGCAGGAUCUAAGAAUCCAUACACAUUUUCCUUCCCCUCAGUGAUACAGACUCUAUGCAAAAACCUACAAGUUUUUAGUUAAAACAUAAUCAAUAAUAAUUUAACAUAAAGUAAAUUGAAUAAUAGGUAAAGAUACUUACAUAAUAAAAAAUUGAAUUAUACUUAUAUUGAGCUCCUGAUUCCCAGGUAUAAAUUCUAAUAAAUCUGUGUUGUACAUCAUCAGUGGCCGUUCAGUGUUUAUUUGAGAAAAUGUAUCAUCCCACGGAACAGGAAAAGGUUCAUUACCAAUCUAACUAGCAAUGAGACCUAAUGAAGCUAUAAGAUUGUCAAUUGGAACCUCACGCUUCUUCUCCGAACUUGGUGCCCGAAAAGGUUUCUACAAGAUAAAGAACAUUUGUAUUAAAUUAUAUGUAACAUAGAAAUAUAAAUAAAAAAUAAUAUAAUGAAAUGAAAUUAUUACAUGAGGUUCAGGCAUAAAUCGAAUGAGGUCUCUGGGCCAGGCAACGAAUGUCUGAAAUGCAUCGGUCACAGUGGUUACCUCAUCUGAAGGUAGUGGAACACGAGCAUCAGGAAAUCGUACUUUUUCAACUGUUACCUUCGCCACAUCAGGGGAGAGAGGAACGUUAUGUAAGGUGGUGGCGUCUUGAUAGACUUUUCCAAGGGCCACCACCCGAGGAAGUUUGCCGCCCACUACUAGUAGCUCACAAUCCUUCGUCUGCCCAAUGAUAUCAUCCCCUGAUGUUGGAGGAGCCGCACAACUCCCCUUUGUGCUCUUAGGAGUGCGACUAACAAGGGGUUCAAUCAGCUCAGCACAAAGUUGUUGCGAUAGAAACUCUUGUCACAUUCGAUCAUUCUCCUUUUUCAUCUCUAGCUGCAUCAAAUCAAUCUCCUUUCUCAUCUCCUCCAUUAAUUCUUCACGUAUCUUAGUCUUCAAUUGAGUUUCGUUCUCUUUGGAGGAGGAGGAUGACUGUCGUUCUGAAACUCCAAAAUAUAGUUUAAUUCCAACCCCUUGUCCAGCUGUACGAACACGACCACAGUGCUCAGGUCGUCCAAUUGCUUCAACCAGGAUAUUGUGAUGACCUUCAACAACAAAUUUAUCGUCGGAUUCCAAGGAAUCCUACAAGAGUAGACAAAAAUCAUAUCAAUUUUUAAUAUAAUUAAUGCUUUAAAAUAAAUGAAAAUAACAAAAAUAGCUUACAAUUUUUUCGAUGAUAACCCCGGAUUACUCAGAACUUGGUGCACCCGACUUUUUAAUUCGGGCCCUCUUCCAUUUUACAUGGCGAAAAGGUGGUGAUGGAGGAGAAGUGACCCCUGUUUCCACAUUCUCAGAAAACGUCCCCUGUUUAGAUUGCUCAUUCUCAUUUUCCACCAUCAGUGCUUGCUCAAGUUUUCGAUACCCCGAACGAGACAUAAUGUGCGAGGUAACAUUCUUCAAAGCUAUCUCUUGAGCUUUCUUCCGACAAUUCUGUCAUAAUUGAAAUAAACAAAGUGAAGUAAAUAAGAUAAACUUAUUAAUGUUAUAUAAACAAAAAAUGUUAACCAUCCAAUCCUCAUUUUAACGACAUUCUUUAAAAAAACGUCAUGUCUCUUCAUCAAUAUGUUUGUACUUUAAACAUGGAUUUUCGUCUUUAAGGUCGCAAAGACCGUAUCUCGAAGUCAGUCUUGACUUAAAGGUACGAAAUUUAAUUCCGAUAUUGGAUAUAAUCUUUGAUCGAAGCGGUUCCACAUCAGGAAUUUCAAAGUUUGCCUGCAAAAUAACAUCAGCAAAUUAAAAUUAAUCAAUGAAUAUUAAAAAGCAUUAUAUCAAAAUGUUAAGCUUACCAGAACAUCCUCCCAGAUCAUAUUCCGGUCGACCUCUGACACCUCAUCCCAUGAAUUAAUCAGAAUGGAGAGCCUCUCACGAGAAACAACUCCAAGAUAGCUCAUAAACUCAUCUGCUUUAGGACCAAAAGCCACUCCAGUGUUGACGUCAAUGUCAACACGUGUCUUCUCACCAGCAGCACGGGAAUUGUCUAUUUCACUUGCUGCUUUGAUAGUAUCAUUUCUUUCAUUUGUAGUAUCCACUUCAAAAUAGUCAAUUAUUUUGGACACAAAUAUUACAUAUGGAAAACGAUAAUUAGGGACCCUUGUGGAUUUGAGCAUGUGUUCUACCAUGGUACUCACCCAAUUUACCUUGAGCUGAUUCAUUAUGCAGUAAAGCAAUAUCAAGAACAUCAUGAUUGAUUCUUCUAGGAGUGAGUUGCCAAGCAAUAAUGUGAGUUAAGAGUCUUGGAAUUAAAGUCAAAUUAUCUGCAUGAAACCUAGCCACUGGUUCAGUAGGAUUCCUCACACAACUUCUAUAAAACUGCAUUUUGUUGAACCCUUGAAUUGCAACAGUGUUCCCUUUGCUCACUUUCAGCCCUGAGUAUUUGAUUCCACCAACAUUGCUCCAGAUUUCUCUAGUGAUUUUUAGCUUUACUCCUUUCACAUAGGAGACAAAAUUCUUUCCAUCUUGUACAAGGUUGCUAUAGAACACCUUCACUAGGUCUGGAUAGACAUUUCUAGACAUUUCCAAAAAGCUUUUCAUUUUUUGAUGCUUGAGCAGAGUUUUUGCUUCUGUCAAAUUUUCAUCCCUUAGCCAUGAGAAUUACAACACCUUAGGUACAUUGAUUUUCUUUCUGCUUGUCUCAUGUAUGAACCUUGUCAUAACUUCAGAAUCUCUAGCAAACCAAUUUUCCAAAAUGCCUUGGUUGCUGUUAGGUUGCUCUUUGAACUUCUUCUUUUUGUGUGAAGAGGAUGCCAUUGCUUAAUCUGUUGUUACCUGCACCUAUUCACCAAUAGACAGUUCCAGCUAGAAAGAAACUUAGUACAUAAUUCAUAUGAUAGUCAACAGAGGAACCAAAACUAAUAAAACAUCAUAUUUGAACCUGGACAGCUUGUAGCAAGGAAGAGAAAGUAUGAGAUACAAUUGAUAUAAGCCAGAUUUAUAUAGAGCACAAAUCAAAUUUCAAAGAUCACGGGUUUUGAAAGCAAGAUCAAGAAAAACAGAUGCAGUACAUAUUUAAUUCUUAUGUAGUACAACAGGUGCAGUUUUGAAUGAUGCAAGAAUAUAUUGGAAACAUGUUUCUGCUUAGCAAAUCAAAUUUGUUGCAUAAUUAAAGUAUCAAAUCAAUUAGGAUUUCCACACAUGAAUGUCAUAAAUCUGCUGGUCAAUAAUCAUAAAAGUAGUCAAUGGUUAAGGAGAGAGAGAAAAGUAAUUAUUUCUCUUUCCUAGUCAUAGUUGUGAUUCUGAAACAGGAAAAACAACAUGUUAAAGCAUAAGAUAACAUAUUUAAAUCUUUACUGCAGUGGACAAUUUAAGCUAUUGAUACCCAAUUCUUUUAAUAGAAAAUAAAAUCUAUCUUUAGCAAGAGAUUUAGUAAACAAAUCAGCUAAUUGAAUUCAUUACCAAUGAAUUUAAUAUCACAAGUUCCAUUAGCUAUAUGCUCUCUUAGGAAAUGAUGUCUAAUUUCAAUAUGUUUAGUUCUUGAAUGAAUAGCAGGAUUCUUAGACAGAUUUAUAGUACUAGUAUUAUCACAGUUGAUAGGUAUCUUAUUUAAAAGAAUUCCAAAGUCACUUAGAUGUUGCCUUAGCCAUAGUGUUUGAGCUCAACAACUUCCAGCUGCUAUAUAUUCUGCCUCUGCUAUAGAAAGAGAAACACAUGCUUGUUUCUUGCAAUGCCAUAAGAUUAUACUUGACCCUAGCAUGUGACAAGUUCCACUUGUGCUCUUCCUAUCAACCUUGCAACCUGCAAAAUCAGAAUCUGAAAACCAGUCAAGUUUAAGGAAACAUUGUUUGGAUAACAUAGUCCAACAUCUUUAGUCCCUUGCAAGUAUUUCAGAAUCCUCUUAGCUGCAUUGUAAUGUGAUUCCUUUGGAUCAGAUUGAUAUCUAGCACAUAAACAUACAACAAAUAUAAUGUUAGGCCUAUUAGCAAUUAAGUAUAAUAAGGAACCAAUUAAACCUCUGUAUUUUGAUUGAUCCACUGAUUUUCCUGCACAAUCUUGAUCCAGUUGGCAGCUUGUUGAGAUUGGAGUGUUGAUUGCUUUGCAUUGAUCCAUAUCAAACUUCCUAAGCAACUCCUUGCAGUACUUUGCUUGAUUUAUGAAAAUUCCAUCCUUGAGUUGUUUCACUUGCAAUCUAUGGAAGAAAUUCAUUUCUCCUAACAUUGACAUCUCAAAUUCACUUUUCAUUGCUUCUACAAAAGCUUCACACAUUUCUUCAUUUGUUGAUCCAAAGAUGAUAUCAUCAACAUAGACUUGCACAAGUAUAAUGUCUUCUCUUUUCUUCUUUAUGAACAAGGUUUUGUCAUAGGUGCCACAGUCAUAACUUUGAGAAAGCAGAAACUCACUUAGCCUCUCAUACCAUUGUCUAGGUGUCUGCUUUAAACCAUAAGUGCCUUCUUGAGCUUGUACACAUGCUCCAGAUUUUUGUAGUCUUCAAAUCCUGGAGGCUGAGAGACAAACACUUCUUCAUUAAUAUAUCCAUUCAAGAAUGCACUCUUAACAUCUAUUUGGAAUAACCUGAAUCCUUUUAUGCUUGAAAAUGCUAAGAGUAAUAUGAUAGCUUCAAGUCGUGCUAUUGGUGCAUAGGUUUCACCAAAAUCUAUUCCCUCUUCUUGGUUGUAGCCUUUAGCAAGCAGCCUUGCUUUAUUUCUGGUGAUAGCCCCAUGUUCAUCCAUCUUGUUCCUGUACAUCCAUUUGGUUCCUAUGAUAUUCAUUGCAUGUGUUCUUGGAACUAAGGACCAUACUUCAUUGUAUUCAAACUGAUUUAACUCUUCUUGCAUAGCUGCUAUCCAGUUGCUGUCUUGUAGUGCUUCCUCCAGAUUUUUAGGCUCUACUUGUGAAACAAAGGUCAUUGUCUUGCAGAAAUUGUUAAGAGAAUUCCUUGUUGAGUCUCCUUUCUCAAUUUUCCCAAUUACAUUGUCAAGUGUGAGAUCCCUAGGAGUCUUCCACUCUUUAGGAAAUCCUGCAUUCACAACUUAUUCUUUGCCAGCACUUGAAUUAGUUGCAUCAGGAUCAAUAGAUUGAUUCUUUUGUAGAAUAGUUCUUAAAUCAUCCACACCAGGUUCAUCCAAAACAGAUUUAGGCACAAUACAAUCAGAUUCAUCAAACACCACAUGCAUAUACUCUUCCACAGUAAGCAAUCUUUUGUUAUACACUCUGUAAGCAUGUCCAUUAAUAGCAUAGCUAAUAUGUAUCCCUUCAUCAGAUUUAGGAUCAAAUUUGCCCAGAUUAUCUUUUCCAUUAUUCAGAAUAAAAUAUUUGCAACCAAAGACCCUAAGAUGACUAAUGCUAGGCUUCCUACCUUUAUACAGUUCAUAUGGAGUUUUCUUAAGAAUAAGUCUAUUAAAAGUUCUGUUAAGCACAUAAGAAACAGUGUAUAUUGCAUCUGCCCAGAAAUAUUUAGGUAGAUUAGAUUCAUUUAACAUGGUCCUAGCUAAUUCCUCUAGUGAUCUAUUCUUCCUUUCAAUUACACCAUUUUGUUGGGGUGUCCUAGGAGCAGAAUAACUAUGUAUGACCCCAUGUUUUUCACAGAACCUAUCAAACUUUGCAUUUUGAAACUCUCCCCUAUGAUCACUACGAAUCUAUUUUAUGUUUUUUUCAUUUUCAUUAUGCAGAACCUUAGCCAUUUUCUUAAAAGCUUUAUAUGCAUCAUUUUUAGAAGCAAGAAAGAGAGUCCAUGUAUAUCUUGAGAAAUCAUCAACAAUUACCAAAGCAUAGAAGUUUCCAGCUAAACUAGCAGUCCUAGAAGGUCCAAACAAAUCCAUAUGUUGAACAUCAAAAGCUUUAUUUGUAGAAACCACAUCCUUUGUUUUAAAAGAAGUUCUUAUUUGUUUACUCUUUACCCAUGCAUCACACAAUCUGUUAUUUUGAAACUUUAUAUUUGGUAAACCAGAAACAAUAUCCUUAGACUUCAACUUAUUCAAGUGAUUAGUAUGGAUAUGAGCUAACCUCCUAUGCCACAACCAAGACUCAUCACUUUUUGAUAGCAAACAUUCAUUUUCAGAGCAACUAUUCAUAAUAUCUAAGAGAUAGAUGUUGUUUACCCUUCUACCCGUGAACAACACCUUACCAAAGGUUUCGCUUGAAAUUGUAUAGGUGUUGGCUUCAAAAUUAACCUUGUAGCCCUUGUGACGCAGUUGGCUAAUACUUAGAAGACUAUGCUUUAGUCCUUCCACAUAUAACACAUUCUCAAUUGUGGUUGAAUCUUUAGUACCAACAUUUCCUCUUCCGAGAAUUCUUCCUCUAUUGUUGUCUCCAUAUGUGACAUGCCCCUCAGCUUUAAGUUUCAGACUUGUGAAUUGAGCCAAAUCACAAGUCAUAUGCUUUGAACAUCCGCUAUCCAAGUACCACUGGUUUUUCCUGCUGUUUUUCUGCAAAACAGAUUUAACACAUAUGGUACCCCUCUUUAGUCUAGGGUCCAGCAUGAUUAAUGCCUUUCCUUAGGAAGCCAUUUGACCAAUCCUUUAGGAAAAAGGUACCUUCUAGCUUUACAUGUUCUAGAGAUAUGUCCAAAUUCCAUACUGUAAAAGCAAGGUGCAGUAUGCAUUAUAUUUGAACGGUUAAAAGAAGAAAAACCUGUUUCGGAAGGAACAAAAAAACUGGACAGCUUUUUCACAUUGUUCUUUAUUCCAGGAUUAUAUCCUAGCCCAUUUUAUUAAAAACAGCAUUUUGAGAUCCCAAUAAUGUUUCAAAAUUUUCUCUACCUUUGGUGAAAUUUGAUAAGGUUUUCAGCAAAUAUUCAACUUGUUUUUCCAACUUCUUACAAUUUUCACAGGUUUUUAUAGAUGCAUGCAAACAUGUCAAUUCAAGUCUAACCAAAUUAGUUUUAGCUUUAUGUAAUUCUUCCUUAAGUGACUUAACCUUAGGUUCAAGUACCCUAUUUACUUUGUUCAGUUUGUUACAUAUGACAGCCAAUCUGUUUGCUUCAUCAUGUGUUUCCUUAAAGGCAAUUAACAGCUGAUCAUAACUUUCAGAAUUAGUGGAAAAGUCACUCACCGAAUUAGAGAUUGAUCCUUCAUCAUUCACCAUAAAGAACAUAUUUGCUUCUUCACUUCCAGUUGAGGAGUCACUUGUUGAGGAUACUUCAUUUUCUUCCCAAAAGAUAUAUGUUAUUUUUCCUUUGCCUCUUUCACUCUUCUUAUUUGCUGGUUUUUCUUUGUUUUGAUUGUUUGGACAAUCAAUCUUUAUGUGACCUGGUUUACCACAACCAAAGCAAGUAUAACUAGAAGAAUUUGAGUAAUUGGAUUUUGAGUACCUUUUUCUUUGUUGAAUUCUAUCUCGGUUCAUCCUUUUAAGAAAUCUAUUGAAUUUUCUGAUAAGCAGACUCAAGGUCUCAUCAUGUUCAGGAUUCUCCUCUUCCUCACUUGUAUCAUGUUCCAUUGUAGUCUUCAAGGUAAUUCCUUUGGCUCUUUUCUCCAUUGUUUCUUGUUUUUUCAAUCUUUUGAGUUCUAACUCAUGCUCCAUCAAUUUUCCAAACAAUGCAGCAGUGGACAUCUUGGAUAAAUCUCUGGAUUCAGAGAUUGUUGUUACCUUUGGCUGCCAACUCCUAUCAAGGCAUUUCAGCACCUUUAUGUUGAGCUCUUCCUUGUUAAAGACCUUACCAAGACCAGUGAGAUGAUUUACAAUAUGUAUAAACUAUUUAUGCACAUCUGCAAUGCUCUCUUCUAAUUGCAUCCUGAAAAGUUCAUAUUCUUGAAUGAGUGAGUGCUUCCUUGCUUGUUUCACAUCAUCCGUGCCCUCAUGAGUUACUUCUAGUACUUCCCACAUCUCCUUGGCCGAGUUGCAUUGAGAUACUCUAAAGAAUUCAUCCAUAUUCAAUGCAGAGGUAAUUAUGUUCUUGGCUAGGGAGUCAUAUUGAGCCUUCUUCUUUUCACUUUCACUCCAAUCAGACUAAGGCUUCAUUACUGUUUCUUCUUUGAUAACCUGCAUAGGCACAAAAGGUCCACUGACCACUGCAUCCCAAAUACCCAUGUCAAUAGAUUCCAUGAAGAUUUUCAUUCUAAUUUUCCAGAAUGCAUAAUUCACACCACCAAAUAUUAGAGGUCUAUUAAUAGACGCACCUUCAGCAAAAGGCAUUAAACUUAGACAUAAUGCACACACUUGAGUAAAAUACAAGUCCUAGCUCUUGAUACCUAUUGUUGGGUUUAUUAGUGUCUAAGUUCAAAAGGGGAGGGGUGAAUUGAAGCUAUAAAAUUUUCACAAUACACACUGGUUUACAAUAUAUCAAGAGAAAAUGAACAAUUUGAUUUUAAAAGGAACAAAUUGAUUCUUCAAAACACUUUAACACAAUCAGAACUUAUUCAUAUUAAGACUGCGAUCAAACAGGAAAGGUUGACAAAACCAGAUUGGUUACUCCAAGAAACCCUAUCAAGGACUGACUAACACAACCACCUUUACAAACAAGAAUUAAAGGAAGGAUAACACCUGAAAGAAGAUGCAAAAACAAAAACUAGUUGUCCCAAUUGCAGCAAAAACAGUACCAACACCUUCACCAAGAUCAAGGUUUUCCUAGAACAAGCACACUUGAAGAUCUCUUUGAAAAACCUUUCAAAAACGCAUUCCAAUCCUUUUUCUCACACAGAAAAUGUUUAAUCUUUGUUAAGACUGUGAUUGCUCAACAACCUUUCAUGUGAGAAAAGCUUUUCAUUAUAUAGAAAUAAGUUUCUAACAACUUUUCAUAAAACAGUUAAAAAGCUGUUAUAAAAACAACAAAUUGAAUUUAAAACUAACAAAUUAAUUUUUUAGGAAAACUGCUAGCUAAGCUUAACCAAAAUAAUUAACUGAUUUGUACUUUUGGUUCCCUAACAGAAUUUCGAAAAUCCUUUCAGCAGAACAAAAUUAAACCUAUUGUUUUUCAAGCAAAUAGAUUUAUUUUUUUGCAGUAUUCUGAUUCUUGAGAAAACUCUAAAAAGCUUUUUGAAAAACAUUUAACCACUUCAUGUGCUUGAUCUUUCCCCCUUGAUUAGGCAUCUAGGAUAGGUCAUGUAGCAAAAGGCAACCUGAAACCCACACUAGCCUAAAAACAAGAUCAACUAAAACACAUUACAAUCUUCAAAGCAAACUAACUAUUUUCUACAACAAACUCACACUAAGACUAUGUAGAGAAGAAACUUCAUCCAUCUUCAACAAUCCCCCCCUGUUUGAUGGAGACAAAUCCCUUUUGCUUUGCAUAGCUUUCAAGGAAAGUCAUGAUCAAUACCUGUACUGCACUAGGUUCCAGUAUAUGCAUAAAAAACUGUUAGAUGUAAAACAGAACAUAACAUAUUUGAGUAUUGUUAUACCUCCUUGAAGGUUUAAUACUUGAACCACAUCAACAUACAUGAGCUAUUCUUCAACUAUCAUAACCUAUAUCAAGCUAUUUUCCUUCCAAUUUGGAUUCAUCAAACAGAAUGGGAGCAUGGAAGAAAAGAAACACACCAUAGCCAUACAUGAUAGUUCAACAUAAAACAACAUAAAGUUCUAUUACAAACAGGAAACAAAACAUAACUAGUGCAGAAAAUCAGAAACCAAAUUGUUCAACAGAGACUUGGGUCUCCAUUAAUUCUUCACCUUCUUCACCCAACUUCUUUUGCACCCAACUUCCUUUUUACCGAACUUCUUCCUCACCAUUAAUUUACCUACAUUUCUCACUCACUCUUCUAAAACAUCUCCUUUUCUCCCUUCCCUUUAUUUAUUCUCUUCUCCCUCUUACUGUCCUAAAGGAAUGUCUCCCAUCCCUUUUUUCGCUUUCACCUCUCUCAAUUUCUAGUUGUUCACAGGGAACAGAGAUAUACGUAGAUGUGUAGGUGGAGGGAGCAGAAUCAUCAUAAUCUCAAGGGAUGAACAUAUAUUGAAGACACAUAAAGUGGAUGAUGUUUAUCAAGUCCAACCGUUGAGGGAAAAAAAUGCUAUGCAGUUGUUUUGUAAAAAUGCUUUCAAAGUUAAUUAUAUAUUGGGUGAUUAUGUAAACUUGGCAUGUGACGUACUUUUUCAUGCUCAAGGCCAUCCCUUGGCAAUUGAAGUAAUUGGGUCAUCUUUGUUUGGUCGAAAUGUCUCACAAUGGAGAAGUGCAUUGGAUAGGCUAAGACAUAACAAGGAUAGAAAUAUUGUGGAUGUUUUACGUAUAAGUUUUGAUCACCUAGAAGAAGACAAAAAAGAAAUAUUUUUAGAUAUUGCAUGCUUCAUUGCUGAUAAUAUUCAUGGUAAGGGUGAUGUGGAGAAAUUCUUAAGCUUUCAUGGAUUUGAUUACGCAAAUGGCAUACUAGCUGUAAUUGAGAAAUCUCUAAUAACAUGUGAAUAUGGGGAUAUUUGUAUGCAUAGGUUGUUGAUGGAUUUGGGGAAGAGUGUUGUUAGAAAAAAUCACCUAACAAGCCUCUAAAGUGGAGUAGGUUGUGGGAUUACAAAGAUUUCGAGAAAACUAUGUUAGAGAAUUAGGUAAAAUUAAUUGAGUCAGUAUAAAUCUUACAUUGCCAUUUUUUCUAGAAUAUGAAAACUCUUCGAAAAGUAUUAUAAUGUUAUUCUUUCUCUGUAAUGUUGUAGGCAACUGAAAAUCUUGAAGUCAUAUAUAUUGAAAAGUAUUGGCAUGAAGAGAGUGUGAGGGCAGAUGGUCUAUAAAAAAUUAGACACCUUAACUUGCUUCAUCUUAGGGAUGUGAAAUUUUCAAGAAGUCUCAAUCAUCUUUUGAAUGAACUAGCAUAUUUUAAUUGGAGGGAAUAUUCUUUUAAAUGUUUGCCUCAAAGUUUUCAACCAGAAAAACUAGUCGAGUUACACCUUUUUGGGAGCAGUAUCAAACAACUAUGGAAAGGCAUAAAGGUAAUGUGUAUUAAUUUUUCUAUUUUUUUUAAAUAAACCAAAUAAAUGACAAACAAUGUCUUUUAGUUUCCUUUUUUCUUUAACUAAUUAAAGAAAAUCCAAAUUUCAUUAUUAAUUUUGUCUUAUAUUUGCUAAUCACUGUAGCCAUUGCACAAUUUAAAGCUUUUGAAUCUCUCUUUCAACAAAUAUCUAGUUGAGAUGUCGGAUGUUAGAGAGGCCCUAAAUCUUGAAAGGAUAUAUCUUGAAGGAUGCAUAAAGCUCGAAAAACUAAAUCCAUUGAUCGGUCUUUUGAGAAGUCUUGCUAUUUUGAAUUUGAGAAACUGCAAAAACCUAGUAAGCUUAUCCAAUACCAUAUUGGGGCUGUAUUCUCUUGAAUAUUUGAAUGUCUCUGGAUGUUCAAAACUGUAUAAUAAUGAGUUAUUAGAUGAACAAAGGAACACAAGGCAUUUGAAGAAGCUUUGUUUAGCAGAAGCUCCUAUUCUUUCCCAGUCAACAUCCUUUUUCAUAAACAAAAUGUUGUUGCGGCCUUCAAAUUUGUUGUUGCCUUCCAUUCCUACUUUCCCUUGUUUGCUCACUUGUUUGCGUGAACUCGAUCUAAGCUUCUGUAACUUAAUUCGAAUCCCUGAUGCCAUUGGGAAGUUAAGGUGCCUUGAACGGCUAAAUUUGAAGGGAAACAAUUUUACUAAACUUCCUAACCUGCAUAACCUUGUCAGAUUGUAUCAUUUAAACUUACAACAUUGCAAACAAUUCACACACUUGCCCGUUCUCCCUUUGCAAACCGAAUGUUCCUCAGAAAUUUUCAAGCUUCCACUAUCAUAUUACAAAGAUGAAGAUCUGGUAGGAUUAAUGAUUUACAACUGCCCAAAAUUAGUUGAGAGGGAACACUGUACUAGCUUUAUUUUUUCGUGGAUGAUUCAAAUUUUUCAGGUGUGCAUGCUCCUUCCUUCCUCUUCCCUUCUUUUAAUCUUUUUUUUCCGAAAACAGAUACUGACGCUUAAGUUUGUAGUCUUUUGAGGCGAGGUGCUUCGAAAAUAGGCAAUUUAAUUUCAGGACUCCAUGUGUUGGAAGUGUUAUCCCAGGAAGUGAAAUACCGAGGUGGUUCAACAAUCAGUUUGUGGUGAGCAUGGACAAUUCAAUAAGGAUUGAUGUCUCUCCUCUUAUGCAUGAUAAUAAUUGUAUUGGUGUUAUCUGUUGUGCAAUAUUCCAUAUUGACUUUGGUGGGAGUUAUGAUAAAGUUAUAUAUCAUAAAGCUAAAAUUCCUCCAGUCGAUUUGAGAGGAGAUCUAGUCAUUGACCAGUCAUAUCAUUUGUGGCUAUUUUAUUUGUCUCGUCAAGAGUUUUUUGCAGAACAUUGUAAUUGGAGAUGGUACUCAUUUCAUAAUGGUGUUAUUGGUAUGGAAUUUAGGGAAUUGAUCAGGGACUGGAGCCAAAUCGGCUCGAUAGAAAAGCAAUAUGUUAAGGCCUAUAUAAAUAAAUAUGGGUAUCGGUGGGUAUAUGAGAAAGAUCAACAACUACCAAACACAGGUACUUAUUAUUACUACAUAGAUUCAUUUUAUUUUUGUUUUCUUCUAUUGUGUCUUACAAUGCAUUUGAGAUUUGGAUCCACAAAGUUAUUGUCCUGUGCUGCAACAUGUGAGGGAGUUACUAACUUCACUAUUUAAUAAGAGCUCAAAUAACAACAAAGUCUAUUUUAGUAAUAAGAUUAUAAAGAAAAUGAACCAAAAAUACUCUUUAAGAUCAUCAUACUUGCUCCAUGCUGAGUGUGGAGCCUUUUCAUGUCUGUUUUUCCUAGCUUCCUAGAUUAAUCAACAUGCUACAAAAAUCGUUGAUGAAGGUACGUGAGGUAUUAUCAUUAUGUCAUGAGAGACCAAAUCUUACCUUUUCAAUUACUCGAGUACAAAGGACUUAUAACAUUGCAGAGGAAUGCCUCAUUAUCCCUUGUUUUGUAAAAUUCAUUGUUUUAGUUAGUGCAGUGAGAUAAUCUGAAAUGAACAAAGAUUAAGGAAAAAAGGUGUCUAUUGUGAUUUUUAUAAUAGUUUAUCUCAUACACUAGUGCAAAUUGGCGAAUGACGAUGGUUAAUAAUGAUAGUUUUUGGUUAAUCACCGUAAAAGAAGAUGUCUUGGCAGAGUGGUGAAUAAAUCAAAGUUUCAACAACGAUUUUAAUCUAAAUCGUUGCUAAAAAUGGUGAAAUAAAUUAAAGAAAGACGAUUUUUGAAUGGAUUGUCGAUGAAAAAACAAAAAAGGUAAUGACUUUUAGAUGAUCAAUUUCUAACAAGUUCGUUUAACUACAAAUGGAAUGAAUUUGUUUGAUAAUUUGUGUACUAAUCACAAUUCGUAGUCUGUUUUCAAUCACCAAUUUACUAGUUAUUUAUAACUUACUUCCUAGAUUGAACACCUUGGUCGUGUGCAUAUUGCAAAAUCAAGGGUGGACUUCCCACAAUUCUUUGGAACAUCUUGACACGAGUACUUUUCUAAGGCAUUUAGCCAAGAAGCUAAUUUAAAAUUGAGGUAGUAGAUCACGUAGGAGUUAACAUGGGAGGUUACUCAAGAGGUGAGGCAAGAGCUUAUGUAGCACCUAGAGACCUUAAGUCUUUCACAACACAACUCUUGCACAGAAGACCUUUGUGCCUCCCACAAUUACAGUUAGCGCAAAGAUGUUGAACAAGGUGCUUUGAUGUCUCCAUAUCCAAGAGGAAUGCUUGAAGACCUUGUUGUUGGUUGUGUGUGUGUCUAGAAGUCUUUGAAUUUGUUAAUCCACUCUUUAAGAUGAUCCAAGGUUAAUUAAAUCUUAUUCCUUUUUAAAAAGAUGAGUUUUCUAAAGAGUGUGAAAUUUCAACCUGUUGAAAUGUCGAUUCAACCUGUUGUUUGACGCUUAGUGGAUUUUGAAGAGAGUUUGAAAAGCUUGGCUUUGUUUGAUUUUGUUGUCAAACUAAUUCAACUGGUUGUUUUUUUGAAAACCGUAACAGAUUUCUGUUAAGUUGUACCAAUCUGUUUUAAAUGAUUCAAACUGCUUUUGGUUCUUGAAUUAAAUUCUUUGACCAUAUGAUUGGAGUAAGGUUGUUUUAUGCUCCUGGUCAUUAACUCAGAAAGAGAGAUAAAUCAAAAUCAAUUUUCAAGAUUUCAAAGAGCUUUUGGAUCAUCUCAAGUGUGGAAUAUGAUUGUCUUGUAAUUCUGAAUUGUAAUCUUUGAUUUACCCAGGUAUAUUCUAUUCCCUUCUUCCUUAAACAUUGUAUUUGCAUGUGUUCUGGUGUGGUGCAGUUUCAAAAAGUGUGUUAUGGAAACUGUGUGGUUUGCCAAGAGUGGUGUGUUCUUGAAGGGUUCAAGAUUAUCAUUCUUGGUGUGUUGUUUGUAAUCUAGGGUUUAUUACAUAGUGAAUUCUCACUAGUUAGCUAAGAACUGGAUGUAGAUUUUGGUAAAGAGUGAACCAGUAUAAACAUCUUGUGUGAAUCUCUCUAUCCUUACACUCAUUAAACUGCUUUAGCUUUGAUUUUCUAAACUCCUGAUAUAAACAACCGGUUGUUUCGUAAAAACAACUCGUUGAUUUUCUGGAAUCAAACUAAAAACAGUUUUCUUUUUGGUUGAACAGUUUUCUAAUUGGUUGAUUCUUCAUAGUCUUUCACUCUACCUUCAAUACUUGCAAAAAUAUUUCAAAAAUAAUUCAUCCCCCUCUUUUUAAAGGCCUUUAAUUCUAACAAUUGACAUUAAGAGUUGAGUUCUUGAAAGUUACUAAAGUUUCAAUCCUAAAACCUUUUUAAAAUGGCUGAAAAACUACCCUUUGGGGAGGGUGCUUCUAUUAACAGGCCACCUCUGUUUUGUGGAUUGAAUUAUCAAUUUUGGAAGGUUAGAAUGAAAAUCUUUGUUGAAUCAAUUGAUAGAGGAAUCUGGGAUGCUAUUGUAAAUGAUCCUUUUGUACCUAAGCAUGAAAAGAUGAUGUUUUCAUUGGAAAACCUUGGUUCCAAUGGACUGAGCUUGAAAAUAAAAAGGCUCAAUAUUAUUGCAUUGCCAAGAACAUCACCUCUGUCUUAAAUUCUUAUGAGUUUUUCAGGGUAUCACAAUGUGCUUCUACAAAAGAGAUGUGGGACAUCCUUGAGGUUACCCAUGAAGGCACCACUAAUGUGAAGAGGGCAAGGAAGCAUGCCUUGACCCAAGAAUAUGAAAUGUUCAGAAUGUUAAAGGGGGAAACCAUCUCAGAUGUGCAGAAAAGAUUCACCCACAUUGUGAAUCUUCUCAUCAGCCUUGGCAGGAUCUUUGAAAGGGAGGAGCUGAACAUCAAGAUCCUCAAAUGCUUGGAUAGAUCAUGGCAACCAAAGGUCACUGCAAUUUCUGAAUCAAAGGAUUUCACAACCUUGACCACAACCUCCUUUUUGGUAAGCUAAGAGAGCACGAACUUGAGAUGAACUGACUGAAUGACCAAGAACAUGAAGAAAAGCAUGUGAGAAGCAUUGCUUUAAGAGUUGUUGGUCAUAAAGAUGGUCAAGACUGAAGUGAGGACAAUGAUGGUGAGACCCCCAACUUGCUCACAAGAAAGUUUAGCAAAUUCUUUAAAAAGAACAAUCGGGACAAGAACCAAUCUUCAAACAUGUAUAAUAGUAAGAAAGUGAAUAAAUUCAAUUCUACAUACUAUACUUGUUUUGGAUGUGGUAAACAGGGUCAUAUCAAAGCCAUUUUUCCAAAUAUUGAGAGUAAGGAGAGAGGGGCAAGCAAGAAGAUUGAAAGGAAGGGCAAAGCAAAAAGAGCCUACCUGACUUCGCAAUAUAAUGAUGAUUCUUCCUCAAGCUCAUCAUUAAAGGAAGAUGAACAGGAAAAUCUGUGUUUUAUGGUAAAGGAAGAAUAAAAAAACAAGUAGUGUAAGUUUUGACACUUCCCUAAACUUUGAAAAUUAUAACAAACUUCUUGAUGCUUUCAAAAAGACUCAUAAAGAAGUUAAUAUAUUGACCCUUUUGAACAACCGCGUGAAAGGCUUAAAUAAUUGGUUGGAAAACAUAGUCAAGACCUUGGAAGAAGAGUUGAGACAUUCAAAAACUGAUUUUGAAAACCUUUAAAUGAUUUACAAGAACUCUUCUUACAAGUGUGACUCUAGCUUUUGUAAAAAUUCUAUAAAAAUACCCUUUUUGGAAUAGUGUAGUGCAUCGAUUGCAAUUAUUUUAAAAAAAAUAAAUCAAUCAGUUAUAAAUUAAUCAAAUUUAUAUGAAUUGGCUAGACUUACAAAUAAUCAAGGAUUAAUAAAUUUUGGUUGAGAGAAAUAAAAACGUUUUCUGUAUUUUAAUUCUUUUUUUAAUAAAUUUAUAUUAAAUUCAAUGUCAAUUGUUUUACUUAUUCCAAAUUAUCAAGUAAUUAAAAAUUAUAUUUAAUUACUAUCAUAAAUAAAAGAAAACUCAAUAAAUUUUUAUACAAUUUUUACUUAUAAAUUUUAUAUAAUUUUUUUACCAAAUAAAAAAAAUUAUAAUUUUAGUAGAGGUUUAUUCAGUGGCCCGUUUUUCUUCUUUCCCUCUCCUUCUAUUUUCACCUUCCACCUCACCACCACCAUCAUUUACCGACUAUAUUCUUUCUCUUCUUGGUUGGGUUGAGUGUGGGGAGCAAGAGAAUGGAGAAGAAAAAGACUCGGAGGGUUAAGGGAAGGAGACAAUCACGAAGCUCCAAGAACAAGUAGCUGAGGCAGAAUGUUGUUGCACAGAUCUCGGGAAGAAGAUAAUGACGGUGUUGCAUGCCAGGAAGAGUGCGAAGGGACAUCAUGAGAAUGAGAGGGUUUUCGAUAAGAGUUAUGUGAUGUGGCCUUUGAAUUUGGUUAACCACGGUGCUGGUUUCAUCGGAAACCCCAAAACCCCUUGCCUCCACGAUUCCCUUUCCGAAUCCAAGGUUGAGUCUCUAUCCAUGGAAUUGUUGGUAUGUUUCAAUUUUAAGAAGUUGCCAAUUUGAUCAGAUUUUUUAUAUCUUGCGUUUUUGUUUGACUUGUCUUUGUUCGUGAGGAUUUUAUUUGAGGGAAAUGGGUUCAUGUUUACUUGCAAGGGUAUAGAUUCAAAGAAACGGUGCAUGCUUAUUUUUCGGUAACGAGAAUGAUACAAAAGAGAGGUCAUUAUAAUUUUUUUAUUAAGUUAAUUGAAUAAUGAUCAGGGAUUUAAAGGUUGGAAUGCUCUGCUGUUGAAAACCGAUGGUAUACCUAGAUAGCUACCAAAGAGGAAAUUUCGUUUAACGUACCAAAUGAACCUCUUUAACACAAUUAUGCAGAUAAUUUCUGAAGUUCCUCACUUCUUCUUUGUUGUGCCUGUGAUUGCAGGCACUAAGUGACUCUUGUACCAUCCCGUCCCCGGGCGUUGACCAGAAGUCAAGGUCACACGCAUGGUGGGACCCCUCAAGGGACCCAAGGAAGGAAAAGUCAACAGGUCGACCACUCACGACGUCGCCAAAGUAAGACGUCGCCCUAAAGUAAGACGUCACCCUAAAGAAAGAUGUCGCCCUAAAGAAAGACAUCGCCCAAGAGAGACGUCGGGCCUCGACAGUCCAGAACAGUAGCAAAGUGAAGAGAAAGGUGGCUUCAAGACCACACGUGCAUGGUACGAGAGAAAGGAAGUUACACCACCAGGGCAAGUGAUCAGUGAUUGGGGUACAUGAGUUGGCACCCAAAAAAGUCAACCCACGUGACAGAAGCACUUCGUAGAAAAGAGGGCUCACACGAUGGAAUAACCCUAAGUUGGGUGGCGGCACUAUGGGACCCUCUGCACAGAAUAACGAUCAAGUCAGAGGGACACGUGGCAGUGCCCACGUACUCAUUAAAGGUUUCAAGGGAAGUUUGUCAAGGUACGCGUUAAGUAAGUUAAGAUUCGUGUAUUCCAAGGAAUGUUUUUAUACGCUUUCAAUGCGCUUUAAUGCGCUUUAACGAUGAAAGAUGUAUAAAAAGGGACCUUGGGAGCAUUUGAAAGGGAGAGAGUUUUGACCUAAUUCUCAUAAUCACACAGAGCACAAACCCUAAUUGUUCUUGACGGGGCACCCAACUGUGAGCACGAGGCAAUUAGGGCAACGCAGUUCUAGUUACACAAUUUCAGUCAUUCAGUAUAGUUCUCGACCACCUUCAGAGGGUGUGUCACCUCUUGAUGUUUCUUGCUAGCUGACUUGAUUGUCGAAGUGCAAACGGCCGCGAGGGCGCCCCUUUGUUCACUUCGUUUUUAGGUACCCAUAGACGAAGCAAAACGAAGGUGCCCUAGCUUGCGAGGACAAGCCACGCGCAAAGACGAUCCCGGUCAACCGGCGGGAACAUUUGGCGCCCACCGUGGGGCCGAUAUAAACAUCACUCCCACUGCACACCUUUUUCAGUUCCAGUUCUCAAAACCCAGACAAGUAGGAGGGUUUCCGGAAAGUCAUGGCAACUAGACUUGCACGCGCCAGGAGUGAAGAGAUGACCAUGCAACAACUCAUGGGCAUGAUGCAAGGGCUGCAUGAAGCAAUGGCAGCGUCGAAAGCGGAGCAGGAGCGCAUGCAGGCGGAUCUCCCAGCUUCUCAGGCGAGAAACGAUGAGCUCCACCGUGCCAACGAGGAGUUACGCCGUGGAUGGCGUGGCGGAGACGAGCCUGAGGCUGCCUGCCCACCUAGAGAAUUCACAACACCAUUCUCACAGGCGAUCCUGGAGACAGCGAUCACGAAUACGUUCACAGGGCCCAAGGUAACCUUCACAGGGAUGGAGGAUCCUGAGGCACACCUCACUGCGUUCCACUCACAGAUGUUGUUGGUUGGCGGUUCUGAUGCCGUAAGGUGCAAGCUCUUUAUGAGCACUCUAACUGGGAUGGCUAUGGAUUAGUUCAUCAGCCUCCCAGAGGGUCACAUCACGUCUUUCGCCCAGCUCUCGCGACUAUUCAGAGAGCAGUAUUUAGCCAACAAGGCCCCAGCCCCAGUCUCGUACGACCUUUUCGACGUGAAGCAAUUUCAAGGUGAGACCCUUAAGGAAUACAUAAGCCGCUUUGGGGCACAAGUGGUGAAGGUGGGUACCACCGAUGAACCCAUGAUUGUGUACACAUUCAGGAAGGGGGUACGACCCAGGUCUUUUGGUAAGUCGCUUAACUGCAAGCUUCCCAAAACCUUUUCUAAAGUAAGGCGACAAGUGGUAGAGCACAUUGUCUCAAAGGGCGAGGCAUACGAGAAGUGCAUGCCUGCUGCACCUGCGCGACCAAUGGCGCAGAUACGCACGCAACCUGCUAGGGUUCACGAAGUUGCCACAGAAAGAAAGAACCCAGACAGGAAGCGCAUCUACGAGACAAGGAGGACCCAACCUAGGGGUCGAGCAGAAGGAAGGAGAGAGGGAAGUAGGCCACUAAGGCACAACUUUGUGGUGGAGCUCAAAGACCUCAUCGUUGUGCCCAACAUAGCUGAAAGGUUGAGGCCACCGGUAAAAUCUGACAAGGUGCUGGGACCUCACAAGGAAUCAUGGUGCGAAUUCCACGAAGCAUUCGGGCACCAUAUUAACAACUGUUUGGCGUUGGGCUACCAGUUGGAUGAACUUGUAAAGAAUGGCUUCUUGAAGGACUACUUGGUGGAGAAGCAGACGGGACAAUCGUCAGGUUCACAACCGGAGAGAAGUGAGAGACAGCAGCACGAGGUACCCAUUCACGACGAGGUCCACACCAUAGUUGGUGGGUUCUCGGGCGGUGGGUGUACCGCGUCACAACGCAAGAGGUAUGCAAGGUCCGUGAUGUCAGUAGAAGCUUUUGAGGAUCACUCACCCGAUGUGGACAUCACGUUGACCAAAGAAGACCUCAGGGAUGUUGUGCCCCACGACAACGAUCCCAUUGUAAUCUCGUUUGUUAUGGCGGGAAGGAUGGUCCAUCGAGCGUUGGUCGACCAGGGGAGCUCGGCAGAUGUGAUGUUUUGGCCGACUUUCGAAAAUUUACGGCUAUCUCCAAACCAGCUGAGGCCAUAUGGGGGCUACUUAUACGGUUUCGCUGGUGAUCAAGUGGAGGUCAGAGGGUACAUUGAGUUAAGGACGACGUUCACAGACGGAGCGGCCUCGCGCACAGAGAAGAUCAGAUACCUCGUCGUGAACGCUCCUUCGACAUACAAUAUCCUGUUGGGAAGGUCGACACUCAACAAGAUAGGAGUUGUGCCCUCCACGAGGCACAUGAAGGUAAAGUUACCUUCAAUGGAGGGGGUGGUCAUCACCAUUCGCUAUGAUCAAAAGAAGGCAAAGAAGUGCUAUGAAAACAGCCUCAAGAACAAGAGAUCGAUAUGCCACGUAACCACAACGCCGCCACCUGGCGUGGAGCCUGAGCAGGAAGACCGGCGAGUUGUGGAUACAGUGUUGGAGGUGGCCGCCGAGGGCGAUGUGAUAAUGGAGGAUGUCGAGGCGAGGUCCGAGAGCGCCGCUCGGGUGGAGGAAGAGAGAAACUGCCCGGAGAUCGCCAGAGAGUUAGGUAUUGUGAGAGCGCUAAUCGCCAACGAGAAGAGGCCUCGGCCGGUUGAGGAUUGGCUUGAGAAGAAGAUCGACGGAAAAACAUUUAAGCUGGGGAAGACCCUAGAUGGCGAGACACAGAACCAUGAGGAACAAAAUGCCCGAGCUGACUUGCUAGCCAAGCUCGCCAGUUCAGGCAAGGGUGGCAGGCAGAGGACUGUUACACAAGAAACUCUGAAGACACCUCGAGCAUUUGUAGCAGACCACCAGGUUCUUCAAGUUUGCAAGUCGAUGAAAGGGAUGACGAGGAGUCACAAAUCUUUAACUCAAGAGACUUUGAGGACGUCGAGAGUUAGAGCGCAUCCAGUAGGAGAGGCGAAGAUGACGCAAGUUUGCGCUAUCCACGAACCAGAUACAUGGAUAACGCCAUACCAGCGGUACAUGGCAGAUAGCGUUCUCCAAGUGGAUCUGACGGAGGCCAGAAAGGUAAAGAAGAACUCCAGCAAGUUCACCCUAAUCGAUGGUGAGUUGUACAGGUUUGGGUUUACACACCCCCUGUUAGUAUGUGUGCAUGGAGAAAAGUGCAUGAGAAUUAUGGCUGAGCUCCAUGAGGGGAUUUGUGGGAGUCACAUCGGAGGUCGAGCCCUGACAAUAAGAACUCUCCGUGCAGGUUAUUAUUGGCCAACCAUAAGGGAAGAUUGCAAAAGAUACGCCCAGCGGUGCAAGCAAUGCCAGCAACACGCCGAUUAGCACAAGGCCCCCCCAGAAGAGCUAAAGUCAAUCUACAGCCCCUGGCCGUUCCAUAUGUGGGGAAUCGAUAUUCUGGGACCUUUUCCGUUGGCGAUCAGGCAAAUGAAGUAUUUGGUUGUGGCAAUCGAGUACUUCACGAAGUGGAUUGAAGCAGAAUCGGUAGCCCAGAUCACCGCGCACAAGAUUCAGAGUUUCGUGUGGAAGAACAUCGUGUGUCGCUUUGGUGUGCCCAAGAGUUUGGUAUCAGAUAAUGGGACUCAGUUUGCAAGUCACCUGUUGAAGAAUCUGUGCGAGGAUAUUGGAACACAACAGGUGUUUGCUUCUGUUGAGCAUCCGCAAACGAAUGGGCAAGUGGAGUCAGCUAAUCGGGUGUUGUUGAGAGGCUUGAAGAGGAGGUUGGAGAAGGCAAAGGGAUCUUGGGCGGAAGAGGUUCCCCGUAUAAUAUGGGCAUAUCAUACCACUGAGCAAUCGGGAACUCAUGAAACCCCGUUUAGCUUGGUGUAUGGGUGCGAUGCGAUGAUCCCAGUUGAAAUCCAGGAAAGCUCGCCAAGAUUCCAGAACUUCGUAACGGAAGACUCGAACGCAGAAAGGAGAAUGAACCUGGAUUAGCUGGAUGAGGUCAAGGAAGAAGCAAGGGUGAAGGCUGAAGCAGUAAAGAGAAGAGUUGAACACAAGUACAACUCCAGAAUGAAACCAAGACAAUUCAGAGAUGGCGACCUGGUGAUGAGGAAGGCCCACCAGUAUGAGAUGCAGAACAAAUUGUCGCCCAAGUGGACAUGACCGUUUAGAAUAACCGAAGCACUCGGGAACGGCGCCUACCGCUUGGAAACAAUGGAAGGAGGGGCGAUUCCUCGCACUUGGAACGCCACCCACCUCAAGUUUUAUUACAGUUAAAGCAUUGUAAGUAGCAAUAAAACAGUUUUUCAAGGGGGCACUCUUUUUCCCUAAAGAGGGUUUUUUAACGAGGUCACCCAAUAAAGAAGGUUUUGAAGUUUAUCAAAGUUUCCAAGCUCAUUAAGUUUGCAUACUAUUCGUUUUUUAAGUUUCGGAAAGAGAUUUCAUCGCCUUUGUGUAAUUUAAAGCAAUGGUGAAUUCAGAUUGUAUGCAUCCAACACAAAAUCUUAGAGUAUAAAGUUUUAAAGAGGUAAGAGUUAAGUUUUAAGUCCUCAUCGCCGUCUGGCGAUCGGAGGCAUCAACAUAAAGUUUUUAAGUCCUCAUCGUCAUCUGACGAUUGGAGGCACGAGUAUAAAGUUUUCAGUUCUCACCACCGUUCGACGAGAAACUAUUUAAAAGGACCUCCUCGCCUCAAGCGAGUGUAGGCGAGAAGAGAGAAAGUCCUUCUCACCCUCGAGUGAGUUCAGGCAAGAGCAGAUUGCAAAGUCCUCAGUGCAUCCGGGGAAGAGGAGAUGUGAUCCCUCGACAAAGUAGAGGCACCAGAGAAAGUCCUCCUCGCCUUGAGCGAGUCCAGGCAAGAGCAGAUUGCAAAGUCCUCAGUGCAUCCGGGGGAAGAGGAGAUGUGAUCCCUGGGCAAAGUAGAGGCACCAGAGAAAGUCCUCCUCGCCUUGAGCGAGUCCAUGCAAGAGCAGAUUGCAAAGUCCUCAGUGCAUCCGGGGAAGAGGAGAUGUGAUCCCUAGGCAAAGUAGAGGCACCAGAGAAAGUCCUCCUCGCCUUGAGCGAGUCCAGGCAAGAGCAGAUUGCAAAGUCCUCAGUGCAUUCGGGGGAAGAGGAGAUGUGAUCCCUGGGCAAAGUAGAGGCACCAGAGAAAGUCCUCAUCGCCUUGAGCGAGUCCAGGCAAGAGCAGAUUGCAAAGUCCUCAGUGCAUUCGGGGGAAGAGGAGAUGUGAUCCCUGGGCAAAGUAGAGGCACCAGAGAAAGUCCUCAUCGCCUUGAGCGAGUCCAGGCAAGAGCAGAUUGCAAAGUCCUCAGUGCAUCCGGGGGAAGAGGAGAUGUGAUCCCUGGGCAAAGUAGAGGCACCAGAGAAAGUCCUCCUCGCCUUGAGCGAGUCCAUGCAAGAGCAGAUUGCAAAGUCCUCAGUGCAUCCGGGGGAAGAGGAGAUGUGAUCCCUGGGCAAAGUAGAGGCACCAGAGAAAGUCCUCCUCGCCUUGAGCGAGUCCAUGCAAGAGCAGAUUGCAAAGUCCUCAGUGCAUCUGGGGGAAGAGGAGAUGUGACCCCUGGGCAAAGUAGAGGCACCAGAGAAAGUCCUCCUCGCCUUGAGCGAGUUCAGGUAAGAACAGCUUAGAAGUCCCCAACGCAUCCAGGGGAAGAGGAGAUGUAACCCCUGGGCAAUUUGAGGCACCAGAAAAAGUCAUUCUCACCCUCGAGUGAGUUCAGGCAAGAUGAAAUUGAAAGGUCAGGGGUGGGUGGCUGGGGAAGAUUCGCAAAGGACAUCUCACCACCUAAAUCAUUGUUCCAAAACUCAGGCAAGAUAGAGGGAGAUCCAAAAGCCAGCUCUUCUUCCAGUCAAGAAAAGGUGUUUUAAUUAAAAAGAAAAUAGUGUCGCCGAAAGCCUAUGGCUUUGUGGUUGAAACUCGAACGAAGAGAUACACGGCGAGGACUAAGUGAGCAGAGUUUUUAGGCGGUGAUAUAGAAAUGUGCAUGACACUUAGCGAUUCAGGCGAACGAUAUUUCAGACAAUAAGGUUGACCCAAGCCUACUGCCCAGUAAGUGAUCUUGAAUUAAAUGUUAUUGCUACGAACUAAUGGUUUGUUCAGUUAAGUUGAUUUUCACGGAAUCAAGCAUCGGUUGGUGCUAGGUUGAUCUCUUUAAGACAAGAAGAACAAAUGAUUACACAACAGAUAAAGGCGAAGCCAUGUGCAUAUUUAUAUGUAUUAAAACAGUUGGGAUGAAGAAAAGGUCAUUACGAAUAAAUUCAUUGCACAUAAACAAAGGUUCAAUAUAUAAGUUUUUCAGAAUGUUUCAAGUCAAAGUGGCAGAUGGAAAUAUUAAUCUGAAGGUACAAUUUUGCCAUCUACCACUUCAUGGCAAAUCGAGAACUGAGAGAGGUCCAAGUCGGGUAAGCGCAAGCGAACUGCUCCAAGGCCGCGCCAAACCCUGAAGUCAGGACGUUUGCGACGUUGAGGUCGAGCUCUUCGAUCUGUGUCUUUAACUUUUCGUUCUCCUCAAGCGCAUGGGCAAGCUUUGCUGCAGACUCGCUCAACUCCUUGUUUUUCUCGCUCAGUUCCUUAGCUUUUUGGUCCCUGUCAGCUUCAACUUUGCCCAGAAGGUCCUCCCUCUCGAUUGACUUGGCCUCGAGCUUAUCCACAUAGGCCUUGUUAGCCUUGAGGGCCCCCUCCAAGUUGGCUAUCUUUUCCCUAUGAGGCACGAGUUUACUCUCGAGAUCGACGGCCUCUAAGAGUUUGACAUUGAGCUUUUCGCGUAGCUCAGUGCUACUUCUACGUUCGCUCCGCAGCUCGUCCCGUAGGGCAUUCUCUAGCUGUGAAAACUCCAGUCCCCGCAUCGUAAUAUCACACUUAAGUUUUUGGACUUGGGCCCUCGCAGUGCUAGCUUCGAACUCGUAUUGGCACAAGGAGUCCCUUAGAGCCUCGCCCAUCAUCUUGUGAAGACGUUUCUCCACGCACUCAGUAGUUAUGGCGCUGAGAUGAGCGGCGUGGGCCUUCAAGACUUCCUCAACGGGGGUGGGGAGAGCAAGGAUUGGAGGAGGUGUUGGGGGUUGGUUCUCGCCACCACCCUCGCAAGCUUGGGUGGCGAGAGGAGCAUCAGAGCGUGGUGGUGAGACGGUUGGCUCCACUACAGGUUGGGGGGGUGAUUGAGCGUCCACAAGUUGCUCUUGAGCGCCUCCAGCAGCUGAGGUGUUUGAUGGGAGAGCAUCCCCAGCGCUCUCAAAGGGUGUGGAAGCGGUGGGGGGAUUCUCUGCAUAGUUUGGGCCUGCGCUUUCGAUUACUGGUGGCUCAGUUGUGGUCGCUCUGUUCCUUUUGCAAACAAGCCCAUCCUCAGUGCUUUCAUCCUCUUCUUCGUCCGAUACCACUGUAGGAGUCUUCCUCUUGGCCCUUUUUGGUGGUAGUUUUUUCCUCUCAGGGGAAGGAAGAGUGGCAAGGGAAGGUGGGUCCACUUGGGGGGACUUACCCAGGGCAGCAGCAGCUCCUGCAAUUGAAUUUGGAACGGUUUGGGAAACCGCGUCGAGUUUGUGACGUUUGACUAUGGAGCGCAGCCUGGCCAUGUGAUCUUUCCCUAACAUUGUAUCUACACAAAAAGAUCGAUGCUUGCAAAUCAAUCCAGUUCAGGCAGUUAAUAAUGCAAAGGAGAGCAAGUGAUGGGAACACUAAUGCAUGGAUCAAACAGCCAAGAAUGGGUACAGAUCGGUGUAAAGCAAGCAAAAUGGAUGACGAGUAAAGGGGACUUGACAUAGGAAAGAGAAAUUCAGAGAAGAAGGGAGGGCAGACCUAUGUGGAAGUCCAGUUGACUUUCAGCGAAUUCAAACUUGAUGAUCGAGGAGGUGGCCAAAAUGGUGUUGGAGGAGGCCACUUCUUUCCAGAAGCUGCACAAGUCUUUGCCAAGCUCCCCCAUUUUUUCUGGACUCCUAGCCUUCCGAAAGGUGUCCUUGGACUCCUUCUUCCCCUUGUUAACCCAGUACAAGGGGAAUCCAUCGAGAAGGGUAGGAUCCCGAUCAUUACAGCACACGCAGACAAACUUGCUCUUCCAGUCUUUGUAGGAUUGCAAGAAGAUUGAGAGGAUGGACCUCCCAGCAAUCCCAUUAAGGCUCACCCACAGACGAUCCCCCGGGUUCUUGGCCUCGAACAAAAAUAGGAAUACGUCUACAGAGGCUGGGUGGCCUAUGUGUGCGCAGAUAAUUUGAUAUGCCCUGAUGAACGCCCAGCCGUUGGGGUGCAGCUGGGCGGGGGCAAUGUCAAGCUCGAUUAGAAGUUCCCUCUCAAAGUGAGUAAAAGGGAAUCUGAGCUUGAACUUCUUGAAUGCGGUUGUGUAGACGAAGCAGAAGGGGUGGUCGUUGUUUCCUGCAUCGUCAGUACAGACAGGUUCCCCAGGAAGACAAGGAAGAAUGGCCACCUUGUCGUCAUGUUCCUUACUAAAGGAAAGGAAAAACCUAAGCACAGGAAAAGCAAAACAGAGAACAAACAGCCCACAACGUAUGCUCCAGACAGUUAAUGGAUGAUGCAAACCGAUUAAAAUGUAGCAAAUAUCAGUGGGAGGGAUAGAAAAGUUACCUUUUGAUAGUCAGAAAAGCGUUUCGUAAGAUGGUGAUUGAGGGAGUCAAAGCAUUCGCUGAGGCGUUUCGAAAAGUUUGAGAAUGAAGAAGAAAAUAAUGGAACAGUGAAGUGGCGCGAGAAUUUUAAGAGUUUCGAACAUUACAAGAAGCGCAAACGGUAGGAAAUGAUGGUCGUUGAUAAGUCCACGUGUCAGUUAACAGGAAGGGGUUGGUGAAGUGUCAAAUCAGUAAAUGGAGUGGGCGUUAGCGCGCGAAGCCACGUAGAUCGCUGAAGUUUCAACUUCUUAGUCUUCUCGCCGGACGAAUCACGGCUUAUGUACCGAUUAGGUCAUCGGGUGUGAUGACAGGGACAAGAGAAAGGUGGGUGGUCAAGAAGUGUACAUAGUCGUCGUUUGUGGAGGUGGCGCUCUGCAACAUACGUAAUCAGGCGUCGGCAGGUUGUGCCAUCGCCGAAACAAAAGAUCAGGUGGUCUGACAUCGCCGCGGAAAGCAAAUUGCCGGUUCUCCCAGUAAACCCAGAUAAAAGCUGUCGGGGUCUCAGGCGAGGAAGUUCGAGCGCAUGAGAAUCCCUCGCAGGUACGAAGGCCAAGCGAAGCUAUGAGUGAAGAGAUCAAGAGAAGGGUAUAUACCGUAACUCAAAAGGAAAGAAUGGAGAAUAGGAGGGAAGAGCACGUGCUACCUAAAGAGUUAAGGUCCAACACGAUGGAGGGGGGUAUUGAAAGUAACGCACACGGUAUAGCAAAGAAAGCAGAAGCAGACACAAACAUGCAAAGAUAAAGCGCGUAGCGUUUAAACAUAAAUCAAGCGUAAAUCAAGAGUUACGAUUACAGAUAAAGUUCAUGAUAGUUGCAAAUUGAACAAGAGACAAUCAUAUACACAUCCAAUAUUCAUACGAAAAACAAAGUCAGGCCACUCUUUAGAGGCCUCCGGAGUUUGAGCUGGGUGAUGCUCAAGCCCCAUCCUCGGGCCUCAACGCCUGGGCCAACAGCGACCUUCGUUGCCUGUUUAUCUUCGAACCUGCGCCAAAAGGGACAAGCAUGGUAAAAGACGGGUACAAACUAAGGCACUACAAGAUAAAUCAUGCAAGAAUCCAGCAAAAGCAAGGAACGGGAGGUUAUAAGGGGAAUCUCUCAUACCUAUGUAUUUUUCCAGAGCCUCAGCGUUGUAUUCCAGGCUUAUCAAGGCGGCAGCGUCAAAGCCCCCCGCACCAGCCAAGAUCCGGCAAGCCUCUCGAUCGUUCGAAGGCAGCCUCUUAAGAGACCUGGACUUCAGGGCUCUUACCUCCUUCACCCAAUACAGGGGGAAGCCGUCAAGGGCAGAGGGUACGAGGUCGGAGCAUCAAACCUUGAAGAACUUGCCUUUCCACCCCGUGAAGGAGUGCUGGAAUAGGGUUAAGAGGACCCUACCGGGAACGUUGCUGAGAGUCACCUAGAGAUUAUUCCUUUGCCUCUUCACUUCGAAGAAGUGAAGGAAGAUGUCAACCGAAGGUGCACACCCUAGGAAACCAAACAGUAUGUCGAAGGCUUUGACAAAGGCCCAACUGUUAGGGUACAACUGGGCUGGGGCAACAUUGAUCUCCGUUAGCAGUUCCCUCUCGAACCUGGAGAAAGGCAGACGCACGCCACUUGAAGACCACCUGAUAGAAAUAAAAAAAGGGGACCCCGUUGUUGGCCCGCUCAUCCCCGCACACCGGCUCCCCUAGAGUGCAAGGAAGCACUGCGAUAUCAUCGUCGUGCCUUUUCGCAAAGGCACGGUGGUCAUAGAUACUCGGGUCCCCUACAUGGUCCCUCCAAGCUCUGGUGGAAACUAGGCUCGAGCACUCGUCAAGUAGUUUGUCUGAGGCCCAUGCAUAAAGAUCCCUAUGAUUAACCCUAGAGGAAGGAGGGUCGGCAGUCAUCUUAGCACGUACUGUCAAUAAAGGAACUAAAGAUCGAAGAAGAAGGGUUCAGCAGUAGAGUAGAAGGAAAUAGUCGACGAGGAAAGAACGCGGGGAAAGUUCUUUGGAAGGAAGAUGAACAGUACGGAUAAGAUGUGAAAGAGUAGAAACAAUGAGUUAAAGUGCAGGGUCUUCAAAGACUCGAGCGUUACAAUUGAAGCGCCAAAGGACGCUAAAUGAGCACCGUGUGAUUGGGCCACGUGUCACGAGAUUAAGGUACGACCCGAAGUGUCACCUUUCUCGCUCAGAGAAUAUCACAUCGUCAGAGUCCUUGAGGGUACACCGCGCCGGUGGUGCAGAAAAUGUCACGUCAACCGGUCAGGGAGUUACAUGUCAUCAAAAUGCCGCGAAGACAAUAGGGGCGAGGAAUUAGUCUUCUCGCUGAAACAAGUGCCAGCUCAAGACUGGGGGGCUUGUGUACCGUCCCGUCCCCGGGCGUCGACCAGAAGUCAAGGUCACACGCAUGGUGGGACCCCUCAAGGGACCCAAGGAAGGAAAAGUCAACAGGUCGACUGCUCGCGACGUCGCCAAAGUAAGACGUCGCCCUAAAGUAAGACGUCGCCCUAAAGAAAGAUGUCGCCCUAAAGAAAGACAUCGCCCAAGAGAGACGUCGGGCCUCGACAGUCCAGAACAGUAGCAAAGUGAAGGGAAAGGUGGCUUCAAGACCACAAGUUCUAGGACCAGUAGGGGAUAUCCUGACUCGUGAAGUAUCCACGCCACCGCUGGGAGACCCUGGAAUAGAUACGACCAUGAGAGGGCCAUAACCAGGGGAGAACCACGUGCAUGGUACGAGAGAAAGGAAGAUACACCCCCAGGGCAAGUGAUCAGUGAUUGGGGUGCAUGAGUUGGCACCCAAAAAAGUCAACCCACGUGACAGAAGCACUUCGUAGAAAAGAGGCCUCACACGAUGGAAUAACCCUAAGUUGAGUGGCGGCGAUGUGGGACCCUCUCCACAGAAUAACGAUCAAGUCAGAGGGGCACGUGGCAGUGCCCACGUACUCAUUAAAGGUUUCAGGGGAAGUUUGUCAAGGUACGCGUUAAGUAAGUUAAGAUUCGUGUAUUCCAAGGAAUGUUUUUAUACGCUUUCAAUGCGCUUUAAUGCUCUUUAACGAUGAGAGAUGUAUAAAAAGGGACCUUGGGAGCAUUUGAAAGGGAGAGAGUUUUGACCUAAUUCUCAUAGUCACAUAGAGCACAAACCCUAAUUGUUCUUGACGGCGCACCCAGCUGUGAGCACGAGGCAAUUAGGGCAACGCAGUUCUAGUUACAUAGUUUCAGUCAUUCAGUAUAGUUCUCGACCACCUUCAGAGGGUGUGUCACCUUUUGAUGUUUCUCGCUAGCGGACUUGAUCGUCAGAGUGCAAACGGUCGCGAGGGCGUCCUUUGUUCACUUCUUUUUCAGGUACUCAUAGACGGAGCAAAACGAAGGUGCCCUAGCUCGCGAGGACAAGCCACGCGCAAAGACAAUCCCGGUCAACCGGCGGGAACAACUCUUAUUUCUAUGGUUUGUCAAAUGUGGACCGUGAUUUGAGUUUGAGAGGAGAAAAUUGACCAAAGAUGAUGUUAGAGAGUUGAUUUAUCAAGAGGUAUGGAAAAAAGUACACCGAAAUCGUUGUUGAGUUGGUGAUCUUAGUUUGAACAUAGUUUCUUGUGCUUUGUGGUUGGAUUUACUAUGUCUUUGUCUAUCCAUUAGUUCACAUGGCAGAGACUUGUUUUGUUCAUAACAUAAGAUUCUUGGUUGUGUUCUACCUAACCUAUCAACCAUAUUUAGAAAUGUAAGUAUAAAAGAAUACUAUAUAUUUUACCAUAAUUUAGCAAAUUUGGGACCUUUGCUGCAAAUCAAAGUAGUAGUUGAAUGUCUACUAUGCAAAAGUUGUUAAAAAAGUCUUGAAAUAUGAGCCUAGUACUGGGCACAUGGUUGGUGACUUGAGAUUUUUAACUUAGGAAUUAUUUAUAUUUUAUUGUUUUGGUUGGAUAGUAAUAAGACCAAAUAGCAAACAGAACAAAGUCUUUGAUUGUAAUUUAAGUUGGUUGUAAUUUAGCUUAAGCUUAAUUUUGGAAAAAAAUCAUGCCAAGUAAUACCACUUUUCUCAUUUAGUUCUCGCAUCAUUAGUCUCUUUUAUUGUCUUGAAAUGAAACACUUGAGAAACUGAUGAUUUAUCACAAGUGUUGCAGAAUUUUCAUAUCUGCAUUUUUACUCCACCUCUGUUCAGAAUUUUCUCCAUGUGAGGGUGCAUUAUUUUCUUUAUUACUGCUGCUUGCAUUGUCCAAAUCUUUCUCAAUUCCACUAUCUGUGAGGUUGAAUGUGAAUUUCAGGUUGGGAAUAAUUAGGGGAUAAGUUGACUUUGUAUGUGAUUAUUUUAAAUAUAGUAUUGUCAACCUGGUGGUAUUUUAUUACUAUUACUCUUAGUGGACUGAAAAAUUGGUCUUGGCAUCAGUGUUUGUUUUAGAAUUUAUAAUAAAGUUAAGAGAGGUUAGUCUGAAGCACAUACUAUGAUACUACCUUACUAAAAGUUACUAUGAGCUUUAUCUUUCAAGUGAUUUUAUUUCACUCUGUUCUUGUGCAUAUUAGAUGAUGUCUUUUUCUUGUUAAUAUUUAUUUUUCCAUUGUACCUGUUGACCUUUCGCGUCUUGGUUAAUGUUUUUAUGAUAUUGCUCCUGUUUCUUUUAUUUUUACUUUCAUCAACAUUCAUUAGUUAUCUAUAUUUUAUCGUUUAUGUUACAGCUAAUGUUUAGUUCUCAUUUGACCAAAUCUACUGCCGAGAAGUUCAAAGGCCAAAUCUUAGAAGCAUCUGAAUCUGUCCUUGGAUCAUCUAUAGCAAUAGAAAUUAGAUGUGAGUCAAACAAAGAUGUUACUUGCUGCAAUUGAUGAGAAUCACCGAGGUACUUAUGACUCUCUGUACUUGGCAAUUGACUUUAAGGUAUACAUAUCCUACAUAUCUUUUUUAUUAAGAUUGGGGGAUUUUUCGUCCCAGGAUAUCUUAAUUCUUCUUAAUGCCUAUUUAUUACUUUUGAUCAUAUUUUUUUAUUUGAAACACUUCUACUACCAUGCUCUGUUUGGAUUAUCUAUUUGUAUUGCCAAAGAUGUCAACUAGCAUUUAUUCAUAGCAAAUAAAUCAAUAAAGAAAGGCUAUCAGCAUUAAACCACAUGCUCAUCUACCUCAAAAAUAUCUGCAGGUCCCAUAACUUUGAUUGUGAUGGGGGUGCAAACAAACAUUGUUAUUUUUCGUAUGAAUAAUCCACACUUGAAGAAAAAGUGCCGCAUAUUUACAUCAUGGGUGGUGGUGUAAGGUCAAGAAACCUUACGCUUUGUUCAAUUUUCCAAAAAUAGUUAUAAGAUAAGAGAAAGAACAAGUUAUUUUUAUAAUCUAUAAAAACCAACAUGUCAUGUGAGGAAUAAUGAUGCUGGUGCUUAUAGGUUAGAUUAUGUGCUUUCUUCUAUUCACCCUCAAUUUUUUUAUAUUGAAAGUUAUACUAGAUAAUUCAAUGUUUUUAUUUUUCCUGUUUGGUCUGUGAUUGUUCUAGUUUGUUAUUUGAUCUUCAGGUCACUGGUAUUAUAUCUUUCUUGUGCAUCACUUGAAGUUAGUUUUGGAUUGGUGAGUGUGCAAGUUGUGAAAGUUCAAGUAUUACCCCUCUCUUAAGUAACCCCUAAAGUAAUGUAAAUAAUCCUUCAAAUAUUGAGUAUUCAUGAGUUUAGUUGAUGUAUUUUAGUAAACUUUAGAACGGUUUUAUCAAUAUUCCUUUUGUUUCCCUUAGUUAAUAAUGAAAUUUCAGUGUUUUCUUUCAAUUAUACAUGUUUAAUUAUCUUUCUAUUGUCUCAAUGCUAAUUUGGCUGAUAAAAAAACAUAACAUAUUACUAGCGAACACUGUUUAUUCGGUGUACACAUUUAUAACUUUGAAUAGGGUAAUUGGGAGUGUUGAGGAUAAAACAAAAGAGAGAAGAAAAAGAGGGGGAGGCAUGUUUCAUGUUUGUGAAUUUAUGUCUGUUAUAGAAUGAUGAGUGACGUUUGUUUGUUGCAGAUGGAUAAGGCUUCAAUUAUUAAGGAUGCUAUUGAAUACAUCCAACUUUUGCACAUGCAAAAGAAGAUAAUCUAAGCUGAGAUACUGGAACUUGAAUCUGGGAUGCCAAAAAAGAGUAGUUAUGACUUUGAGCAGGAACAACUUUCUGUCUGAGGUCCAAAAGGAAGAGAACUGAGCAGAUAUACGAUUCAUUCAAUUCAAGAAACUCCCCAAUUGAAGUCCUUGAUGUGAACCCCCUUCUCUCUCUUGUAUUAUUGAUACUAUAAAAAUGAUGUGGGGUAUUGUGCGUUUUUUGUUCUUAUUCAUUUUGAAUUUUGAAUUGAUUUUAAGGUGGUGGAUGCAGCUGAGCGUUACCUACAUGGGGAGAAAACUGUCGUGGUGAGUUUGACAUGUAGCAAAAGAACAGACACAAUGGUGAAACUGUGCGAGGUGUUUGAAUCUUUGAAGCUGAAGAUCAUCAUCACUGCUAACAUCACUUUGUUUUCAGGGAAGCUUCACAAGACAAUCUUCAUUGUGGUACACAAAUCGUUGAUGAAGGUACGUGAGUAUUAUCAUUAUGCCAUGAGAUAUAAAAUCUUAGCUUUUCAAUUACUCGGGUACAAAGGACUUAUAACAUUUAUAACAUUGUAGAGGAAUGCCUCGCCGUCACUUGGUUCGUAAAGGUAAGGUAAAGUGCAAUAAGAUAAUAUGAAAUGAACUAAGGUAAAGGAAAAAAAUUUAUGCUGUGAUUUUUAUACUAGUUUAUCUCGUACACUAGUGCAAAAUUAGCGAACACGACGGUUAAUAACAAUAGAUUUUGGCUAUUUGCCGUAAAAAAAGACACAGUGGCAGAGUGGUGAAUGAGUCAAAAUUUUGACAAAAGUUUUAAUCUAAACCGUUGCUAAAAAUGGUGAAAUAAAUUAAACAAAUACGAUUUUUGAAUGGAUUGUCAAUGAAAAAACAAAAAAGAUGAUGACUUUUAGAUUAUCAAUUUUUAAAAAGUUGGUUUAACCACAAAUGGAAUGAAUUUGUUUGAUAAUUUGAGUACAAACCACAAUUCAUAGUCUGUUUUAAAUCACUAAUUUGUUAGUUAUUUACAACUUCCUAGAUUGAGCACCUUGGACGUGUGCAUGUUACAGGAUCAAGGGUGGACAUCCCACAGUUCUUUGGAACAUCUUCAAACGAGUACUCCUCUAAGGCAUCUAGCUAAGAAGCUAUUUUGCAAUUGAUCCAGUAGAUCACGCAAGAGGUAACAAAGGAGGUUACUCAAAAGGUGAGGCAAGAGUUUAAGCAGCACCUAGAGACCUUAAGUCUUUCACAACACAACUCCUACACAGAAAUUGGAGAUGUAAGUUAAUGGAAAUGUUGUUAAUUGUGUAGCCAAAGUGUCAGACAUCAUGGACAGUUACUUGUGAUAUCCCUAACAGAUCAUACUAUUGUAUGAUUCUGCUCAUUGCACAAGAAAUCACAUGCAUAUCUCAAACAAAUAGUGGAUUGGUAAUUAACAACAACUUAUGUACAUUACUCAUGUACUUUCACAAUAGUCUUAGAAAACAUUGUAAGAUACUUUCUUAUCAUUAUAUUUUAGAUAUUAUUGGAACAUAAUACCAAAUAUUACCAAAUAUUAUAUAUACCAAGGUGCCUUUAUUGCUCAUGGUCAUCACGACAUACUUCUUGUUGCAAUUAGAUGACCUGAGCAGUUUGCUUGGCUUGAUGCAGUUUGCUUUGUGGAUUAUGGAUGUCAAACACGUUUCUUAGAGGGUGCCAUAGCAGACCUGAGUACAGGCUCGAGGCUGUAGUUUGGUUGUGUGUAAGGGUAAGGUAGAGAGAUAAGGCUUGAGUUUCUUAAGAACACAUAAUGCUGGCUCGGCGGAUUCCAAGAGGCUGGCAAAGCUGGAGUGAGUUUGCCCCUGAUACAUAGUAAUCCUGAUGGAUUACGUUUUUGAAAUGUACAAAGUUGAAGGUUUGGUUGCUGUUAGAAUGAUGAUGUAGUAUUUGUUUGGCAACUUAAGUGAUGCAGAAUAGAUUUUCUGGUAUGGUUGCUGGUCUGGUUGCUGCCACAACCCUUUUAAGGUCUCAUGUCAUGAUGGUGCACCAUUUGAAUGUUGUUCCAAGCGGAUAUAAUUACAUUCUUUGCUCCACUUUCAAGUGUGUACUGCUUUUUGGGUGUAGGUGCUACCAAAGUGCUGAUGUAGUUCUGUGUAUGUUUUUUGGGUGUGUAUUAUGUAGUUUAAGCCAUAAUGGUUGUUUUGCUCUAAGCCAUACUGAGGAGUAACCAUGUAGUUAAUCUAUGUGAGUUGGGAUACUCCUGAAGUAUCACCAGAUUAAUUUAUUCAUUACUGAUAAAAAAGAAAAGAUGACCGGAACAUCCUGGUUAGGUUGUGUGCGUGCUACAAGAUGAUGGGUUGGCAUUCGUCAUUUGAUUUGUUCACGACAGUAGUGCUCUAAGGCACCCAACAAGAGCUGACAUUGGCUCCACAUGCCAAUGCGAAAAUAUAUCAUCUAUACACCUUCUUACAAUAGUGUAAGUGUGAACAAAUUAUGUUGAUAAAAUAAUCAUAAAUAAUUAAGAUAAAAUGUCCUUUUUGAAGUGUAUUGAUCGGAAUUAUUUGCAAGAAAUAGAUAAAUCAAUAGGUUAUAAUUUAUAAAUUAAUGAAGUUUAUAUGAAUUGACUAAACUUAAAAGGAACAAGGAUUCGUAAAAUUUGGUAGAGAGAAAUUAUUUGAUAGACUAUUUAUAUAAUAAAAAUAAUAUCAAAAUAAUUUAUCAAUCAUGAUACACUUAGUUAAGAAGAGUACAGAAGCUUAUGAUAUACUCUUUAAAGUUCAAAGUUUAAAAAAAUGCACAUAAACUUAUAUAGAGACAUUACUUAUCAAAUAUAUAGAGAGAAGUUAUUCAGUUAUGUAUUUAUAAAGACAUUAUGUGAAGAAAUAGAAGGAUUAGACAGACAUAUUUAAAGGGUCAUGUCAAAAAGGAUGAUAAAUGUUUAAUGUAUGAUUUCAAAAAAGAUGAUAAAUGUAUCUUCAAUCAUUUUCUUCCACAAAUAAUUGUAACAAAGGACAAUUACUUGAAAAUAUUUUUUUACAUAAGGAAAUUUUUACUUGUAAUUAGAGAGUUUAAAAUAACAUUAUAUCGAAAUUUUGUAAACCUGAAAAAUCACAAUAAAAAAAAUUAAGUAUGUAUACUUGAUCUCAAAAUUUUAUGAUUUCUUUUACAUUUUUUUUUAUCUUUCGUAAUUAUCUAUUUACAUUUACAUUCCUCGUUCUUUAGUUCUGUACUACAUUUAUAUCUGAUUCUAUAUAUUUAAUUGUUCAUCUAAAUUUUAUGAAUUUUUGAAUUUAUAUUUUUUUAUUUCUGAAAUUACUUUGAUUUACAAAAUAUUUUCUGUAUUUUAGAAGUUUUUUUUAAUAAAUUUAAUUAAAUUCAGUGUCAAUUAUUUUAUUUAUUCCAAAUUAUCAAGUAAUUAAAAACGAUUCAAAUUAUAAAUUAUUUAAAAUGUUUGAAAUACAAAUUAUGUUUACGUUAUAUAAAGACAAUGAAAUUAUUCUGAUAUAAGGGAAAACCAUAUUUUUAUCAGUAAAAUAAUGUGUUUAAUAUAAAUAUUUAUGUUCGAUUAAUUUAAUAUAUUUAAAUUGAUCAUGUCGCCAACUCAAGCGUGGAGGAAUUGCUUUGUCGCUUCCUUACCCCGCCUAUGCAACUGUGCUAUCUGCAAGAAUGCUCUUAGAACCUUUCCCGGGAACUUCAAACGCAACCUGCAAAACACACAGACGGNNNNNNNNNNNNNNNNNNNNNNNNNNNNNNNNNNNNNNNNNNNNNNNNNNNNNNNNNNNNNNNNNNNNNNNNNNNNNNNNNNNNNNNNNNNNNNNNNNNNGAAUCGCACACUCCCAGGAGAACGCCAGGUGUGGCUGGACUAGGCACACUCACCAAGCAUUGCUCUCUGCAUAAACGAUUUCCCCUUCACGAUGUCAUGCACGUAAUGGGUUAAGAGAGUAACCAAUCACUGACCGGUUUACUAACUCCCUCAGGCCACUCUCGUGCACGAUUCUACCGGCGAGUAGCUCCUCUUUCUCUGAGAUAUGAUCAUGCGAGGUCCAUGCGUAACGCUCUCGCUGGGAAUCUCAGUCCCAGUUUAACUACGUGUAACACGAAACCCCGAUGACCAUGCACCCGAUAACUGAUCGGUGCUCUAUUGCUUCUCGCGUUCUCCCCCCGGGUGUUUAUCUUGGAACUGAUCUGUCGGUGGCCACUCGGUUACUGACCACCGAUCACCGUUUUGGGUGAUCUCCUCCCUGAUUUCUCUGCCACCUGAUCCACGUGUCACCCUGCGAGUGGUUCACGUGGUUAUCUGCUGCUGACGUCAUCGACUACAGAUGACCGACCGGAUCACAAAUUAAAAAAUAUAUUUAAUUACUAUCUUCAAUAAAAAGAACUCAAAAAAAAAUAUAUAUGACCUUCGUAGAAAGAGGCUGGAAAGUAGAAUUUCCACAAUCACGCGGCAAUAUUUUAAAUAAUUUCCACCACGCGGCAAUUUUAUAUAAUUUUUACUGUGAUAUUAUAUAAUUGUUAUGACCUUCGUAGAAAGACUGUGGAAAAUUACAAAACACAUAAAUUAAAUUAUUAGAAAAGCUAACUGGAAGAAGCUUCAAUGAAGAAACACUCACAACACUUAUUUCUAUUUCUCAGUGUUUGCUCUCCAAUUAUAACAAUAUAAUAAUAUUUUAUAUUAAAAAAUAAAAAUUUGAAGUAUGACCACCCUGUUUCUAUUUCUUCAGUGUUUGCUUGCCACUGUCACCGCCAUUCUCAUAAUACUUUUCUCUCAACAACUUUUGCUUUCACUAAUGGCUUCUAACGCCAUCAUCCAAUACACCUCUUCUUCUUCAUCUCUUCCAACUCACAUCUACGACGUCUUUGUCAGCUUCCGCGGUGAAGACACGCGCAACACCUUCACUGAUUUUCUCUUUCAUUCUCUCCGUACAAAAGGCAUCAAUGUGUUCAAAGAUGAUGAAGAUCUCAAAAAGGGUGAAUCCAUUGCACCCGAGCUGCUGCAAGCCAUUCAAGUCUCAAGGCUUUUCAUUGUUGUCUUCUCAGAAAACUAUGCUUCCUCCACUUGGUGCUUGCGUGAACUGGCAGAGAUAUGUAACUGCUGUGAAACUUCGCCAAGUGUUAUUAUACCUAUAUUUUAUGACGUUGAUCCUUCGGUGGUUCGCAAACAGAGUGGACGUUAUGAGAAAGCAUUUGCAGAACACGAAAAGAGAUUCGGAGAAGAUGAAGUGAAGAUGGAGGAAGUUCAGAGAUGGAGACAAGCUCUCACACAAGUCGCCAAUAUCUCUGGUUGGGAUAUCCGAAAUAAGUAAGUAAUCGUUUCUUGUUUCUCGUUUCAAGAUUCAUCACAGUUAUAUAUUUAUCAUGCAGUGAGUUAUAUACCCCUCAAUUUAUUUACUCCUUUCUAAACUACAAUUCAGAGAUGUUUUGAAGUUAGGAAAAUGUACAAAACACAUUCAAAUUGAGUUCCAAUGUAUACUUGUUUGACAAAAACAGCUACUAACGUAUAACUUUGUAGUCUUACAAGGCGAAGUGCUCAGGAAACAUGUAUAGUCAUAAAUUAGGUGACAUUCUUAGAUGUGUUAUCCCGGGAAGUGAAAUACCGAGGUGGUUCAACAAUCAGUUUGUGAGCAUGCACAAUUCAAUAAGGAUUGAUGCCUCUCAUGUUAUGCAUGACAAUAAUUGGAUUGGUGUUGUGUGUUGUGCAAUACUCCACAUUGGCGUUGAAAAGGACAAGACUGGUUAUACAUCCGUAGAACAAAAACUUAGAAUUCCUCCAAUCAAUUUGAGAAGAGGUCUAUUUAUUGACCUGUCAGAUCAUAUGUGGUUAUUUUAUUUGUCUCGCCAAGCGUUUCAUGGACUAUGUUAUAAUUGCCUAUGGUACACAUCUCAUAAAGGUGUUAUUACUCUCACAUUUCACAAACUGGAUGUGAACUGGAGCAAAUUCGGGGAAGAAAGCCAAUAUGUUAAGGUCCAUAUGAAUAAAUAUGGGUAUCGAUGGGUAUAUGAGAAAGAUCGACAACUACCAAACUCAGGUACUUAAUAUCAUUACUAUAUAGAUUCGUUUUAUUUUUGUUUUCUUAUUUCAUGUCUUAUAAAUGCAUUUGAGAUUUUCAUCACAAAGUUAUUGUCCUAUGUUGCAACAUGUGAAUGAGUUUCUAACUUCACUAUUUAACUAGACCUCAAAUACCAACAAAGUCUAUUUCAAUAAUAAGAUUCUAAAGAAAACCAACUAUAAAUACUCUUUAAGAUCAAAUAGUUGCACCAUGUGAGUGUGGAGUCUUUCCAUGUCUACUCUUCCCAGAUUCCUAGAUUAAUCAACAUGCUACACAAAUGGUUAAUACUUCAUCAUUUAUAGUUAUAGUAAUAGUUGUUUUCAAUGCUGAUGUCACUGACAGUUUCUUGUGAUAUAAUCACACUAUUGCAUGGUUCUGCUUAUUGCACAAGAAGUAACUUGCAUAUCUCAAGCAAAUAAUGGAUUGGUAAUUAACAACAACUUAUGUAUGUACAUUAAUUAAGCAUCCCCUAGCUAGUACAUUUUUAUUAUUAGUUCCUACAUUAGAUAUAACUUUUCUGAAGGGUCGACUAACGGCAAGUUCCCAAAAGCUGACAUGGUUGCAUCUUGAGGAUAUUAGUAAUUUCAGUAAAUACUUUCAUUGCUUGUUUUGGUUGUUAAAUAAAUAUCUUAAUUAGGUUGGUAAUAUUGAAUUGUAGUGUAACAAACAAACAGGAGAGUUAGAGUGUGACUAUUAUCUAAUGCAAUGGAUGAAAACUAUUGUACGAGCCGAUAUCGAAAGAGGUUGAGACCAGGUAAUCAUGUUUAACUAAUUCUUUAUGCCACAAACUAUGUUCAAUUUAAGGACUAAUUUCAACUUAUUGUGUGAUGCAGUAUUUUAUGGAUGUAUAAAUUCAUUAUUUAUGUGAAAUAGGCAUGUGCAACUUAUAUCAACUUGUACAACACUCUAGGAUAAAUUUUCUUAGAAUUUUAUUCAUGAUAUAUUUUUUACCCUUAAUUUUGAAACAUAUUUUCAGAAUUCAGGACGUACAGUUCAAUUUUUUUUUUCAAUAUAGAUUUAUCAUUUCACCCCGUCAUGGGUGUGUGGAGAAUACAAUGUCCCAAUUCUAAUAUCUAGGAAAGGGGUUUGAUUAAUCUUCUCAAACUUGAAAAAAAAAAUCAAAUUAAUAAAAAUAUAGUUUAGAAAAUGAUAACUCUAAAUGUACACACCAUAAAUCACUCUUUUACACUAAUUACAAACACAAAUUACAAUGAUAAUAUAAUAAAUUAUUCAAAUAUUUUAAAAAAUUAUUAAAAAAAAAUCUGACACAUUAACCUACUUGAGUAUAUAUUAUUGGAUUGUAUAAAUGGGUGAGUUCAGUCACUUGAAUGAAAUGGCGUUAAAUUUUAAAUUUUACUUCUCUAAAUUGAAAAUUUAACCUUGAAAGAUAACAUAAGGAGUUAUUACCAUUGAAUAAUUAAAAAAAACCAUAACAUUUAAAAACAUUACAUAAUUUAACUACUUAUAUUAAUGGUUGAACUAUUGAUUUUUGGAUGGUGUAACUUAAUCAAUUCAAUUUUAUUUUCUGAAAGACAACAGUAAAAAUCUUAAACCUGGGAUGAGUUCAAAUUUAACUCCACAAAAUAAGUGGCUUGUAAGUAAGAAUUAAUCUAACCUCUACACCUCUGGACUUUUCUAGAGAAUAAAAUUUUUCUUAAUAGUUAUUUCCUCUAACAAAAGAUCAAAGUUAUUAUUGAAGAUCCAUCCCAACCAAAAAUAUAUUGUCAAAAUAUAAUAUAUAAAUAAAUUACAAACAUCUACUUUAUAAAUUUAUAAAUUGGUUAUAUAAAAUUUAUUUAACCAUAAACUCAUUUACUAAUUAUUUGGAAAGACAAAAGGCCGUGUCUUAAAAUCCUUAUCUUGAGACACAUUUUCUAAGGUUGGAGGAUUCCACUGCAUACAUUUCAGUGUAUAGGAAUUUCAAAUACAGAUUUAUAUUUUAUAGCAUAAAAACAAAAUUAAAGCAUUCAUAUAAUAUUUUUUAGCAAGGAAGACAUUGCAUUAAUUGGCUUUUUUUUUACAAAAGUAGCGCAAUUUGAUUUCGAAUUUAUGUCAAUGAGAAAUUUUUUUAAAAGUUACUAAAUAUUAUUACCUAAACACGACUUUGAUGCUCCUUAAGUGAAAUCAUUUUUUUCCUACAUGACUUUAGUAUUGAUGGUAAAGUAACGUGAGCCAAUCAUAAGUUUGAUAAUCCUCAAUUAUUUUUAUUUUAUUACUGUAAAGUCGUGUAGGAGGGACAUGACUUCAGUUCAACAAUUCAACAUCUUUUUCAUUUACAUUGAAAUUGUGCAAAGAUGACACAAUUUUAAUUUAACCAAAUUUUUAUUGUAUUUGUAGUGAAGUUAUGCGGAUGAUGAUAGAGGACCAUCCGGAAGGACACAAUAUUGGACCUUUAACUAGGGCCAUGACUAGAAGAAUGGAAGAAGAAGAAGAAGGAGUUUAGAAAAUUCUAUUUUUAUGAAGAAUUAAUUUUUAACUUUUCUUCCAAAUUUCCUAGUCUUAUAAAAUUGUACAAAGUAGUAUAGACUUUAUUUGGAGCUUGUAUUUCGGCCAUUAUCUUGGGCCAUGUUUUGGACCAAUUUUCAUGGGCUAUGUAUUGAGUCAAUUAGAGUAGGGUGUAAAUAGAAAAAAGAAAUAAUCUAGCUAGAGUUACAAUUUGGUCUUCUUGGACCCAAUGCAACUCUAGACCAUCUAGGGUGCACAAAUAAAUUACUAGAGUGCAAAUACAAAGCAUGGAGUGGCGAGGAAGAAAUGAAGGUCCACAUGUCAUCUCCUUAAUGGAGAGGAUUCCAACCAAUGCCAUAAGGACAUUUGUCUUCAUGGGAAUGGAGAGGAUUCUCUCUAAUUAGAGGAGGACACCUGUCAACCUCUAAUUUGUGAGGAUUUGCUCCAAUUGGAGAUAGUCACUUGUCCUUCUUAUGAAUGGAGAGUUUUUAGGCUUAAAGUUUGCACAUUGGCUUCCCAUAGCACUAUAAAUACAAGUGCUAGCCUCCUUUAAAUUAGCUUUGAAUAGACUAUUGAAUUUCUGCCUCAACUAGUUUCUUAGCUCACUCUUUGCUAGCCUAAUAUCUAAGUGGUUUAACAAGGAACUUCUUAGGAGUUGGUCUAACCUCUCAUAAGCUUCAUUAUCAUUCUCCAUAUACCAAUACUUCACAAUUUCUUUCACUCAUUUUAGCACCCAAUCGCACCAAAUUCUACACCCCAAAAUACAAAACAAAAGACUCAUAGAUAUACAAGCUAAGAUUGCAUCAAAUGGUAUUAGAGCAUUAAGUUCACGCUAUCUAGAGUAUUAAACCUAAACAUUAAAUCUGGGAUGAGUUAAAAUUUAACUCCACAAAAUAAGUGGCUUGUAAGUAAGAGUUGAUCUAACCUCUACACCUCUGGACUCUUUUCCAUGGAAGAGACUUUUUCUCAAUAGUUAUUUCUUCUCACAAAAGAUCAAAAUUAUUAUUGAAGAUCUAUCUCAACAAAAAAUAUAUAAUAUAUAUAUAUAUAAACAAGUUACAAACAUCACUUUAUACCAUAACUCAUUUAUUAAUUACUUGAAAAGAGACAAAAAGUUGUCUCAAAAUCCAUAAGUGGAACAAAUUACAUAUUAUUGUCGUAAACCACUAGAGCUACCAUCAAACUACAUGCAAGGUCCUUGUCCACCACGCGUGCCCUGACUCCCUAAAAUGAAUUAAAAUUAACUCUUGUAUUUAAACAGAAGAAAGUUUGGUUUUGUUUGCAGAGAUAAAAAAUAGUUAUACCUCAGAGAUAUCCCCAGAUAUUACAAUAGUUUAUAUAUAUCUGUGUAUAUAUGAAUAUGAAGAGAGAACUAUUUGAUAUGUACACAUUAAAAGUAAUUCUCAAACCCCACUUCAAUAGUUUAGAUUUUAAUUAUAGAUUAUUUUAUUCUUGACUUUACAUUAUAAAGUAAGUAUCGUUCUUUAAUAUAUAUAUUUUUUCUCAUAUUAAAGUAAAUGUUAUUUUGUAAAGUCAAACUUUGCAAACUUAGAUACAAAAAAAGACAUGGUUAAUCUUUUGAGACAAAAAAAAAAAGGAGAAUUGAUGAAUGAUUGAACCUGAAGCUGCCGCUAGAAGAUCAUCUUCUGAUAUGGUAACUCUAGGUAUUGUGCGAACAAUUUUCAUUUCUAACAAAGAAGCAAGUUCAUUGAUGCUUAAGCAGUUGUUAGAUGGUUGAAAAAACAUUUUUGUUGACUGUUCUUGCAUCAUCAAUAACCUUCAUUCUUGACGUAAGAAUUUCUAUACCAAAGCUAUAACAUCUUUACAAGGGUCUAGUCUCUCCAUACAAAAAUCACCAUCUAUCAAUAAUGUUUGUUUCCCAUGCACUUAUCAAAUACUGUUUAAUCAACUUUCAUUCAAGACAACAUAUACAACAACAAUUUUGGAUUCACAGAGUCAUGACCACUUUUAUUAUUACAGAUACAGCAAAGGAAAAUGAAAAUAACAAGGGUAAUGGAAAUAUUUUGAAAAAGAAUUAAAUAUGCAAAGUCUUUAUGAGAAGAAAGUUUAAAUGAUUCACAUAUAUUAUCAGAUAUUAUUUAAAUGAUAUUCAUGAUUUAAUUUUGAAAAUUAUAUUAUUCACUAAUAAUUUGUUCCCAUAAAUUGUCAAGGACAUUAAAUAUUCAAGUUAAAGUUGUAGCAAAAUUUAUAUUGUCAACAUUUAAAUGAAUCAUUAGGAAAAGAAAAGCAUUAAAGACACAUCUAUGAACUUUUUCCUAUUCAAUGUCUAAUAUGAAAGAGAAGAUGAUGAUGCUAGAUUGGAAAAAUUCAAGACCAAAGAUGUUUAAUGUUAUGGGAUAGUAUUUAAAAUUUAAAUACAUGUCAUCAAAAUAAAUAUUUUCAUUUUGAACAUACUUGAACAAUACACAAGAAAAAUUCAUUGAGUCAUAAUUAAUUAAAGCCUACGUUCAAAUUUAAUACAGUUAAAGAAAUAUUUCUAAAGGAUAAUGAUUCAAGGAUGUGCAAAUUGCAUCAGAACGCGUCUACUGCAUGAUAAAUGUGGAAAAUCUAUUAUAUCUGGAAGAUUAAAGCUUCAACAUUAGAAUAUUUACAGAUAAAGAAGGUAUUUGAUAAAGAAGGUAUUUGAAGAGCAAGUAAUAGGCGAACUAAACAACAUAAAACUACAAAAAAACACUAUAGCACCUAAGCACUACUUUCUUCCUUACCUAACCACAUCGUCUACUUACUCACUUGAUACUUUUUAAUAGAUUUCAUGUAUACCAGCGGCUUAAGGCACCAAUCUGAGUAAGAAAAACAUGUUAAACGUAUUUUUGAAGUUACCCAUGACGAUACCUACAAUUGCACCAUUGUGAAAAUUUCAAUGUGGUCUAUACAACCAGUUUUAAAAAUCUUGUUAUUCCUUAGUUUCCACAAUUCUCCUAUUACUGUUAUCCACACACAACUCCAUAUCUGAUUGACAACUUCAUUAACAUCAGUCAUCUUAAACUGUGGGAAAUGCAUUUUUGGCUCCUGUUGGACCGUUGAUGCCAAACCUACCCACUCGUAACACUUAAACCAAACAAGCCAAGCUACUCUAUAGGUACAAAAAAAGUGAGACGUUGUUUCCACUUCCUCCCUACACAUACUACAUAUGUUGCUUACCAUACUUAUCUCCUUUCUCUCCAAAUUCCCUUUAGAUGUAAUCUUAUCUUCCAACAUCCUUCAAGCUAUGAUAUGAGCCGAUGGUUGUGCCUUUAUCCUCCAAAGAUGAAGAUCAACAUGACAUAUUUGAACAAAAUAUCAAAUCAAGAAAAUUAAAGUUGCAAUGUUCAUAUUAGAAGAAGAAAAAGAACUAAUGUGCAUUUCAAUCUACUUCUCUCAUUGUACUCUUAUUUAGACAUUAUUUUCAAUUAGUUAAUACUUCCAAAUUGAGUUUAAACUUCAUUCAACUUCUCUUCUUAAAUUGAAAUUUCAUUUGACUCUAUAAACAAUUAUUUGAAAGUCAUCGUGGUAAGUCUUUUAAAAUUGUAUCUAUAUACCUUUUUAUAAUAGUGUAAAUGUGAGAAAACUAUGUUAAUCAAAUAAUCAAGAAUAAUUGAUGUAAAAUAUCCUUUCUGAAAAAGUAUAGUGCAUUGAUUGCAAUUAUUUAAAAAAAAUAGAUAAAUCAAUAAGUUAUAAAUUAAUCAAAUUUAUAUUAUAACAAAUUUAUAUGAAUUGACUAGACUUACAACUUAUUCAUAAAUUUUGGACGAGAGAAAUAAAAACGUUUUCUGUAUUUUUUUUUUAUAAAUUUAUAUUAAAUACAGUGUCAAUUAUUUUAUUUAUUCCAAAUUAUCAAGUAAUUAAAAAUUAUAUUUAAUUACUAUCUUAAAUAAAAAAAACUCAAUAAAUUUUUAUACAAUUUUUACUUAUAAAUUUUAUAUAACUUUUUUAUUAACAAAGAAUAAAAUAAAUAAAUAAAAAAUAUUUGAAAAAUAUAUACUUAUAACGACUUAACAAAACAAUCCAAAAGUCCAUCCAUAUAAUUCUAACCAUAACCCUCAACCCCCUUAGUAUUACUACAUUGCAAGACCAUCUACAUCAAACUACUACAUUAUGGUGGAAAAAUAAAACGCGCUCAACGUCAUAAUAAAUUAUAUAACACAUAAUAUCCAUCAAAUAAAAAAAUGCUCACAUGACAUCCAGAAAUAAUAAUUUUUGUAAUAAUAUUUAUACUUUUAAUUUAAAAUUCUAUUAUAUAUUUAAUAUAUUAUUAAAUGGUUUGUUAACUUUUUGUAAGAGCGUAGAAAAAAUAUUUUUAAUAAAUUUAUGAAUCGUGAUAAGUUGACGUAAAAACAUCCUCAUAACAACCAAAUAUUAAUAAGUCGUUGAAUAUGUUUAUAAAAAAUUCAUAAAUUGGACGAGGACACAUUAACACCCAUAAAAUAAAUUAUCACUUGACAAGUUGACAUCCUUAAAUAAUAAUAUUUAUUUUACUUUUUAAUUUAAAUUUUAAUUAUUAUAGUAUUAAAGGGGGUUGUUAAUUUUUGAAAGAGUGUAGAAGAGAUUUUUUUAAUAAAUUUAUGAAUCGUGAUAAGUUGACGUAAAAACAUCCUUAUAACAACAAAAAGAAAUAUUUUAAUUAUAUUUAUUUUAAAUUUUAACUUAAAAUAUUAUAAUAUUAUUAUAUAGAGUUGUUGAAUGUGUAUUACUAAUGGACCGUGCAAUGCACGAGAAUAUUUAUAAUAUUUAUUAUNNNNNNNNNNNNNNNNNNNNNNNNNNNNNNNNNNNNNNNNNNNNNNNNNNNNNNNNNNNNNNNNNNNNNNNNNNNNNNNNNNNNNNNNNNNNNNNNNNNNNNNNNNNNNNNNNNNNNNNNNNNNNNNNNNNNNNNNNNNNNNNNNNNNNNNNNNNNNNNNNNNNNNNNNNNNNNNNNNNNNNNNNNNNNNNNNNNNNNNNNNNNNNNNNNNNNNNNNNNNNNNNNNNNNNNNNNNNNNNNNNNNNNNNNNNNNNNNNNNNNNNNNNNNNNNNNNNNNNNNNNNNNNNNNNNNNNNNNNNNNNNNNNNNNNNNNNNNNNNNNNNNNNNNNNNNNNNNNNNNNNNNNNNNNNNNNNNNNNNNNNNNNNNNNNNNNNNNNNNNNNNNNNNNNNNNNNNNNNNNNNNNNNNNNNNNNNNNNNNNNNNNNNNNNNNNNNNNNNNNNNNNNNNNNNNNNNNNNNNNNNNNNNNNNNNNNNNNNNNNNNNNNNNNNNNNNNNNNNNNNNNNNNNNNNNNNNNNNNNNNNNNNNNNNNNNNNNNNNNNNNNNNNNNNNNNNNNNNNNNNNNNNNNNNNNNNNNNNNNNNNNNNNNNNNNNNNNNNNNNNNNNNNNNNNNNNNNNNNNNNNNNNNNNNNNNNNNNNNNNNNNNNNNNNNNNNNNNNNNNNNNNNNNNNNNNNNNNNNNNNNNNNNNNNNNNNNNNNNNNNNNNNNNNNNNNNNNNNNNNNNNNNNNNNNNNNNNNNNNNNNNNNNNNNNNNNNNNNNNNNNNNNNNNNNNNNNNNNNNNNNNNNNNNNNNNNNNNNNNNNNNNNNNNNNNNNNNNNNNNNNNNNNNNNNNNNNNNNNNNNNNNNNNNNNNNNNNNNNNNNNNNNNNNNNNNNNNNNNNNNNNNNNNNNNNNNNNNNNNNNNNNNNNNNNNNNNNNNNNNNNNNNNNNNNNNNNNNNNNNNNNNNNNNNNNNNNNNNNNNNNNNNNNNNNNNNNNNNNNNNNNNNNNNNNNNNNNNNNNNNNNNNNNNNNNNNNNNNNNNNNNNNNNNNNNNNNNNNNNNNNNNNNNNNNNNNNNNNNNNNNNNNNNNNNNNNNNNNNNNNNNNNNNNNNNNNNNNNNNNNNNNNNNNNNNNNNNNNNNNNNNNNNNNNNNNNNNNNNNNNNNNNNNNNNNNNNNNNNNNNNNNNNNNNNNNNNNNNNNNNNNNNNNNNNNNNNNNNNNNNNNNNNNNNNNNNNNNNNNNNNNNNNNNNNNNNNNNNNNNNNNNNNNNNNNNNNNNNNNNNNNNNNNNNNNNNNNNNNNNNNNNNNNNNNNNNNNNNNNNNNNNNNNNNNNNNNNNNNNNNNNNNNNNNNNNNNNNNNNNNNNNNNNNNNNNNNNNNNNNNNNNNNNNNNNNNNNNNNNNNNNNNNNNNNNNNNNNNNNNNNNNNNNNNNNNNNNNNNNNNNNNNNNNNNNNNNNNNNNNNNNNNNNNNNNNNNNNNNNNNNNNNNNNNNNNNNNNNNNNNNNNNNNNNNNNNNNNNNNNNNNNNNNNNNNNNNNNNNNNNNNNNNNNNNNNNNNNNNNNNNNNNNNNNNNNNNNNNNNNNNNNNNNNNNNNNNNNNNNNNNNNNNNNNNNNNNNNNNNNNNNNNNNNNNNNNNNNNNNNNNNNNNNNNNNNNNNNNNNNNNNNNNNNNNNNNNNNNNNNNNNNNNNNNNNNNNNNNNNNNNNNNNNNNNNNNNNNNNNNNNNNNNNNNNNNNNNNNNNNNNNNNNNNNNNNNNNNNNNNNNNNNNNNNNNNNNNNNNNNNNNNNNNNNNNNNNNNNNNNNNNNNNNNNNNNNNNNNNNNNNNNNNNNNNNNNNNNNNNNNNNNNNNNNNNNNNNNNNNNNNNNNNNNNNNNNNNNNNNNNNNNNNNNNNNNNNNNNNNNNNNNNNNNNNNNNNNNNNNNNNNNNNNNNNNNNNNNNNNNNNNNNNNNNNNNNNNNNNNNNNNNNNNNNNNNNNNNNNNNNNNNNNNNNNNNNNNNNNNNNNNNNNNNNNNNNNNNNNNNNNNNNNNNNNNNNNNNNNNNNNNNNNNNNNNNNNNNNNNNNNNNNNNNNNNNNNNNNNNNNNNNNNNNNNNNNNNNNNNNNNNNNNNNNNNNNNNNNNNNNNNNNNNNNNNNNNNNNNNNNNNNNNNNNNNNNNNNNNNNNNNNNNNNNNNNNNNNNNNNNNNNNNNNNNNNNNNNNNNNNNNNNNNNNNNNNNNNNNNNNNNNNNNNNNNNNNNNNNNNNNNNNNNNNNNNNNNNNNNNNNNNNNNNNNNNNNNNNNNNNNNNNNNNNNNNNNNNNNNNNNNNNNNNNNNNNNNNNNNNNNNNNNNNNNNNNNNNNNNNNNNNNNNNNNNNNNNNNNNNNNNNNNNNNNNNNNNNNNNNNNNNNNNNNNNNNNNNNNNNNNNNNNNNNNNNNNNNNNNNNNNNNNNNNNNNNNNNNNNNNNNNNNNNNNNNNNNNNNNNNNNNNNNNNNNNNNNNNNNNNNNNNNNNNNNNNNNNNNNNNNNNNNNNNNNNNNNNNNNNNNNNNNNNNNNNNNNNNNNNNNNNNNNNNNNNNNNNNNNNNNNNNNNNNNNNNNNNNNNNNNNNNNNNNNNNNNNNNNNNNNNNNNNNNNNNNNNNNNNNNNNNNNNNNNNNNNNNNNNNNNNNNNNNNNNNNNNNNNNNNNNNNNNNNNNNNNNNNNNNNNNNNNNNNNNNNNNNNNNNNNNNNNNNNNNNNNNNNNNNNNNNNNNNNNNNNNNNNNNNNNNNNNNNNNNNNNNNNNNNNNNNNNNNNNNNNNNNNNNNNNNNNNNNNNNNNNNNNNNNNNNNNNNNNNNNNNNNNNNNNNNNNNNNNNNNNNNNNNNNNNNNNNNNNNNNNNNNNNNNNNNNNNNNNNNNNNNNNNNNNNNNNNNNNNNNNNNNNNNNNNNNNNNNNNNNNNNNNNNNNNNNNNNNNNNNNNNNNNNNNNNNNNNNNNNNNNNNNNNNNNNNNNNNNNNNNNNNNNNNNNNNNNNNNNNNNNNNNNNNNNNNNNNNNNNNNNNNNNNNNNNNNNNNNNNNNNNNNNNNNNNNNNNNNNNNNNNNNNNNNNNNNNNNNNNNNNNNNNNNNNNNNNNNNNNNNNNNNNNNNNNNNNNNNNNNNNNNNNNNNNNNNNNNNNNNNNNNNNNNNNNNNNNNNNNNGGAAACCCAAUGGUUUAUUUGCUGUGUCAGAAAGUUCCAGUGCCUAACUUUUUUAUAUAUCAUUAUUAUUCUACGUAAAAUACUUUUAAAAUUGAUUUAAUUUUAAUUUGAAAAUUUGGAAAUUUUAUUCAGUUUGAUUUUGAUGAUUGUUUUUUGGACUUUUUAAAGUGUCUGUAAUAUUAUUUUAAUUUUGGCAAAUAAAUUUAAAAAGUGAUUUAUUCAAAUAUUUCGAAAUUUCGUACAAUACUUCGAUGGUAUAUAAAAUUUCAUAGAUAAAAAAAGUUAAACUAAAAUUUAAUAGACAAUUUACUAUAUUUAAUUUUCAUUAUUAUAAUUAUAAUAAUUAAUAUAAAUUACAAAUUGUUAAUAAAGACAAAUUAACUUCAAAUGUGAAUCAUUCAAAUUCAAAAUAAAUAUUAAAUAUAGUAGAUAAACAUUAAAGCAUUCAUGAGCAAAUUACAUUAGUUUGCAUUGUAAAUAGUACAAUUAUUAUAAAACAAAAAGAGGAACUAAUUAAUUGUCCCCAAAACAUUUAAAUUAUAAUUACAAUGAUGGUCUUUCAAAAGUUUUUGAGAUCCAAUAAAAAUAAUAUACGUAAAUUUGAUUGUUGUCCACGAACUUCACCAUGUUGGUACAUCUCCAAAAAGAUCUUGAACUAAUAUCUGCAAUUAAAAAAAAUUAUGUAAAAAAUAUAAUUAAUUACAUUAUAGAAACAUAUUUAAAGUAAAUAGUAUAAAAGAAUAUGUUUGUUCCUUAAGGAACAUGGUUUAGGUAUGAAGCAUAUUGAAUUAUGCGACAACCUGCUUACUAGAAAUUAAAAUCAAAUAUAUGAAAUAUAUAUAAUGACAAAGGAUGAAAUAUUAAUUAAAACAUAUAGUGCUCAGACAAAGAAAAUAAAUUUAAAAGUUCAUAUAACAUAAGUCUAAUUGUAUGCCAAAACAGGUAAAAAAAUAUCAAAAUAUAAUACAUUACUGAGUGGUUAAUAAUGAACAAUAUAAUAAAAAAAACCUAUUGCAGAAUAUAUUAAAACCUAUUGAAUAACAGAUAAAAAAGAAUGAAAAAGAAUGAAAGAUUUAUGAGUUUAAUGUACGGGCAAUGGUUAUAGUGUUAAGCAUCAUAUGUAACAAUGCUAACACAUUAUAAACACACCUCAUAAUGAAUGAAAGUUUGAAGUAAAACCUAGAACAAAUAAAAACAAAUAUAUUCAGAUAAACAUUAAACAUAAUAACAAUAAAAUAACCCUAAACAUUAAUAAUAAUAAACUGUUCUGGUUUUCAACAAAGGGAAACUUAAGUAAACCACAAAAGGUAACUUUUUUCUCCUUUGAAAACAAAAGACAGGAUUUAUCCAAAAAACAUUAAGAGAUUUAAUUAUAGAGUUUGGGCUGUCUUUUAUAGUGACUUUUCAUGAGUAGCAAAACCCUGAUAUCAGAAGAAGGCAUCAGCAUAUGACAUUCAAAUAUAAUUUUGUCGUCUUCACGGAAGGAAUGAAAACUACAAAAUUUUUUCCAGCCACUCCCAAGCUUGAUGUUAGUGGAAGGAAACCUUCCUCUCAACACUCUGCAUUUAACAUCAUGUAGCAGUCCAUGUAGCGUAACAUUUCUGAAUUUCGUUUUCAAAAGAUAUUCCGCAAAUCCACCCCGGAGAUCCUUCAACAAAAUAAGAGUAAGUAUUAAAGAAAAGCAAUAGAAUAUAAACAAAGAAUUUAAAAGAAAGGAUUCUUAAAGUUACCAGAUAAUUUCUUUUGAUAUUAAAAGAAGAUAACUCCAUAUAAAAAUGUUCAAAGGGACCCUUGGUCAGCGGUUCCCUUCCUUGAACUUCCUUCAAAUAACGAUUAACACCAAUUUCACAUAUCUCUCCCAUAAAAACAGUUAUUGUGAAACAACUUUGACCCCCAUAACGGAAGAGUAUAGAGUGGUCACCUUUAAAGCCAUAAACGGAACUCAAAGUCGACCAUCCAUCCAAAAUUUCGGGAGACAAUAUAUCCUGGUUAUAAUAUACUUUGUGGACGUUCCCUGCACUAUCUACGAGGGUCCACUCCUUAGAAAGUUCUCCUUGAAACUCAACAGCGAAAGCACGAUCAACAUAACCAUACUAUACAUUGUGAAAAAUAAAAAAAGUAAACAAAAUGCAUUGAUGAAAAAAGUAGGUAUUGAAGAGAACAAAAAUAAACUACAUACUUGCCCGCAAAUGUACAUUGAACAAAAAAGACCUCGUGUAUCAAGUUCAUUAAUUUCUUCAGCAGAAAAAGCCAUCUAAGUUAAUAAUAAAAAGUGGAGAUUGAAUGACUUAGGAAAAGCUAGUAUAGAAACGUAGAUAAAAGAAAAGAGUAGGAUUCUGAGUAAUGAAAAGGCAAGUUUCUUACGUAUUUAUAGCCAAAUAUGAGUCGUCACACUUUCAUAUCCAUUGUCUCAAACAACAUAUUGUUUCAGUUCAAGAAAAAUAAGAAAUCAUUAUUUAAAAAUAAUAAGAGUACAUAAAAAUAAUCAUUAUUUAAAUAUUUAAAAAUAAUAAAAUAGUCAAUCAUGAAUAGAAAAUAAGAUAAGUAUGUGAACUGUAAUUAUUGCUACACCAUUGUAUUUGAUGACCUUUCAACUUUCCACUGCAUUAUACAACAGAAUACUUGUGUUUCAAGUAUCUUAUUAAACAAAUAUUGAAAUAAUAAUUAUUACAAUUUUCUAAUUUUUAUAACAAAUGAUAAUAAUAUUAGUAAAUAGUAUAAUUUUAUUUACUAAUAAUUAAUAUUUAUAUGAAAAAAAACAAACAAUUAACAUAAUUCAAAAUAAUAAUAUAUCUAUAUAAUUUUGACAUAUCUAAUAAUUUAAUAGUAAAAUGAAUAGACUUAUAAUUUUUACCAAAUUUAUCUAUAUAUUGAAAUCAUUACUUGUUGCCAUAUCUAAGAGAAAUCCCUAGGAAGACUAAAAGUCUACAUUGAGAAGAGUGUAGAAGGGAUAGAGAACAAUCACAGUUCUGACACUUAUUUAAUGAACAUUAUUAAUUAAAAAUAAAAUAGUUUACACAAAAAGGUUAGUACAAUCAGAAAUAUAAAAUAAGGAUUAAAAAGGGUAAAAUCAUUAUGAUUUAUCACAAAAAAAUAAAUAUUAAAAACCACAUAUCAAACAUAAAUGUGAAAAAUAAUUGAAUGGGAACAAUAAUUUUGAACCACGUAUAAAUAAAUAACUGUUGUAAAUCAAUAUACAUACCUGUAAUAAUAACUCAUCUGAAAGCAAAAUAUUAUUGUAAUAAUCUUAAAAAAAAUGGAAGAACAAAUAUGAUAUACAAUUUGAUAAGUAAUAUCUUAAAUAAUUAUAACAUUAUAACAUAAUUGACAAACCUGUAGGAUUAUCUACCUAACAUUCUUCCAAAAAAUAAAUCAUUAUAUUAAUUAGACACAAACUAACUGAAAUUCUUAAGUAGAAGGCAAACUUAACCAUAAAGUAAUUACGUACAUUAAAGAUAAGGUACAAUGAUGAAAUAAACAAUGUUGUGAAUAGAAAUUAGAAAGGGUUAACAAAAUUACAAAUACAAACUAAAAAUGUGCAAGAGUAAAGAAAUACAUCAAAAUUCAUCUUUCAUAGUACUCCUUUUUCAAGCUAAAAUGGUUAUUCGAAUUAAUGGUAUUCCAUUUUGAAUGACAUGAGGUGGAAAUAACAACAGAAGUACAAUUUAUGAUGUUAUAAUUUAAAAUAAGUUGGAUUUAUUUAGGGAAAACAGAACAACAGCAUACAGGAAUGUUUCAAGUAUUAUGUAUCAUAAAUUGUUUGUUCAUUAUUGUGGCUAACAAAUAAUAUUUACGAAUAAGAACUACGCUCAAGUGCAUUUUCAGAAAGCCAAUGAAGAACAUAUAUGACUCAAGAACCAUAAAUAAAAAGAUAGAUGAAUUUCUUGAUACAUUACCGUUUGACUGAGAAUGGGAACCAAAUUCGUUUCUUGUAGUAACCUUUGGCAUCACUUCCUCCAUAACUUCAGAGAGUAUUGUACUGAGAACAAACUAUUUUUGUGCAUACAAAUCCUAUAUUAUUAUAAUUAUUAAAAAAAGGUACCUUUCAAAGGGAAAAAAAUUGUUGCAUUCUUGUCCAUCAUUUCCAAAUAUAACCUAAUUAUAAAAUAAUAAUAAGAAAAGGAAGUCGUGCAAGAAACCCUAAAAUUUGUCAACGAUCCACAAAAGCUCACCUUUUACUUACAUUGUCGGUUUCCAUGAAUGUGCAUUCAUUGUCUGUAAUGACUAAUUCCAGAAAAGAGAUAUCAACAAACAAAAAUAAUUGAUAAGUAAAUCGUAAAUAAAAUAUGGAUGAUUUUUUUAAUAAAAUGCUUUAACCUGAAAUCUAUGACCUAAAUGCAUGUCAAAAGCAUAACUUUAAUUAUCAUUUCUGUGAAUAAUCAACAAAGAAGGAAAAUUAAUUUCAUUUCCGAAAUCAUGAAUCCCUCUAAAGUAGGUAUGAAUACUAAAUUCCUUAUUCUCAUGUGAAUAAAAGAGAAAUAUACUUCUUAUGUUCUAGAUCUCAAGAAUAAAGAAAUAAGAAAGUACAUAUGAAAAAUAAAACUCUCCAGAUUCUGCCAAAAUGGAGAAAGGAAGUAAAGCAAUCUGAAGAAAAUGAUGAAAGCACUGAAAGCACAGACGUUUGCAACUAAGUGUCUUUUUCUGUUGGAAAAAAAAAAACUUUGCAUUGAAUAUGGACAUUCCAAGAAAUGAAAACUGAACAAAAAAAUUAGGAAUUAGGCUUAGGAGACCGACCCUUAGUUUAUUUUUUGUUUCCAGAGAGUUCCAUAGUUCUAAGGUCUUAACGUUUUAUUAUUAUUAUUAUUUUAAGUGAAAUAAGUUAGAGAUUAAUUCUAUUUUAAUUUUAAAAUUAGAAAAUUGUAUUAAUUUUGAUUUGAUGUUGAUGGUAAGUUUUGAUAAUUUUUAUACUUCUAUAAUAUUAUUAUAAAUUAUUAUAAAUUUUGGAAAUAAAUUUAAAAACUAAUUUCUUCAUCUAAUUCAAAUUCGAAUUUCAGACAAUAAUUCAAGAUUUAAACAAUAACAUUUCUUACACAAUUUACUAUAUUUAAUAAUCAUAAUAACAAUUAAAAUUAAGAUAUAUUACAAAUAGUUGAUAAAGACAAUUUGACUUCAAAUGUGAAUAAUUGAAAUUCAAAUUAAAUAUAGUAUAUAAACAUUAAAAAAUUGAUGAUUAGACAACAUUAGCUUACAAUGUAAACAAUACAGGUACUGUAAAAGAAAAAAAGAACUAAUUUAUUGUCCCCAUAUAACAUUUACAUUACAGCAAUUUCCUAAUUUGAGAUUACAAUGAAAAUGAUAUAAUUAAAUUGGAUUGUUGCCACAAACUUCACCAUGUAGGUACAACUUCACUUAAAAGAUCAUGCACUUCUUUCUCCAACUUCAUAAAAGUAUGUAAAAAGUAUAACUAAUGACAUAAUAGAAAUAGAAAUAAAAAUAAAUUUAAAGUAAAACUCAUAAAAGGGAAAUGUGUGUUUCUUAACAGAAACAUGUUUUAGGUGAAAAACAUAUUAAAUUAUGCAACCACCUUCUUUGAAAUAAUUUGAAAUCAAAUCAAAUAUAUGAAAUAUAUAAUGACAAAUGGACAAAUAUUAAUAUUAAUACAAUGAAAUAGUGCUUAUACAUAGAAAAAGAAAUUUAAAAAACCAUAUAAGAGAAGUCAAAAUGUAUGCCAAGACAAUUCAAAACGAUCUUAGGAUUUAAUAAUUAAUAAUGAACAAUAUAAUCAAAAUCAUCAUUCCACAAUAUAUUAAAAAAAAUGAAUAACAGGUAAAAAAGAAUGAAAGUUUUGUGAGUUUAAUGUACUGGCAACUGUUUUAGUGGUAAGCAUAUGUAACAAUGCUAACACAUUAUACACAAGCCUGAUAAUGAAUGAAAGUUUAAAGUAAAACAUAAAACAAAUAAAAAUGAAACAAAUCAGAUAAAGCAUAAACAUAAUAAAAUCCAAAUAAACAUAAACAUUAAUAACAACAAAUUGUUCUGGUGUCCAAAAAAGAGAAACCUUAAAACCAACUUGGAAAGAUAAAAAGUAAAAAUGUUAACUAAACAACAAAAAGUAAAUAGUUCUUAUCCUUUCAAAACAACAGAAAGUAGUAUCCCAAACCAUUAACAAAUCUAAUUAUAGAGUGUGGUCUGUCUUUUGUAGUGACAUAUCUUGACUUGCAGAACCCUAAUAUUAGAAAGAGACAUCAUCAUAUGACAUUCAAAUAUAAUUUUAUCAUCUUCACGGAAGGAAUGAAGACUGCAAAAAAUUUUCCAGCCCCUGCCAAGCUUGAUGUUUGUGCAAGGAAAUCUUGCUCUUAGGACUUUGCAUUUAACAUCGUGUACUGGUCCAUGUAGCAUAACGUAUUUGAAUCUCGUUUGCCGAAGAUAUUCCGCAAGUCCACCACGCAAAUCCUUCAACAACAUGAGACAGUAUUGAAAAAAAAGCAAUACAAUAUAAAACAAAGAUUUAAAAUAAAAGAUUCUUAAACUGACCACAUAAUUUCUUUUGAUCUAAAAAGAAGACAACUCCAUGUAAAAAUUUUCAAAGGGACCCUUGGUCAGCGGUUCCCUUCCUUGAACAUCCUUCAAAUAACUAUUAACACCAAUUUCACAGAUCUCUCCCAUAAAAACAAUUAUUUUGAAAAAACUUUGACUCGCGUAACGGAAGAGUAUAAAAUGGUUGCCUUUAAAGCCAUAAAUGGAACUCAAAGUCGACCAUCCAUCCAAUAUCUGGGGAGACAGUAUAUCCUUGUUAUAAUAUACUUUAUGCAAGUUCCCUGCACUAUCUGCGAGGGUCCACUCCUUAGAAAGUUCUGAUUGAAACUCAACAGCGAAUGCACGAUCAACAUAACCAUUCUAUCCAUUAUGAAAAAUAAAAGUCAAUAAAAUGCAUUGAUAAAAAAAAGUAGGUAUUGAAGAAAAGAAAUGAACUUCUUACUUUCCCGCGGAUGUACAUUGAUGAAAAAAGAGCUCGUGUAUCAAGUUUCAUAAUUUCUUCAGCACAAAAAUCCAUCGAAGUGAAUAAUAGAUAGUGGACAAUGAAGGAAGUAGGGAAUAGUAAGAUAGGAACGUAGAAAGAACAAAAGAGUAGGAUUCUGAGUGAACAAAAGCCAAGUGUCUUACGUAUUUAUAGCCAAAUAUCAGUCGUGACCCUUUGAUAUCCAUUGACCCUUUUAUAUCCAUUGUCUCAAACAACAUGACGUUUCAGUUGAAACAAUAUAUUUAAUAAUAAAGAGAGGAAUAGAUAAUUAAUAAUUAAUAAUGAAUAAUAAUACUAAAUAAUAAUAAAAAAUUGAUUAUUUAGAAAGGAAAAAAAAUACUGAAUCAUGAAUAAAAGAUAAAAAAAUUACCUGUAUAUAUUAUAUAUAUUAUAUUAUAUAUUAUAUUGAAAUAAUAAAUUGCUGCCAUAUCUAAGAGAAAUACCUAGGAAGAUUAAAAGACAACAUUGAAAAGAGUGUAUAAGAGAUAGAUAAAGGCCACAAUUCUGACAGCUAUUUAAUAGACCUUAUUAAUUAAAAAUAAGUUAGUUUAAACAAAUUUAGAUGAGUAGAAUGAGAAAUAUAUUAUAUUAUAUGGUUUAAAAAACCUAAAAUGAUAUGACUUCUCAAAAAAAAAAAACUAUUAAAACAACAUAUAUAAAAAGGGUGUUUAUAAAAUAUACAUACUUGUAAUAAUACAUCCUCUGAAAGCAAAAAAUUAUUGCAAUAAACUUCAAAAGAAAUAGAAGAAACAGAUCAAAUAUAGAAGUUGAUAAGUAAUAUCUGGAAUAAUUAUAAAUUUAUAAAAUAAUUCACAAACCUGUAAGUUUUGUGCCGAACAUUCUUCCAAAAAAUAAGUCAUUAUAGUAAUUACACAAAAACUGUUUAACAUUUUUUAACUAUAACGUAACGUAAUUACGUAACAGAAGGAUAACGUCGAAUAAUGAAUUCAACAAUAUUAAAUAAACAGACUCAAAAUGUACUGAUACAUCAUAAAAUAUUCUGAAUAGAAAUUAAAAAUAGUCAUAGAAAUGUCCAACACUGAUAGAAAUACAUCAAAAAAAAUCAUCAUUCAUAAAACUCCCUUUUCGAUCUUGAUAUUUUUCCUUAAUACCCUUAAUGGAACAUCAUCAUCGGCUGUGUGUGAUGGUGAAGCAAAAUCUCUUUUAAGUCCAGGAGGAACGACUUCAACACUUAACUGACUGUCACUCGCUAUGUCAACAAUUUCAGAAUACAAUUCAACAACUUCAUUGGCAAAUUUUUUAAACAAAUCCUGCAACAUGAAGUACAAAUAUUAGUAAGAUUUUUUAUUUUUAAACUAAUUAUUUAAAUAUUAAAUGCCUGAGGAACUUCUACAAAGGAAUCGUCUUGUUCGACAUCUUUAAUACUGCAUAGUCUUUUCUUCUGAGAUUGAAGUUCCUUGACAACAUAAAAAUUAAAGUAAAAGAUAUAAAUAAUUCUUUUAGAAAUAAAAUGCAACACAAAAUAUAAUAAAAUAAAAUAAAAAUACAUACCGAACUUUCAGAACCACCAUUAGAAAAUAUUUGGAUAAUACUGUCAUCAAUACAAAUUUUUUUGACAUGGAAUGAUUGAUCAAACCUGUUAGAUUGAUCUUUAACACAACCAACUUUAAACAACACAAUUUUGUCUAUCAAAAGACCAAAUUCUUUGGGUAGUACACCAGAGUCAGUGUUCUAGAAAUUAAAAAGAAGAGUAAAAUAUUACUAUAUUAAUUUAUACAAUAACAUUUUCAUAUAUGCAUCAAUAGACAUAACAUAAGCACUAUUGGAAAAUUACCUUGUCAUUACUUUCAAAUAAUUCCGCACAAGAUUUAUUUAUCAGUGUAGUUGCAUCUCUGUCAAAAAGAACAAAAGUGGUGGAGUCUGUUUCAUCCAUUACUCGCACCUUCAGCUUAUACCUGAAAUAUAAAAUAUAAAGAAAACAUUAAGAAAUAUAAUAUAAUAGAUUUUACUAAUAUAGAAAGUAAUGAACAGAAAAUUAUGGCGUUUACAAAGAAUACCUUGGUUGCACUUUCAUAACAUGCUUAUUACAUUUUUCACACAAAAAACAUCUUUGAAUCCGGGUAAACGGCUUUAUUGCAUAAUCAAGCCGUGUACCACCAUUCAUCAUUAGCUACAAUAUGUUUUAUAGUAGCUAAAACAACAAAAGUGCUUUCCUGAAAACAAAAACAGGUUCUGCAGUUAAGAAUACAUAAUUGAUUUAAUUAAAUUUUGCUAAAAAAAUAUAAUUAUACCUCCUUGCAAUCUUUCAGGCCUUGAAUAGUGUUUCUUGGAAUGAAGUGGAUAAAUUCAUCAUCAACAUUCUGUUUUGCAGAAUCACACAACUGACUGAGUCCUUGAGUAGGAGAAUUUGUAUUUUCCAUCAUCCUACAAAUGUUAAACUUGUAGUUAGAAUGUGUCAUAAUUUUCAAGUAAUGAGUGACAAAAGUACGUAUUGAAGUAACCUUUUCUUAAGUUCGUUUGCUUCUUUAGACUAAAAGUUAAAUUUUAAUUUCGUACAAUCCAAGCAGUUUUGUAGGCAAACCUUGUCUACAAUCAAAAUAAAAUACAUUAGGUUAUAAGUACAUAAAUUUAAGUAGAAUAAUAAAAAAAUAAGUUACAGUUGCAUGAGUAAACAUACCCUGGAAAAUCUUGACUUUAGCAAAUUGCACACUGAUGACCACAUUUUGCAACUCUCCAGAUGACAAAAAGGCAUUCAGCUCAUCAACGUAAUUGCCAAAUAAAGUACACUCCAUGCGCAAGCUGUUGUAAAUAAAAUUUGAAUUGUUUAAAACAAAUUUUCGAAUGGUUGAACUACAAAAUUUUAGCUUACCCAUUAGCUUCAAUGGAAAUCACAUUUAACUUAGUUGAUGAGCCUGUUCUAUUAAUCUCCCUCUCAGUGCCUACACCAGUCAGUAAACCAAUAACAUCUGGAAGAAGAAAAUUAUGUAAGCACAUAUGGAAACAAAUAUGUUGAACCAAAACCAUUAUAAGUAAACUUACCAACUAAAUAAUCAGUAUCAAAACCAGGGGCUCUUAUCACAGACAUUGGGGUGUACCGAGGUAUUGCACAUGAUACCAGUUCAUUUCCUACAUAGGUUACCUUAGUUCCAAACUGGAAAUUAAUCUUGUACUUGUGACGGGUUGUUCUAUAAGAUCAUGAAUUAGUUGUCACACUAAAGAAAUUGAAAGAAUAAACCUUAUCCUCAAAAAAUAUGAUUUUGAAAUUUAUAAAUUAGUGUUUUUCUAACAGAAACAUGAAUUCUAUCACCCUGGAAAAGAAGAAUCAAGAUUAAACAUGAUUAGAAUAAUUGAUAUUAAUAUUUAGAUCAAACCAAUAACGAAAGAAAAUGAUAAAACAGUUCACCUCUUUAUCUUGAAUCACCAUUUCCAUUGAGAAUGGAAACUUGCUUUUCUUGAAGUCCGACACAAACCACAAUCGAAUCACUUUUGCUAUUAGAAUCCAAUUUUCAUUCUCUGGAUUGAUAUCUUUGAUUGAAUUUGUAUUUUGUCUUAACAAAGACAUUGUAAGAUAUUCCUUUUAAGAAGAAGGAAAAUGCAGACUGCAAAUGCUGAUGCUAAAUGAGAUUCCAACAUACCACGCAUCUAUUUAUAGAGAAGGAUUGGUGCUUAAUUAUUUUGAAAAAGUAAAAAAUAAGUAAAGUAUAGAUUUCAAAAUGAGUACGAAUAGUAAGAAAAAGAAUCAAUGAUGAUUGAUUUAUACAAUGUUUCACGAAAAGGAAAAGAUUUUUGAAAUAAUCAAACCAUAAAAUAGUCUAAUACAUACGAUAACGUUAACAUUGUGAUAAAAUUCUUAACUUUUAGGUCUAGGAAACAAAAUUGCUUUUCCACUCAAAAGAACAUCAUUCUACUUUAAGCAUUAAAAUUAAUGAAAAUGUUGUUUGACUUUAGAAAGAGAAAAAUGUUGCGAAGAGACUUUCACAGACAUCUAUCUAUAAAAAAUGACGUUAUACAAACCGACGUACAUGCAAUAUGUAAAACAGAUGAAAACCAAAGUUCAAAAAUUGGUCCAUUUACAUAAAGAUGUUCCAAAAAUAGGAACUUCACAUGCUUUUUUUUGCAGAUUUGAAAAAGACCUUUUCUGGUUUACAAAAAAAAGGAACCCUUGCUUUGAAAACCUAUCUAUAAAACACAGAUUGAAAGCUUACAAAAUUGAUACUACGAAGAUUGAGAAUGUAAGUUUCAUGAAGAAGGUAAAAUGUCAUAAAUCUAUACAUAAUCGUACAAAAGAACGAAAAAAUCGUACCUGGGGGUUCAUAUAACUUGCAAUCAGUUUCAAAAACAUGGAAAAAAGGGAACCCUAUGAAAAGGUUUAACACAGUUUGGGAAAAAAUCAGUAUGCUAAGCAAAACAUUCACAGUAAAAAUUCCAACAAAAGGUAACGUGGGGUUUAGGAAAGGACGAAGUUCUUACCAAUUUCAUUUCAUGAUACAGUAUUGAUUUCCCAUGCAUACAAAAGAACGAAAAAAUCUUACCUUGGGGUUCAUAUAUCGUGGAUUGAGAUUCGCAAACAUGGAAAAAAAAGGAAAACCUAUCAAAGUAGCGGUGGCUGGGGCAGAGCAUAUGUGAUGGAGCAAAGCAAAUGUGAUGAAAAAAUAAUACAAAAUGGAAGAGAGGUUGUGAGUUUAGGUAAUUGCAUCUUUUAAGAAAAUCCUUGUAUCAGCUGCAAUAAAAAUCAAUUCUUUAAAUUUCAUUAAUAUUUUUAAAAUAUUAUUAAAGAAUUUAUUAUAAAUUUUUUUAUUAUAGAACCUGUGUAAAGUAUAAUAGAACCUGUGUAAAAUAAUUUAAAAAUGAAAAAAAUAGGUCAUUUGUGAAGAAUGAAAAAAACCUUACACCCUCUCCCUCAUCCAGUCUCCCACUGUCAAAAUCAUGGAAAGAAACAACAAAAACAAUCCCUCCCUCCUCAAACUUAAUUGUUGAUGGACAAACUUGAUUUUUGAUGGACUUUUAGACAAAAUUGAUUUGAAAUUAACUUUACAGACUUAAUCCUUCAUUUGUUUAAAUAGCAUUACAAUUACAUUAUUUUUUGUAUUUGAAUUCAUUUUCAAGUUUAAUAUUUUCAUUAAUUAUUAAAAUGGAAUAUUGCUAUUUUUAACUUUGUUAAAUAAUUAUUUAAUACUAUUAAACAAUUUUCAAUUUGUCUUAUUUUACAAUAUUUCUAUUUGAAUUCAUUUUCAAGUUAAAUAUUCUAUAGGUUGAUGUUGAUAUUAUUUGAUAUUAUUUUUUUUAUUUGAAUUCAUUUUCAAGUUUAAUAUUUUCAUUAAUUUAAAAAAUGGAAUAUUGCUAUUUUUAACUUUAUUAAAUAAUUAUUUAAUUAUUUAAUACUAUUAAACAAUUUUCAAUGUCUUAUUUUACAAUAUUUCUAUUUGAAUUCAUUUUCAAGUUAAAUAUUCUAUAUGUUGAUGUUGAUAUUAUUUGAUAUUAUUCAUAUAUAUUAUUAAUAUUAUUAUAUUAUUUUUUGUAUUUGAAUUCAUUUUCAAGUUUAAUAUUUUCAUUAAUUAAUUUAAAAAAUGGAAUAUUGUUAUUUUUAACUUUGUUAAAUAAUUAUUUAAUACUACUAAACAAUUUUCAAUUUGUCUUAUUUUACAAUAUUUUCUAUUUGAAUUCAUUGUCAAGUUUAAUAUUCUAUAUUCUAUAUGUUGAUAUUAUUUGAUAUUAUUCAUAUAUUAUUAUACUCCAUUUUUCAUUAUUUUAAAUAUUAAAAAAAUGGAAUAUUGCGAUUUUCAAAAUUGAUAAAUCAAUAUUUCAUGCUUUUCAACAUUUUUCAAUUUGUAUUUUUUUAAAUAAAGUAAAAAAAUAUAAUUUGUAUUUGAAUUCAUUUAAAAAAUGGAAUAUUGUUAUUUUCAACUUUGUUAAAUAAUUAAUUUGGGAUAAUGAAUGAACAAUCUAAGACGUGCAUCCUGUAGUGAACGAAUACAACGAAAAAUAAAGUAAAUUAAGAAAAAUUAAGUAAUAAUUAACAAAUACUUAACAAUUAACAAACAAAAUUAAAUAUUUGUCUUCGUUUAAAAACAACGACUAGAAAGGUUUAGCCUAAAAGCAUAACAAAAAACUUAAAAGACAUGUUAACAUAAAAAAUUGUCCUCAAAACUUGUCAUCAACAGCAAAACCCUGAUAUGAGAAGAUGGGUUCCUGCUAUCGCAUUCAAAGAUAAUUUUCUGGCCUUAACGAAAAGAAUGACGACGACAAAAAUUCUUCCAGCCGCUACCAAUUUUGAUGGUUCUAUAAGGAAACCUUCCUUUUAAAACCUUGCAUUCAACAUCCUUCAAUAGUCCUUGAAGCAUAACCGUUUUGAAUCUACCUUGGCGAAGAUAUUCAGAAAAUCCAGGAAGUAUACCCUUCAAUAAAAUCAAAAUAGUAAGUAAACAAAAAGAAUACAAUAUAGUAGUCAUGUCAAAAAAAUCAAUGAUAAACUCACCAGAGAACUUGAAUUUAAGUCUACCGGAGUCAAAUUCAUGGAAAAAUGGUGAAAGGGACCAAUGGUCAACGGUUCCCUCCCUUCAACUUCUUCCAAAUAACGAUUGAAAUAAAUUUCAGGGACAUCUUCCAUAUAAACGGUUAUAUGAAAAGUGUUUUGGCCUACAUAACGGAAUAAGAUAGUGUGAUCCCCUUCAAACCCAUAAAAAUUAGCCAAAAUCCACCACCCUGUCAUGAUUUCUGGCGACAACAAAUCUUGGUUAUAUUCUACUAUAUGUACAUUCCCUGCGCUAUCUGCAAGGGUCCACUCUUCACCAAGUUCUUUUUGAAACUCAAUAGCAAAUGCCCGAUCAACAUACCCAAGCUAGAAAUUUUGAAAAAAAGAAAUAAAUUAAGCAACUGUAGAAAAUGUAUAAAAGUAAAAAGUUAAGAAAAUACCGACAAAAAAUAUAUACUUCACCGCGGAUGUUCAUUGAACAAAAAAGACCUCGUGUGUCAAGUUUAACAAUUUCUUCAGCAGUGGGCGCCAUGACAGUGAAUAAUAGAACAACAGAAGUAAGGAAGUGGGAAAGAAAGUAGGACUUUGAAUAAUAAAUGAAUGGCUUUAAAUCAGGGUUUAAAGAAUACAAAAAGGUUACAAUAUAUAAUAUAAUAUAACAAAUAAUGAUUACUUGUUGCAGUAAAUCUGGAAAGAAGAUAUUAUGAUCUUGAAAGUAGUGUAUAAAGCACAAUACUGUCACAAUAUAUGGGAAAACCAAAAUGGGCACAGUAUAUAUUAAAAAUUACUAUAAAGAAAAGAGAAGCAUCCAGAAUAUAAUUAAUAACAAUAAUAAUAUAUGAUAAUGAUUACUUGACAAAGAACAAAGAAUACAAACGGUGUCAGUAUAAAAUAAUAUAUAAAAAAAUAAAAUUUAUCAGAAUCUCUUUACUUUAAUGUUCGCAUAAUGAUUACUUACUGCAAGAAAUAUUUAAAAAAACAGCAUUGAAAAAAUAAAUUAAUAUGUUGAAGGCAGUGUAUAUCUGAGAAAUGUGAAACAGAAGAAGAACUGCAGAAGAAGAACCUUCAUAUCAAGAAAACUCAAAAAAUAAUAAGAAACAUAACAAAGAUUGUGGAAGUAGUUAAAUGCAUCAAGAAGGCAAAAACAAAUUUCACAUCCCAUAAGCAUAUAACAUUCUUACCAUAAUCAAUAUCAACAUCAAUAUGAAAGAGAAGAAAAUCAGAAUGAAAAUCAAUAUGCAUUAAAUUAACAAUGCAAUCAGAAUAGCAAGAAACAGAAGAAGAACUGCAGAAGAAGAACCUUCAUAUCAACAAAACUCAAAAAAUAAUAAGAAACAGAUAAUAAAGACUGUGGAAGUAGUUAAAUGCAUCAAGAAGGCGAAAAGAAAUUCACAUCCCAUAAGCAUAUAACAUUCUUACCAUAAUCAAUAUCAAGAGCAAUAUGAAAGAGAAGAAAAUCAGAAUGAACAUCAAUAUGAAUUAAAUUAAAAAUGCAAUCAAAAUAGCAGGAAACAAACCUAGAAAUUUUGAACCGAGAAACCUAGAAACAAAUAAACAAAAAAUGCCUUGGCAUAAAUAUUAGAGGUUACCAAUAAAUGUUUAUGAACAUCAAUAAGAAAGAGGACAGAAUAAAAAUGAAAAUAACAUCGAAAGAGGAGGUAAAAACUCAGUACCUUUUAAGAUUAAACCCUCGAAAACCCUAAAAUCGAAAAAAGGACAAAUCUUCAAUCGGUGACUGAAUAUAACUGUAAAAAGCAGAUAUCCUUUGAUGAAACAUGGAAUCAGAAGAGAUGGAAUCAGAAGAGGACACAACAAAAAACUAAAAGAGGAGGUCAAAAACAUUACCUUUUACGUGCUUUGUUAAUCUUGAGGUUUUCAACCAUAAAACCACAUACUGAAAAAACAACAGAAAAAACAACAACGUCAUUAACGAUUAAACCAUCGAAAACCCUAGAAUGCAAAAAAGGAAAAAAAAUUUCAAUCGAUGAAUGAAUAUAUGGUGGAUUUGCAACAAACUAAAAAUUAACCGUAAAAAGAAAAUAUCUUUUAAUCACAAAACCCUAAAAAUAGAACAUAGAGGUGAUAAUGAGACGAACAAAAAAUAGAAAGCAUUACCUGGUCCAUGGAGAAUGAAGAGAAGAAAACGAAACAAAAAUGAAAAAGCGUUGGAUACAACACAAUAUAUAGUGAAAAAGAAAGUGUCAUUACCAUUUCAAAUUUCAAAAGAAGGCGCUAUUUCUGAAGAUGAGAAAUGCUGUUUUUAGGCAAAACUACUUUCCAAUAGAGCACCUCUUCAGUUUCCGAAAUGGUGAAAAGAGUAAAGGAAAAAAAGGAGAGAAGGGGGCAAAAGAUGAAGAGGAGUUUAGGGUUUCAGAGAAAAAUAGGAUGAAAGAGAAAAAGAGUGUUAAAGAAAGAGAACAAAAAGAAAGCGAAAUGAGGAAGAAUGGGGAAACCAAACGGGAAAGUGUGUUUUAAAACGUGACACGUGUCACAUUUUUGUUUGUUCAGGUGUGUUGUGUUGAUUGGUUGAAGUUUUACUACUUUUGGUAUUAAAUCUUUUUAGUUUUUUUUUCAAAAUUUUCUGGAGAUGACACGUGUUUAAACUUACCCUGAGAGUUCUCUCUAUUUGUAUUAUGUAUAGAUUUACUGUGUACCGUGUCAAACAAUCUUUACUCGAAAUUUAUAUAUGAGCUUCUAGAAAGAGGUUGGAACUGUAGAAUUUUCCACAACGACGCGGCAACUAUUAGAAAAAUAAAAUGAAAAAACACUCACAGCAACUUCACUUGGCUGGGUUUCUAUUUAUUCACUGUUUUCUUUCGACUUUCACAGCCAUUCUUUCUGGUAAUACUCUUCUCUCUCUCUCAACAACUUUUGCUUUCACCAAUGCCUUCUAACGCCAUCAUCCAAUACACCUCUUCUUCUUCAUCUCCUGCAACUUACAUCUACGACGUCUUUGUCAGCUUUCGCGGUGAAGACACGCGCAACACCUUCACUAGUUUUCUCUUUCAGGCUCUCCGUACAAAAGGCAUCAAUGUGUUCAAAGAUGAUGAAGAUCUCAAAAAGGGUGAAUCCAUUGCACCCGAGCUGCUGCAAGCCAUUCAAGCCUCUUGACUUUUCAUUGUUGUCUUCUCACAGAACUAUGCUUCCUCCACUUGGUGCUUGCGUGAACUGGCAGAG